GUUUUUGCAGGCGCACCAAUUGCUGCAGCAGGGGAUCUCAAAUCAAAACCAACAUGGUAUGCUGCAAGCUGUAUUCAUGAUACUGUUGUGCGUAUGGACAACGAUUAUCUUAGAUCAGCACUGGACUAUCUUGAACUUCAGCCUGACCUGUCACCCCUUGUUCGCGGAGCUCAUACUUUUAGGUGCCCGAGACUUGGAAUAACUAGUUGGUCUAGGCUGCCGAUCUAUGAUGCUGAUUUCGGUUGGGGUCGACCUAUUUUCAUGGGGCCUGGUGGAAUGGGAUAUGAGGGGUUGGCUUUUGUGUUACCAAGUGCAACAAAUGAUGGAAGUUUAUCGGUGGCCAUUUCUCUGCAAUCUCAACAUAUGCAAUCAUUCUCCAAGUUGUUGUAUGAGAUAUAAGGAAAUGAAAUGCGUCGAAUGGGGGCAAUACGUUGAACAGACUUCGGGCUUCUGUGUGUGUCCUCUGAGUUCUGGGACUUUGCAUUGACUCUAGCCUAGCUGAUCGGAAAGCAGCUGUUUUUGAAAAGUUCAAGUGGUCUUUUGGUUAAUCUAUAUUAGAGGAUCUGUUUUAGAAACAACCUAGUACUGAAUAAGAUUGUCAGAGUAUCUGUAAGCUUUGUUUAUUGCUGUGGAGGACUUCUUUUUCGGAGUAUCUGUAGUUUACUGUGAUUGUUAAUAAGGUUUUCUUUCUCCAUGAAACAAAAACAUACUGAAUCACUUUGGUUGCAUAAAGGUUGGUGCCUUUGGUAAAGCUACACUUUGGUUAUACUUUCAAAAAUUUUGGUUUAAUGCAAGAGCAUUUGUAGUGUUUUUAUUUCUCACUGAAAAUGGAUCAAGAGGUUCUUCUUCUGGAGACUUCAGUGUCAAGUCUGCCCAUUUGCUGAAUUUUCCCAAAUGAGAAUUCCCAGCUGUUCCUUCAUAUGGAAAUCCAAAUUGCCUCCUAAAGACAAAUGCUUUCUUCUUCAAAUAAGUAACCAAGGAACAAAGACUUAAAGAGGCGUAUGGUUUCUGAGUAGUCUAGAAGGAGAUCUUGUUACCCCCAACGACUUCAAUACUCUCAGUUUGAAUGCUGCUAUGACUGGGUUGAAGCCUCUUAGGCAUGACCCUCCUUCUCAGUUGGGUAUAUCCCCUGGAAUUUAGGCAGCUUUUCUGUGGCUUGCUGGAGGUUAUGGAGGAGGAGAUGCUGUAGGGCCUUUGGAAGGGAAUUUCAGUCGAGGGCGUUUUUGUUCACCCAUGCUGUAGGGCCUUUUAUGUUCAACACCCACUUCAUUUUGAACAAAAAUGAAAAUAAAAGAUUCCAUGUUUAUGUGCUAAGUUGGUUAGUUUAAGUAAAGAUGGCCACUAUGUGAAAAAUGAAAAGAAGGUUCUAAAUCUUUUCAAAAUAAAGCUCAAAAAGCGUCCGUUAGACAUAUAAAAGAACUUUUUUACUGCUAUAAUUCUUGGGCAAAAAUGUUUUAUAGGAAUCCCAUUUUUUAAGGGGCCUUGUGCUGUCGGCCGUCCAGCACACGGCAUGCCAUGUAUUAUAUCCAAACUCAUCAUUUUCGUUACUCUUUCUUAAAAUUCGAUCAAUGUCAUUCCUAUCCUCUUAUGCCAUACAUGAAUAUCUGUAUAUCUUUGAUGUUUAAUGGUUAGAUUACCGUCAUUUAACGUAAAUUUUGUCAAUUACAUUAAAGCCAACUCGUCUAAACUACUAUCAAAUUACUGAUAUUUACAAUUGUUUGAUUUUAAAAAUUACCGUCGUCCAUAUUUUUGACAACAACUAUUGAGCCUCAUCUAUACACAAGGGCUAUAGCCUAGUGCGACUUUGGGCCUAAAUCCUUUUGUUUUAGAAUCUCUAAGCCACGCCCUCCCCUUUAGUCACAUGUAAAAAAAGAAAAUAUUAGCGGACAAUAUUCUGACAAAGAAACAAUGGAAACUCUAGUUCUAAACUUCACCAAUUCCAUCAAUCCCAUGACCUUUGGUAAUUUUCUUCUGUCCCAACUCUCUGUAUUAUAUCAGAUUAAAUAUGGUGGUUCUCCUCAUCUUCAAAUUAAAGGUUGUGAUUAUAAUCUCUCUAAUUAAAAAUAAUUUUUAUUAGAAAUCAUCCACUUUUUAACUGUCUUAAUUUUAGUCCUCAAACUUUCAAAUUAAUAAAUAUGACCCUCAAAAUUUUGGGUCACACAUAAGUUUGGUCUAUAUCAUCGUUUGGAGAUGUGUAGGCAACGCAUGUGACCUCCCCACUACAAAAAAAAGUGGCAACAGUUAUCAUUAUUUGGUGAUAUUUGCUGGGGUGACUAAAACUUUAGCCACCCCAGCAAAUGUCACCAAAUAAUGCGAUUUUCAAGACUGCAACCCCCACUUCCUCCUAGUUACUUUGGCAAUACGAUUUUCACAACAAUGCCAAUUGCAAUCGCAGGGGAUUUCCAAUCAAAUUGAACAUGGAACGGAGCAAGCCACGUUCAUGAUGUUUUGGUUCAUAUGGAUGAUCAAGGUUUUAAAACGCAAGGUGUUGAGGCAAGAUGCUUUUGAUCCCGAAAGGUGAAGCGUAAUUCUUUUGAAUAUUAAUUAUUUUAAUUAAAAAUAUAAAAUAAUAUAAAAUAAUUAUAAAUGAGUACUAAUUGUCUCCUAAGCAUAAUAAUCAAGUAUUCUAGGAUGACAAUUUAGGGUACUGUAGAUAUGAUUUCGGGUUCAGUAAUUCUACUGGGUGGGAGUGGCAUAAACAGUUGCAGGGUAUUUACCCCAAAUCUCAGAGUCUUAAAAAUAGGCUAAGGAUUGUGAUAAAUUGCGAGCAUGCCACUAUUAGCAGUGUAAAACCCUAACAGAUCUUAAUGAAUAAAAAUAACUUAUGCACCAAGAAACCUGACUUCCAAUAAAACAAUUGUGCUUGGAAUGGGGAACUAGUUCAAUACGGAUUCUUUUCUAUGCUUCAAGAUAAACGAGGACUUUAUUAUGUCUCUAAUACAAAGCUAAGAGAUAAAAAACAUAAACAAGUAAACAAUGUGUCAAAUCGAUCAUAUCUGGUGAGAACGAAGACUGCCACCACUUUUGAGUUGCCUCAUAGCCACUAGAAUGAUGGUAUUUUUGCUCACCACUUUAACCCAAGUUGUACCAUCACCACCCUUCUCAACACUUGAUACGUGUUUAUGGGCAUAAUCAUAGUUCCACAAAUACAACAAAGAGUUAACUAUGGUUAUGCACAUGGACACAUGUCAAGUGUAAGGAAGUAUGGUGAUGGUACAUUUUGGUUUUGUCACAUCCCGGGAUCGGCUCCGCCGUAGCACGAUAUUGUCCGCUUUGGGCCCCUCUUUGCCCUUACGGUUUUGUUUCUGGGAGCUCACGAGCAACUUCCCAGUGGGUCACCCAUCCUGGGAUUGCUCUAGCCCCCAACUCGCUUAACUUCGGAGUUCCUACAACUCCGAAUCCAGUAAGCUCCCAAAAGGCCUCGUGCUAGAUGGAUGCGGGUGUGCACAUAUAAGGCACAUCAUCCCCUCUCCGUUGGUUGAUGUGGGAUCUUACAAUCCACCCCCCUUAAGGGCCCGAUGUCCUCGUCGGCAUACUCGUACCACACGGCAGAGUGGCUCUGAUACCAAAUUGUCAUAUUUCAGGAUCGACUCCAUCGUAGCACGAUAUUGUCCGCUUUGGGCCCCCCUCUCUGCCCUCACGGUUUUGUUUCUAGGAGCUCACGAGCAACUUCCCAGUGGGUUACCCAUCCUGGGAUUGCUCUGGCCCCCAACUCGCUUAACUUCGGAGUUCCUACGACUCCGAAGCCAGUGAGCUCCCAAAAGGCCUCGUGCUAGAUGGAUGCGGGUGUGCACAUAUAAGACACAUUACCCCCUCUCUGUUGGUUGAUGUGGGAUCUUACAAUCCAUCCCUUAAGGGUCCGACGUCCUCGUCGGCACACUCGCACCACACGGCAGAGUGACUCUGAUACCAAAUUGUCAUACCUCGGGAUCGGCUCCGCCGUAGCACGAUAUUGUCUGCUUUGGGCCCCCCUCUCUGCCUGCACGGUUUUGUUUCUAGGAGCUCACGAGCAACUUCCCAGUGGGUUACUCAUCCUGGGAUUGCUCUGGCCCCCAACUCGCUUAAUUCGGAGUUCCUACGACUCCGAAGCCAGUGAGCUCCCAAAAGACCUCGUGCUAGAUGGAUGCGGGUGUGCACAUAUAAGACACAUUACCCCCUUUCCGUUGGUUGAUGUGGGAUCUUACAGGUUUAAAGUGGUGAAAAAAAUAUUUCCCCAUUAGAAUAGCCUCAAAAUGUCAAGAAGAUUUGGUAACAAUCGAGUAGAAGCGCCACUAAUGGGCAAUUCAAGAUUAUUUCCCCUUUUUUAGACUUAUCUUUGACCUUGUGUGAUUAUCAAUUAAAAGCAUCCGCAAUGGUUGUUCCAAUUCAAUGCAAUAGUUCAAUAAAUUGAUCUUUUUUGGCAUUUAUUGAAUUGAACUGCAGUUUUACUUGUAAUGGUAUAGUUCAAUAGCUUCAAAUCAAUAGUUAUAUCAAUAGUUAUAGUUCAAUAGUCUCAAAGAAAUCUUUAAAAAGAGACUAAUUUUGGAAAAUCAAUUAUGUAAUUUUUUAUUUAUUGCAUUGAACUAUUGAACAACCAUUACAGAUACUCUUAACAACAUAAUGCAUUAAUUAUUGUUUUUUUUCUAUUUUUUUAUUGGCAUGUGGGUCCCCUAGUUAGCCUAUUGCAAUUGCAAUAGAGGGUUCAUCACAUAGAACCUUCUAUUACAAUGAACUAAAUCACACAAUUGCAAGUGAAAUUUUAGUAUUUUAGUUCAAUUUCAUGCAAUAAAAUUAUAUUGAUUCUAACCAUUGCAGAUGCUCUAAUGUACAAUUCCCCUUUUAGCGCCACUAACUUGGCCAAAUUCUCAUUACUUUAUAUCAAAACAGUGAGCCCAAGCCAUCAAUUGGCCCAAUUCUUUUAUUUAUUCCCAUGGAUUGAAAAUAGGACCAAAACACAGGGAUGUAACUGAAGCAAUUAAUAUUCUUGUACAAAAACUCAAAAUCAUAUGAGCAUGCUCUCAUCUUCGCAUGUUAUCCGAGUUUCUCCUCUUCUACUGCUGCACGUAAGAUACAGUGCAUACUUUAAAUUUCUUUUCAAAGGUCUCAUGGCAUAGUAUUAAUUUUCACAAAUACACAAAUCUGUUUUGGUUGUUCAAAUUACACACUGAGGAUAAUCUCAUUAAAUUUCUUUUCAAAUUGUGGCACUGCUUUUUGCCAAAUUAGAAAACUGCAUAACAGUAUUUCCUAUAUCGGCUGAGAUUGUUCCUACAACUUAACGAUGUUUUGCCGCAUGGGAACUGGGGAGGAAAACAAUGAAGAAAUGUGUGACAUUGCUAUGUAUGUAAUUAUUGUGUACAUUUAUUAAGUAAAAAAAUUCAAACAAUUGGUUCCAUUGGUUAGAGCAGUUCUAGCCAUGCCCCCAAGCCAGGCAGGAGGGGGGGUUCCAAGCCUAAAACGCGUUUCUAGCAGGCCUUUUUUGCCGGGGCAGCUUGUGGGUCCCACGGAACUAGGUUGGCCUGAAGGCAGAACAAGCUCGAGGGCGAGCUGACGCCAGCAUGUGGGUUUAAAUUUUUUUAUCGUUGGUGCGUGCAUUUAAUGCUCCAACGGUAAAAAAAAAAUUAAAUUCCGUGCAUUGUCGCCAGGUUAGCGUCAGUCCUUCCUUUCACCAACUGCUAGAAGCCACGUGGCGGACUCUGGGCGCUCCGAUUGGUUUUCUCCUUCAAUCCAAUGGUUGACUUUUUUUUUGCAAUAAAAUUAUGAAAAAAAUUCAAAAAAAUACCCAAAAAUUCAUGAAUUUUUUUUCUAUAAAUACCUACGAAUACUCUUCACUUUCAACACCAAAUCCUCAUACAUUUUCUUCUCCUUCUACUAUUAUUCACUUUCUACUCAACAUUUUAUUCACUUUCAAAAUUUAUUUUUAUUUAUCAUCUUAUGGCUUCUUCUAUCGAAACUGGAGGGGCGUGGAGCACCAUGGAAGAUGUUUUGUUGUGUGAGUGUUGGGUCCAAAUUAGUCAUUAUCUCGUCACGGGCAAUGAGAUUAAAUUCUCUCAUAUGUGGAGAAAAAUUCAUGCCGAAUUUUGUGAAAGAUCGGGUUCGACUCGUACGAAAAUGGCAUUGUUGAGUAGGUGGAAAAUUCUCAAUAAAGAGUUGGGAAAAUGGAGAGAUGCCUUGGCAAAAGCGAGGAACAACCAUAGAAGCGGGGGAAAAUCUUAGCAAUGAGGUAAAUUAUUUGUAAUUUUCGUUUUAUUAAUUUUAAUGUCCUAAUUUUUUUUUAAUGUUUCUUGCAUUUUCAAUUUUUUUUUAAAUAUUUCUUGCAUUUCUAUUUUUUUUAAUAAUGUUUCUUGCAUUUCCAAUAUUUUGUUAAUGUUUCUUGAAUUUCCACUAAUUUUUAAAUGUGUCUUGCAUUUUCAAUAUUUUGUUAAUGUUUCUUGCAUUUCCAAUAUUCUUUAAAUGUUCCUUGCAUUUCCAAUAUUUCAUUCCAAUGUUCUUUGCAUUUCCAAUAUUUUUUUAAUAGAUUAUGCAAGCACAAAUGUAGUUUGGUGCUAUUGGGCAAGGCCAAAAAACUUUCAACCAUGACCAAUGUUGGGAGGUGGUGAAGAAUUGUUUGGUGCUUUGAAAUAUUGCACGAAGAGAAUAAAAAGCAACCAAGUAAAAGGGGGUCGAGACUUUUACCGAAAUUUUAACAGAGUCUCCCCUAAAAAAAUGGUCUUUUCACAAAUUUUCCACCUAUGAAAAACAACAGAAAAAAAGUUCUCAACUGCCAGAACACACAAUGCUAAAGGCGCACAAAUUACAGAAUAGGCCUUCGGCCUUAAAUUCAACCCUACAUGGGCCAUAACAUAGCAAAUAUAAGAAAUCUUUAGUUUUACAACCAAAGCAUAAGUAUCAAAGGAAAUUAAACAAGUAAAAUUGCCUUACAACUGUUCAAGGCAUGAGAGUACGAAGUCUUGGCUUGGUUGCAAAACAAAAAUUGUGAGCGGACAAAAACAAAGUUUUAAUAUACUUUUAAACAAACAUACUAACCCCACCGUUUUGGAAAACGAUGCCCAAACAUGCCAAAAAACCAUUUAUAUAGCAUAAUCGACUCUAAAAACCAAGGUAUCCCAUAAUCCCGAUAUAGCAUAUAACACAAACUCAAACUAGACCUUUUUCCCUUCUCAGACCACUCUCUUCCGAGACACAUGCCUGUAAGCACAACAAUUGAGGAAGGUUCCUCACAAAUAAAUAAGAAUAAUAUAUAUAUAUAUAUACAUAUAUAGGUAUAACCACUACACCAAUACUAGUACGGGGGAAACAAUCCAACCUGGGGAUUGUUUGACUUAGGGCUAGGCAUUCAAACCGGCAACCCGGUCAAACCGCCCAAACCAAAUAGAUGGUUUAGGUUGGUUUGGUUUUUUUUCAAUCUUUUUUUGGUCAUCGGUUUGAACCCAAACCAAACUGAAAUAUAUGAUUCGGUGUACGGUUUGCAAUAUUCAAAACCACGAUUUAACCAAACCAAAUUGAAGAUAUUAAAAAAAAUAUUAUCAUAAGAUAUAUAUAAUACAUAGUUUCAAUCUUUCUUUUUCUUCUCUCUCAAUCUCUUCGUUUUCCUUGUCUUCAUCAGUCCACAUCUCUCUAUUUUUUUUUUCUCUUUCUUCUUACGUCUGUCUUCACUCCCUCUCCUCGUCUCCCUCUUCUUCUUCUUCUUCUUCUCUUUCUUUUCUUUUUCUCCUCUUCUUCUUCUUCUCCAUCUCUCCACCUUUUUUUUUCUUCUCUUCUCUUCUCUUCUCUCUCUCUCUCUCUCUCUCUCUCUCUCUCUCUCUCUCUCUAAGAAAGCCAAAAAAUCGAAACCGAACCAAAUCAAACCACCAAGUCUAGUUAACCGAAGUGGUCGGUUUUCAUCAAUUAUGGUUUGGUUUCGAUUUUAGCCAAACUGAGGCCUACGGUUCGGUGUUCGGGUUGAGCCCAAAAUCGAACCAACCCAAACCAAGCCCACCCAUAGUUUGACUAAACCACAUGCAGAAAUCCUCAAUACACUUGUGGCUAGGGAAGAGCAAUCCAAUAGGAACUAUUGCUCCCCACACAAGCACAACAGAAUCUUCAAUACUCGUGUGGCUGAAAUAAGUCUAACGCACGUUGACUGCCCGACAAGGGCCUAGGGUAACACCCAGUCAAGGGUGUCCGGGUUUCAACAUAUCCAAGUAUCCAUCAUUUCCAAGUAUCCAAGUGCCCGGAAGGUACAUAGGGUGGUGCUAACAGCACUUCAAUAUAACAUAUUGCACAUCCCAACAAAUAUACCAUAACCAUAUGCCAAAUUCCAAAUAUUCCAAAUUACCCAAUCCCAUAUACAUAGACAACCGAACAUUAAUAGAGUCCAUAACUCAAUACCCAAAUAUUUAAUCGUAGUAUAGAUAUCAAACUCUCAAAAGCAUAUAUACCAUAACCAAAAUAUUCACAAACUUCAAAUAUCAGUAUAACAUCCGAUAACCAUAAGAUAUUCUAACCCAUAAUUAAAACAACAAUAUAACUUCUUAAUCUCAAUAGUCAAAAUAAUCAAAUUUUAUAUAUAUGCAAUCCACUCUUUGAAAAUAAUGAUCAUUUGAAACAAAGUCCACUCACGAAAAGUACAAAGCUGCUUGACUUGCGGGGGUCCUUCGUGUUGAGUUCGUGGAGCUUGAGUACCUAUUUUACUGAACACGAGGACUUAAUCAAAACGACUAAACCAACCACGAACUUAAAUUCAACUCCCAAGCUCUAGCGAUUCAAAGUGUGUGUGCACGACUAUUGGGGAGUUUCUAAGGCUAAUAUAAUGCUUUUGAAAGGUGGAACGACCUUGGAAGACUCACGGUCAACCAAGUGGCCAAACUUCUCAAAUUGGUCAAUCGGGUCCGUGGGGUCACGACCUCUGAUUUUCGAUCCGAAAAUUCCAACUAGAUCCUAAAGGUAUAGAGAACAACAUAUUUGAAAUUAGGACCGAUUAUCGAACCCGAAUAUUGCAUAAUAUGCGUAAUAUUCGUCUGAUAGUCAAACGAUAACCAAUUCUAAAUCCAAGCAUACCGUCGUGCUAAGGACGAGUUGAGGAGUGUUUUAGAACAUAAUUUGCCGCCACAAAAUGGUCCACGCGCCGGCACCCACUGCCGAUAAUGCGUGGUGUCUUGAGAAAUUUUCAGCAAAAACACCCUACAAUACUUUUGCCAACAGAUUCAGAUUAACUAGGGGGUCAACUUUUGUUCUUGGACCACGGCCAAAAACUAGCCGGAACUAGCUGAAUCGAGCCGAAACCAUCAGCUAAAAUGGGAAUAUUGAACGAUAUGUAAAACCUCCAAAUGAAUCCCAAGAUACCUAUACUAACAGCUAGAGCAUGUUAAGGGGAUGAAGAAUCAUACAUUGGUCGACAUAAACAACCGCUAGAAUUGCAAGAAAUUGCACGAACAUCAUUGGCGAUUAAAUGAGGGUUUUGCAAGGUUUGAGUCCAAAAUCACGACCAAAUUUGGAGUUUUGAAGGUGGAAAUAGGUAUGCAAGUGUAGAGGAGGAAGAGACAAACGUUUUGUGGGUCGUGGUGUCUCCGGCUGUGGCCGGAUGGAGGAGAAAACACCAGCCAAACAGGCCGGUUUGUUUCGGGAAGAAGGAGAGGGUCGCUUAAGCAAGGAGAGAGAAAGUGAGAGAGAUCUGAUCGUUCGUUUUAAAACCCAACUUUGAAAAAAUUAUGGUUGUGCAACUACACUUCCGUAGACCACAACUUCUUUAUUUAAACUCGGAUUUGGACCUACUACGUGUCUACGAACUCGUGAGAGCGAGCUCUACGCAAUGGUGCCACUCAUUUUCUCAAAAUCCUUCUAGAUCGAAAAGGGACUAAAGUGACCCUACCCCCAAGGGCAAAAUUAUAAAUUCGGAAAUAAAAAUGAAUUGAAUAAAAUGAUUAAAUUAGAUCGAGAUGUUACAAUAUUGUUGUUGUUGUUUUUCUUUAAUUAAUGUAGCCCCCUGGUUCCUCCCUUUUUUUUUUUUUUUUUUUUUUUAGUGUAAGUUGUUUUUUUAUAUAAUUGUAACGACACUAAGAAAGAUACCAACUCACCACACAACUUAAAAAACAGAAGCUAAUUUAUAAGAAAAUAACUAAACAGAAAAGAAAACAAAGACGUCACAUAUUGUAAUUUUUAAAUAUAUAUUUUCUUACAAGCAAAAAAAUUCUAAAAAAAGAAACUUAAAUUUUUAUUUAAGUUAAACUUUAUAUAUAUAUAUAUAUUAUUGUUAAUUUUAAUUUUAAAGAAACAAAAACUUAAAAUUACUAAAAUAAUAAUAACAAAACAAGUAAAGAGAAAACAAAAUAAGAAUUAUUGUAUCACUCGUGUAUCACCAUGGUAUCACCACGUUAUCACUAUGGUGUCACCUGUUUAUCACGUUUUAGGUCAGAGAUGAAUUUAUGAACUUCCACUAUUUUUCAGUUUCAACCUUUGUCCCAUUUUGGACCUAUAACUUUCUAACCAUUAAUCCAGAUUUUAUGUUCUUUAUAUGGUUGGAUUCAGAAUGACAAAAUGGAGAACUCAGCGAGGACCGAAUGGUAAAAUUAGUUACAGAAGUGUACAUAAUUCAUUAAAACGAACAGUUAAAGUUUUGACACAAGAAAAACAAAGCAAAAAAACAUUCCCACCAAGAACUUAAAUGAAACAUUGUCCUUAAUGUUGAAAAGAGUAAAAUCAUAUCAUGCAAUGUAUCAUAAGGCCAAGGGACGAAACAAAGCAAAAUAAAAUUAAAACAAAAACUUAAAUUACUUAAAACUAAACAAGCAAAGAGGAAUGAUUGAAAAUUAAUACUCCCCUUUGAAGCAAUUAGACCAAGCAUGGAUGCAUUUGGAGGUCGCUUGGAGGUCGCGACUUCUCCCAAUACCCCACACUUCCCAUCCUUAUGAUUGGAGUUGCCUUCUCUCUUUCCCCUUUUUUAUUGGGCUAUCCUAGAUUGCUAAAACGAACACAGAAAACUUAAAACAGAAUUAAAAGAAUUAGGAAGGAAAAAUUAAUAUGAAAAGUAAAGCAAGUAGGGAAACAAAAUAAAACCAAACUAUGCUACCAAUCCCCGACAAAGGAGCCAAAAACUUCUUGUGUCGAUUCAGCUGCACCAAAGUUGAUUUAGCUACAUCCUCAACUUGUGAUAUUCGCAAGUGCAUGAACCGUUGGAUAGUAUAGUAUAUGUAAGUGCAAGGUCAAUCCCACAAGGAUUGAUGAUAGAUUGAUUCAAUUCGAUUCCCUGCAUAAAACAAAAAUGGAAACAAGGUUUAAAGAUUAUUGAGAAGAGUACAAGAAUUGAAAACUUAAAGUUUAAUCAAACAAAGAAGAAAGGCUCUAAAACUGGUUUUGGGUUUAAAAACAAUUCUAGGACACUAGGGAACAAUCCAAUUCUAAGUCUCAAGCAAUUAAGUGAAUAAGUUCAGUUCAGAUUCACAGAUUGAUUCUAGCUAAAGUAUGAGUAAGCCAUGGUAUCUAGUUCUAACCUUGAAUUCCUAAUUACCUAAUUAAGUCCUUGUUGUCGAACCUAAAUUAAGCAUUAGAAAUCCGUUAAGUAUAGAAGAAUGUUAUAAACAACCAAACAUAUGAAUGAUUUGUUUUGUUUUUCUUGUGUCAAUCUUGACAGGAUCAUAAUUACUUCAACUAAGAUAGCUAACAUACAAGUUUUAAUGGUGAUCAAUAAUUCAAACAAGCAUAUUAACUUAUAAGCAUAUGAAUGAUGUAGGACGAAAUAUGGGUCAAUUAUGGUGUGAAAAAUUAAUUAAAAUAAAGUGGCUCAAAGUUGGAAGGAAAUCGUGCAAGAGAGGAAAAUUCCAAUUAAAUGUCAAUUAUGGCACUAGGAAAAGAAGGAAGGCGUAUCGUUGGGAUUUUCUAAUUGAUUGAGCAAGUUUGAAGUAAUUAUGAUCCUGUCAAGAUUUAUAUUUAAUCUAUAUUUUGAAGAAUAAGUUAUCUAUUAGGAUAUUAUUUUCCUAAUAUGAUUUUUAUUAUUUUCUUAUUAGCUAAAUUUAGGAAUAUUCUAGAAGCUAGGGUUUCCUACAGUUUUAGGGUUUCUUUGUUUUCUAUUUAAGCCAACUCAUGGCAUUUAUUUGUGAGUUGAUUCAUCUUAUUUUCAAUCAAUAUUGAUUCAUCUUAUUUUCAAUCAAUAUAUUUGAGGUUUACUCAAUUUCUCUAGUUGAUUCCAGUUUGUUGGUGGAUUCCGACAUUGUUACUUAUAGGGUUAUCAUUCGAUCUUCCUAUCCUUUAUAUCUCGAUGCGUCAAUGAAUAAGAACAAGAACUAUAAUUGAAACUUGAAAACUAAUCAAACUUGAAAACUUAAAAUAAGAAAUUACGUAACAAUGAAAAAUAAAAUACAAUUAAGAAAAACAUAAAGAAAAAUCUAGCAAAAGAGUUUUAUUACAACAAUUGAGAAUUUAAAAUGAAAACUAAGAGAAGAAAAACUAAAAUAGUAGAUGCCCCUAGAUCCUUGCCUUCGGCUCCCCAUGGUCUCUAAUUCUAACUCUAUUUGGUGCCCAAAGUCUUGCACAACUUCUGCACACCUUUCAUACCUUAUUCUCUCUGCCGUAGCUCUCUAUUUAUAGAGAAUGAAAAUCUCUUGUAGCAGCACAUUUCCAUGUGGAUGUACGGUACAUUUCCAUGCCUAAGUCCUCAAAUAGUCUAUCUUGCUGCAUAUCAAACUUUCUUCAUGUGCUGGCUGCUGCACUUUUAAUUCAUCCACCUGUUACGGCAGCCUUUGCUUGCCUUUGGCAUUUGCAAACCUCCAAGAGGUUUUGCUGCCAACGUUCUUCUUUCAUUUCUUUGCAUUAUUCUUUCUCCUUUUGGUUGCUGCCCAUUCCUCUUUCUUUUCUUUAUCUUUCUCUGCUCAUCACGUGUUGGCAUAUUGGCAUUUUGUGUCAGCCAACAUCAUUCUUUAUACUUCUUCCUAUUCUUUUUCAUUUGCUGUCUGCACACAUGGUGGGCUGCUGCCCAAAGUUGCUCCCUUCAAUCUUUCCAACUCAUAUUUGCAUAGAAAAUUCCACCUUUUCUCCUCUAUUACAAUUGGUUUUAAUACAUUAAGAGGAAUUCUUUCAACUUUAAAAAUCUGAAAACCAAACUUCAUAAUGUAAAACAAUGUUACCAAGAGGUGUGGUAACAAGCAGAAAAAGAGGUAGCACACAAAUGACUCUACAAUAGGAUUAAAGCUCCCAAUGUAUGCUAGAGAGAGAGAGAGAGAGAGAGAGAGAGAGAGAGAGAGAGAGAGAGAGAGAGAGAGCAAAAGGCCCAAGAAGGGCAAAGAUGACUCCAAGUAAUUUUGCCUAAAACAAAAUUAUGCCUAUCUGUCGAUUCCAUGCAGAAAACGGGCUUGACAAAAACUAGAUUAUCUCUUUCCAAUUAAAGUCAUGUGGAGCCUUGAAAUUUCCAACUAAUAUUAAGAUUCUGUGCCUGUCGAUCUACUGCACAUGUGCCACAGUUAAGCUGCCAUUAGCAAAGUCCUUCGGAAAGCACCAUAUAAAAAAUGGCGGUGUUAUCAGCUUUAAAGCAUGUAUCUCUUGGGGCGUCUAUAGCCUCUAAGAUUUUACAUUUAUUACUAUCUUCCUUAGUUUCCAUUUCCACGUUCACUUUUGAUCGAUCCUGGUUGUAGUCGUGUAUUUGUGUUGUAAGUUGUGAUCACAAGAAGGAGGUCCUAAUUUUCUUAUAUUCUUUUCUCAUAAGGAAAAGAACAGUGUGCUCCUAUUAAAGACCAAAGAAAAAAAGAGCAUUAGAAAAAGAAAAGAUGACGGAGAAGGUGACUGUGAGCGUAAGGGAGUCAACGAUGGUGAGGCCUGCCGAGGAGUCGACGCCUCGGGGCUCACUGUGGCUCUCCAACUCGGACCUAGCAUUCACACCCUUUCACACGUCCUCUGUUUACUUUUAUAGAACAAGCGGUGAGCUCAACUUCUUUGAUCGGAGAGUGCUCAAGCAAGCGCUCAGCAAGGUCCUCGUGCCCUUCUGCCCCAUGGCCGGUCGAUUCAAGCUAAAUGACCAGAAUGGCCGUGGGGAGAUUGAUUGCAAUGCGGAGGGAGUGCUUUUUGUUGUGGCAGAGAGCAACUCUGUCGUUGAUGAUUUUGGCGAUUUUGCGCCCACUUCCGAUUUCCUUAAGCUCAUCCCCGCCGUGGAAUACUCGGUUGGAAUAUCCUCAUAUCCCCUUUUGGUGUUACAGGUAUUUAAUAAUGAUCAUCCAAGGUCUUUUAUAUUUUGUAAAAUUUGUAUAUGUAUAUACUUAUAUUCUCGUUGCACGCGCGUUACUCAUUGCAUCAUUUUGAUCUAGUUUUGGAACCGAAUAAGAUGUUUCAUUGAAUUUUGUCAUUUUAAAUUAUCAAGUCCUAGGUCACUCUCGUUCGCCUCUGCGGUCUCGUCAUGCUCCAAGUACCAUCGAAACACCACUUUUAACUCUUCUACUCUCCAUCAGAAAACUUUUGUUCUAUUUUGAAGCAUAUAUGUUGUCUGCAAAAUCCAAACCCACUCACAUGUCAUCAGAAACCCAAAUUCUGCAAUUUUGAGCAAUUGCAACUUCAAAUCCAAUCCAGUCUUUCCGAAUCAUCCCAACCCAUCUCUAUAUUAACGUAUUUCUCUUAAUUUUAAGUCAAGUUCAGUAAUAACAAACAUUUUCUAUUUGCAUCUCUGUACCAAAAGCUGUGGUUCUUUUCUGGUCACACAACCUGUGGUGCUUGAGAGAGAGAGAGAGAGAGAGAGAGAGAGAGAGAGAGAGAGAUUACCAGUAACCAUAUAUUUAUAUAUGGUUGUGUUUUAAUUUCUACGUAUAUAUGCAAACGCAGGUUACGUACUUCAAAUGUGGUGGUGUGUCGCUGUUGGAGUGGACCACCGCAUUGCAGAUGGAGCAUCUAGUCUACACUUCGUAAAUACAUGGUCUGAUAUUGCUCGUGAUGAUCUCUCAAAUAUUAAACCACCCUUCAUGAACAGGAUGUUACUUUGUGCUCGAGAUGCACCUCAGCCAGCAUUUCCUCACGUUGAAUAUCAACCUUUUCCACAAAUGAAAUUAGCUUCUGAUCAUCUGGAAAGCACAAGUAAUACUACUGCCUCGAUUUUUAGAUUUACGCGGGAGCAGCUCAACAUCUUGAAAGCCAACUCUGCGGAAGAUGACGGCGGGAAUAUUAAUACAAUCAAGUAUAGCACAUUUGAGGUGUUGGCAGGGCAUAUUUGGAGAUGUGCUUGCAAGGCACGUAAACUGCCAGAUGAUCAAGACACCAAAGUACUCAUUCCCAUUGAUGGACGGUCUAGAUUGCAACCCCCACUCCCACCCGGUUUCUUUGGCAAUGUCAUUUUUAGAGCCACACAUAUUGCUGCAGCAGGGGAUCUCCAGUCCAAACCAACAUGGUAUGCUGCAAGCUGUGUUCAUAAUGCUUUGGUCCAGAUUGAUGAUGAUUAUCUCAGAUCAGCCGUUGACUAUCUUGAGCUUCAUCGUCCUUGUGUUUCCCCACUUGUUAUGGGGGCCCUGUUGAUCAGGUGCCCGAAUCUUUGGAUAAACAGUUGGGUUAGGCUGCCGAUUCACGACGCUGAUUUUGGUUGGGGUCGACCCAUUUUCAUGGGGCCUGGCACACUAUUUGACGGGAUGGCUUUGUUGUUACCAAGCGCAACUAAUGAUGGGAGUUUAUCCCUGAUGAUUUCUCUGCAUUCUGAACACUUGAAAUCAUUUUCCAAGUUGUUGUAUGACAUAUGAGGAAAUGUCACGGUUGAAGAAAUUUGGUGCUGUCUGGUUUGAAUUGCUGUUAUUCCCCUCAUCUUUAUGGGUGUUCAAAUUUGAAGUUGUGUAUUGGUUCGUGCACGUUGCUUGAUUGAGUAUUGAAACUUUUUUUUUUUCGAAAGUAUGGUGGACUUCUUGUCCACAAUGCUGGUUGUGUUAUAUUGUGAUUCUUAAUAGAGGAUUCUCUUUCUCAUGAAAUUAAAAGAACAUUGGAACCAAAAGAGUAGGAGUCAUAAAGAGGUUCGAAAAUUUUGUAAAGAGAUUACCAAAAUAAUUAGAAAUCUGAACACCCCUCAAAGGUUACAAAACUCUUAUUUCUAGGCCUAUAGAUACAUCCGUUAAUGAUUGUACUUGCAGAACAUACAUUCCUAAUGUAAAAAUCGCUAUUAAUGAUUGUAUGUUCAAAAUGCAAAUUUAAACCAAGUAAUGAAUGUACAAUACGAAUAGACACUGUACAAUCAAGUAUGUUAUAUGAUUCAUAAUGCACUAUUACCUCUAUGAAUUUUGGCAUCUUUAUAUUAGAACAAUAUGAACUUUGGUUCGUAUCUAAAUGUAGUGUUAAAUUACAAAAUGGGCAUGGUCGGACCUCUUUAUUUUUGGACCUGCUUAGGCGUGGAUAAAGGUUAUCUGGGCUUUAUUUUUGGCCUUACUAGUUAUUUGCUUUUUUGUUGGGAGACCUUACUUUUAUUUGGUGUUAACAGAAGCCCCCUAAGUCCUAAAUUUGGUAUCAACAGAAGCCCCAUAAGUCUAAAAUUUGGUGUCAACUGAAGCCUCCUAAGUCUUAACUUUGGUGUCAACAGAAGCCCCCUAAGUCCUAAAUUUAGUGUCAACCACACCACUCUUUUCGAUCCAAUAUGAAGUCUUAAAUUGGUCAACCACGCCAAAACCCCAAGGAGUAAAAUACUCCUUCAAGUUCUGUUAGAGAUUCCUAUAUAAAGACUGCUCAAAGUCAAUACGAACACAUUUUUUAUUUUUUUUGGUCUGAAACUCAUCUUCAAAGAUUACACAUAACUCAUUUAAAAAAAUCUUGACAUAUUAUCUUUUAUUCAAAAACAUAUUUCUAAAUAGAUUCCAAAGAUUUCAGAGAUUUCCAAUGAGAUUACUCAGAGACUUCAAAUCAUAUAGGUCACAAUAGCCACUUAUUUCCAAUAUGAUUACGAAUUCGAGUCUAACUUCCCCAAUUGACGCAUAUUGUUAGAGGGCAAUGUGGUCCACCCGUCGUCCCUUUAGGCCUACCGCAUGAGUGCAAAAUGGGCAUGAUCGGGCCUCUUUGUUUAGGGCUUUCUUAGGUGUGGAUAAAGGUUUUAUGCGCUUUACUUUUGGCCUUUUGAUUCCAAUCAAUUACUUUAAGUGAUAGGCCCGCAAUUGACCUACCAUUUCCUCUCAGCUGGUUGCGUUGCUUGCCUCUUAGGGUACCUCCCAUCUUCCUGUUCAAAUUCUGGUUAUCGAAACAAUUCCAAUUUCAAAAACUUAUAUGGCGUUAAGUUUGGUGUCAACAAUGGAGUUUUGAUUUUAUGUUGCAUGUUUAAUAAUUCUUUAUUAUAUAUAUAUAUAAACAAAUGCUCAUGAGUCCUAGUUUUAAAUUUUCUAUCAAUAUAUAUGGUCUAAUUCUUUUUACAGUAUUUCAUUAAAGACUUAGGAGGCCCAUUAUUCAUUUUGUAUAUAAGCCUUAAAAUCUCAGAGCCGCCGGUGCAUAAAGUAAAGACAUUCAAAUCGGAAUUAUAACUAUUGGCUUAAUGUCAAUUUUCCUACCCUUUUCCCAGAGGGGCAUUGUGGAGACAAAAAUAUCACCAGUCAUGCCCUCACUCAAUCCGCACACAAAACAUGAAAGUAAUCUUAUGUGGAAAACUAGCAAUUGAACUUGUGAAAAAAUAGUGAAUGGACUUGGAUCAACAAUGCCAAAAAAAAAAAAAAAAAAAAUGUAUGCUGCUAAGCAACAAUGCUAUUAUUUAGGAGUGGUUGCGGUUCGGUAACCGCGAAUUUUUCUUUGAACCGCAAACCGAUAUACUAUUUCCGGUAAGGUGAUUUUUGAAAUUGCAAACCGACCGCAUUUUGCGGUUUACCGCAAACCGCAAAAAUCGGUUGAUUACCGUGAAUUAACGGUUUAAACCUAUUUGAAUAUUUUGGGCCUAAAUUAGACAAUUUUAGAUCUUUAAGUGUGGUCCUUUUGUGUCAAAAAAAUUCAAUCUUCCACACUUUUAAGCCUAGGUUUGAUGCUUCUUUUGAAGCUUUUUGAGUUCAAGCAUACGUUAACCAAAAAAUAUAAAUCACAACCUAAAGAAAUAAAUUCAUGACCUCAACUUCUCAAGCAUAUAUAAAUUUACAACCUAAAGAAAUAAAUUCACAACCUCAACAUCUCAAGCAUAUAUAAAUUCACAACCUCAACCUCAACUUCUCGAGCAUUCACAACCUAAAGAAAAAUCCAAUUCAAAGUUAAUUAAAGUUAGAAACCAAAAAGAAAAUGCAAUGCAAAAUGAAUUAAAGUUACAACCCAAAGGAAAAAUCCAAUUCAAAGUUAAUUAAAGUUAGAAACCAAAAGGAAAAUGCAAUGCAAAAUGAAUUAAAGUUACAAUCCAAAGGGAAAAUCCAAUUCAAAGUUAAUUAAAGUUACAAACCAAAAGGAGUGUAGGUGGUGGUGAGUGGAUUUUAUUAUAAGAAGAAACCAUUCUUUAUGAGUUGGAGUGGAGGCUGUGUUUUGGGUGUAUCGGUUUGUGUUUGGGGGGAUUAGAGGCAUUAUGUGUGUUAGAGUGGCUAGACUCCAACUAUAACACAACACAACACAAAAGCAACAACAUAAAAGCAUAUUAAUAACAUAUUAAACUCAACCAAAUUAAAACACAACAUCUAACUACUAAAAUGCAACUUUUUUUAAAAAAAUAUUUGCGGUUUGCGAUAACCACGAGUUGCUAAAAUCACAUACCGCAACUGCAACCGCAAUUUUCAGUUGGUUUUUAGCUAUUGCGGUAUAAUGUCGGUUGAUUUUUGCGGUUUUUCGGUAUAACAUGCCACCCCUACUAUUACUAGUAAAAGUGCCACCGAAAAUAUUAUCAGCACCUGUAUGUUGCUUUGCUCUUACUUGAAAAAAAAAAUACAUGAGAGUCAAACAAGGACUAAUAAGGGGCAAAGACCUAUCCCAAAUGACUAUUUUUUAUUACGAAAGAUUCAUCCCAAUAAUAAGUAAUUGCAUAUUAGGGGUGUUGUUAGAAGCACGUUAAAUUUUGUAUUGAAAAUUAAAGUGCAUUAUGGAAAAGCUCUUGAAAUUGUGAGAGUGAUUUAAGACUCAUAAUCAUUUUUAAAAUUUUCUUGCCGAGUAUGUCAAUAACGUCUUUCAUUGUGAGAAAAUGGUUUUAGUCGUUCCAUAACAAUGCCUAACAAAUGUGAAAUUGGUACUUAGGUGACGAGGGGUAAAGUUAAAUGCUAUUCAAGCGGACACAGCGAUCUUCACACACUUUAAACCUUGACCAAAUAUACUUAUGACUAGUCAAUUGCUAGUCUUGAAAAACCAUAACCAAAAACACACAUAGAGCAUAACAAUCUGUACUUGCAAGUUUAGAAGAUUAUUAGUGACAACCUAGGCACUUAGAAUGUAACACCCCGAGUCCAAAUUUAAUUCCUAUUUUAAAUUAUUUAAAUGAAUUUACGAAUUUACCCUUAGGGUAGGGGUAAAUUGGUCAAUUUCUUACCCAGAAAGUGUUUGGGGCAGUAACUGGUAUUUUUGGGUAGGUGGUACUAAGACGAAUUCAAAGACACGCGGUAGGCUUGAAUCGGAGUUGUAACGAAGAAGUUACGGGCAAAACACUAUCAGUGGCAAAAUCGUAAAUAUUUUGAAGUUUGGGUUUAAAAUAUCUGAUCUCUCUCCCUCUCUCUCUCUCUCUCUCUCUCUCUCUCUCUCUCUCUCGCGGCUGAACCCCCCUCCCCGUUUCGAUUUUUCGCCGGAAUUUCAGACGGCGAGAACUUCGCCGUCCGACCUCCAUUUCAGGCCCCGUUUCUUGCAAAAGCUUCCUCUCUUCCUCCUCUACCCAACCCACCCCUUUUCUCCGAUCGAAAACCCGACAAACGGCGGUGGCAACGACGUGAAAAAUAGCCAAAACUGCCGACGUCACCGGCAACGUUUCCGGCCAUCGCGAGCUGCGCCGUCACUUGGAACAGGUAGCUCUCCUUCCCUUCCAGCUGUUUCCUAGGUUGUGCGAUGACAAUGUCCACGGUGGUCGUCAGAUCGAAGCCGUGAAGUUCUGGGUUAAACCGUGAGUUUUCAACGCCGAUUCCGGCCCCUUGCCGUCCGAAUUGGACUUGGGUGUAGUUGAAUAAAGUGUUCCACUCGUCGAGUAGAACCUGUAGCCGGAAGGGUGGCUUGUAGUUUGGAGAUUUUCUAGCGAAGCUUUAUCGCUUUGGACACCCACACGCUGCCGGCACGUGGGCACUGUAGCAGAGGGGCAUUAUUGUCCCAAUGCGACCUCCUGGUUGGCACGAGCACGUAGGAUUUUGCGGAUCUCAAUUCGGACAUCGUUUGACUAUCGAACGAAUUUUUGCAUAUUGUGCGUUAUCCGGGUUCGAUAGGUUCCGACCGUUAGAUCCUUUCCGAAUUAAAAUAUGUUAUUCUAGGUAUUCCUAGGAUCGUAUAAGAAUUCUCGGAUCGUGAAUCGGAACCCCGGAUGUUCCGAUUCAAUAACUUAAAGUUUGCGUUUUAUAAUAACCGUCCGAUUGUGCGAUCGUAAGCCAUCUAACUGUCCGUUUCGGACCAAACUUGCGAGACGGGUAUCUUAGACCUUGUGAAACCUUUAGGAACUUUCGGGUUGUAAAACGGAGGUCGUGGGUCCCGUGGGCCCGGUUGACCCAAAUUGGGAAGUUUGACCACUGGUUGACCGAGUGUCUCCUGAAGUUAUUCCAUCGUCCAAAUCGGGUAGUUGGAUCUUAGAACGUCUCGUUCCUAGUACACUUACUAGAAACCUGGGAAAUUAGGAUAUUUAAUUUAAAGUACUCGUUCGAAACGUUUCGUAUUAAUCUCGUAUACGUAUUCUGAAUUAGGUACUCCGACUACGCAUACACAGCAGGCGGGACCCUCUCAGGGUCAAGCAGCGUGGGACUACUUGUGAGUGGACUUUGUUUUCAAAUCUUGUGCAUGGUUUUAUUGAUGAAAGAUUUAUGCAUAAUGUUUUUAAUGAUUUAUUGAAUAUAUUAUAUUCAUGAGUUGAAUUUGAUGUUUGUAUAGUGCUUUGGCAUAGUUGGGUAUUGAAAGUAUAUUUUAUAUGAAUUUUGGGAAAUAUUAUGUAUGAUGUUUUAAAUGGUAUUUUGGAUAUAUUAUUUAUGAAAUUGUUGAAAGUGAUAUUUUUAUGAGGCAUUGAAAAUAUAUUUUGGGUUUUGACGUAUUUGAGUAUCUUGAGUAUGAAUAUAUGGAUUUUGGGGAUUUCUAUAUAUAUUUGGCUAUGUGUGAGGUACUUGGGUUGUUGAGAUGAGAUUAUGGAAAGUGGUCAGUAUAGAAUGUCAGUUUGGUGUGCUGUAAGCACUACCCUAUGUACCUCCCCGGAUGUGGAACUUGGAUACGGAGACUUGAGAUACUUGGAAUUGUCGGGACUCGGGGCAUCCUUGACGGGAUGUUGCUGUAGACCCUUAAUUGGGUAGUCUGCGCUCGUAGGACUGAUCACAGACGUACGGAUUUUGAGGUUAUCGGCAGUACGCGCUGGCUGAGAGUUGGUCCCCCAGUUGGACAGCUCGUUCCCUAGUCACAUGGUGGAUUGAGGACUCAUCACGAGGACUCUGCCAGGGUGACUAGUCAAACAAUCCCCCGGUUGGAUUGUUUCCCCGGUACAACUAGGUGAUGGUUAUAUUUAUACUAUAUAUAUAUAUAUCUCUCUUAUAUUAUAUAUUUAUAUCUAUUCAUUCAUUCUUGUUUUUCGGUGUGGAUACUUCCUUGCCGGUCGUGCCAAUGGGUACGCUUUCGAGAGUUUGGUUGUGGGAUUUAUAAGUUUUUGGAUAGUAGGUUUUGUGAAGCGUUCGUUUUGGAUUUCGGACUUGGAAUCUGGUAUUGAUUUGUUUUGUUAUAUUAUAUAUAUAUAUAUACUUGAGUAUGACGGUUUUGAGAUGCAUGGGAUUUCUUGCAUGGUUUUCUAAACGGUGGGGUUAUAUUACGUUGGUUUACACUGAACUGAAUUUAUUUUUGUCUACUCACAAUUUUCUGUUUUGCGCCCCCCCAGCCAGUAGUUGACUGAGCUCCGCAGUAGAGCCGGAUCGUGCGCUUCCGAGCCUUGAGUCAUCGUAGGACUCUUUCUUCAUGUUAUUUCCUUUGUACUCUGUUUUGUUGUAAUUAAAGUCCUUAGACAUGCUCUGUUAUCGCCCCUGUUAGGGUUUGAAUUGUGAGGUCGGAGGCCAUUUUGUUGUAAACUGUUUAUUCGUUUCAAAGCAUGCUGCUGGUUAGGAUUAUUCUGUAUUUUUAUGCAGGUUGAAUUUUGUUGGUUUGUUCAAUUCACAGGGGAGACUCUGCCAAAAUUUUGGUGGAGAGUCUCGGUUUUUAGUAAGUGGGCCCGGCAUCGGGAAGAUGUCGGAAUAAAGAUGGGAUUCGCUCCGGUCUCCGGGGAAAUUCCGGGGCGGGUCCUGUCAUAGAAGGACCCGUUAAUCUAGGCAUCCCCUGUGCUAGCAACACUAUGGUAAAAGUGUGUGGAAACAUCAUAAUCAAGUAAACAGCAAAUAACAGAUAAUGAUGACUAGUCAACCGCAAGAACACAAACCCAUAAAUGCAUGAAUAUCAUGCGAUGACUAGUCAACUAUCAAGAACAUAAACCCAGAAAAUAACAAAGCUGCAAACCAAAAAUUGUUCACCCACAAACCUACAACUGGGAAAAACUGGGGGUCAUCAACAGACCAGGCAAUCCUCUAAGCGAAGAAAAUUCUUACAAAGGAACACAAGCAAGCUCAAAAAAUCCUAGAUCUAUUUAGGAAGAUAAGCUAUACCUCCUUUGUGCAAUCUUCUUAUCCAACUUAACAAAACCAGUAGCUUAUUCCUUCAUGGCAAUGGUAGCUCCUUCUUCGGCUCUUUCAUCACAGGGCACCAGCUAGCCAGCUCAAAUUCAGAUAGAAACCAAAAUUUGGAUUCAAGGAAAAAUGAUCAAUUUUUUCAAGAAACCAUGCUCUUGAAGAAAUCAAUCUUGAAUCUGACCAAGAUGUAUAUGAGGAUGUGUUUGUUGUGUAUCAUGCUUGUUGCAUAAUUCAGCUUGUCUAUGGGGAUAAUGGGUCAUUUAUGUAUCAUCAUGGAUAUGGUUAUGCACCAUAUGACACAUAUGCAACAUCUCUGUUAAAUUUACUUUUGAAUGUCAAUGUCCCUUCCAAUUAUGUUUAAAAUUCAGGACCUUGAGAAAACACCUCUUAUGUGAGAAACUUUUUUCUAUCCUGACAUCAUUGUGUAUCAUGUUUGUUGCAUAUUUCAGGCUGUUUAUGGGGAUAUUGGGUCAUUUAUGUGUCAUUUCAAGCGUAUAUGGGGUAACUUCACUUCAUCUUUUUUUUAAAAAAAAAAUGUUCCUCACCCCUCUGCCUCCCCCUUUAUUCAAAACAAGGGCAACCAUUAUCCCAUUUCAACCUCUCACAACUAGAGCUAAGCUAAAGCACAAGGGAAUUUUGCAAAGAGGUAUAUUUAAUAUGUGCAGCUUAUUUUAAUUUUGGCUAUUUAAUUUGGGAAUUUUAGGAGCUUAGUUUGAUUUGUAUUGUGUUUAUUUAAUUUGUGCAGCCUUGGUUUAAAGCUUUGGUUGCCUUUGCGAUUCGACAAGGAUUGAUUUCGUGAUUGCUGUGAAAGUAAUCAAAUAUAAAAAAAAAGAAAAAGAAAAAGAAAUUGCUUAAACACGUUUGGUACUUGGGCAUUUUUUGUUGAGUCUAAAUGUUAAAUUGCGACUUCUUUUUUUCUUUUUGGUUUAAUAUUGGAAUUUUAGCAGCUUGGUUUUAUUUUUAUUAUGUUCAUUUAAUUUGUGUAGGCCCUUGUGUAAAGCUUUGGUUCCCUUGACAAUUCAAAUAUGAAGAGUUGUUCCUAGGAACUUAUAGUAAUUUUACGUAUAUUUUUAUGACUUUUAAAAAUUAUAAAUUUUACAAAUAACAGAGAAAUGACAUGUCAUAAUUGCAAUGCUACAUCAGUACUUGUUUGCCACCAAAAUUUCGUAAACGCUUCAAAAGGAUUCGCUAGAGCUUCAACAUUGCUUCAUCUACUAUUCACUAAAGCUUCAUAAUAUUAUUUUUAUUUUUGGCUUAAGUGUCAAAAUGGUCCAUGUGUUUUAACACAAUGGCCAAUUUAAUCCCUGUGUUUUUAAUUUGGCCAAUUCGGUCCUUGUGUUUAUGAUCAUUAGCUAAUUUAGUCCAUCCAGUUAAAAUAGUCGUUAAAUAUGAACAUGAUUGGUUUUUUUUUUUUUUGAAAACGUAUAAAGCUUUUUUAAAUUAAAAAAAGUUGAAUUGAUUUAAAAAUAUUAAAACUUCAAUUAAACUAACAUAACAUUAGGGAAAAAAAAAACUUGAAAAAAUGAAGGAGGCGUAGUCCGGGGAGGGGAAGGGCUGCUUAAUGAGUGGAGUAGUGGGAAGAGGGGUUGACCAUUGCAGGGUGGGGGUGGGUGAUGAAUGAAGGCAUACAACAGAAGAGGGAGAGAUGGGGGUUGGAGAUGGUGUGAACGAUCUGGGAGCCAUGACUGAGGAUGGGGCAAAUGGCUAGGCAAGGGUUAGGUUCUGGAAGAUCUUGCUGGGAGCUGGUCAAAUAAGGGUAAAUGGCUAGACAAUGGUUGAACUCAAAUAAUUAUGUUUUUAAUUAAUGUUUAAAUAGUUUUAAAUUUUUUUAAACUUAGAUUUAAAAGAAUAGAUCACAUUGAUUAAUAGUUGUAAACACAAGGACUUAAUUAGCUAAAUUAGAAACACAUGGACUAAAUUGACCAACGUAAUAAAACACAGGGUCCAUUUUAGCAUUUAAGCCUUUAUUUUUUGACUAAGUCUUCAUUAGUGCUUUUAUGAAUGUUUUAAGAUGAACUCAAAAGACUUGGAAAGUGUAGCACUGAGUUUGUAGAAUUUUUUGUUCUGUAGUUUUUGGCUAUUUAAUGAAUUAUUAUGAUUUUUAGAAGAGUGCACCAUGAGUGCUUCUGACAAGCGACAUUUCGUGUAGCGCCACGUGUCAACAAGGUUUUAUUUUGUGUUUGUUUAUCUUUAAAAAUUCACAAACAAUUAAUUUUUAAAAAAAAUCCUUAAUAUCUACAAAUUUUAUGUGACAUUAUCUUCGACUAUGAUGUGCAAAAAUCAAAAUUUGACUUUAGAAAAUUUGAAUUAAUAAUUCCAGGAAGAGUUGUAGUGAGGGAGUUUGAGUUUGAUAAAGUAUUUGAAACUUUUUUUAUCUCAAAAUAUAUUUUAAUGCUUAAAAGAUGAAGAAAAAAUCAAAAGGAGUUCGUAGGAUUUUUCGGUACAUAUUUAUGAUUUUUGGAAAUUAAAGCAUCGAAAAAUAGUAAUAAAUGGAAGAGAAUGACAAGUGGAAGCACCUAAAUGUUGCAUCAUCAAUGCUUCAGACAGGUAUCAUUCUCACGUAACACCACAAGUCAUCAGCGAUAGCACUUCUCAUUCUCUUCCAUUUAUUACUAUUUUCCAAUGCUUUAACUUCAAAAAAGUCAUAAUAAAUCAGAAAAAUACACCAACAAAUCCUAUGAAAUCAUUGCAACAUUUUUUUUUUCAUCUUUUAUGUUUUAAAAUAUAACUUUGACUUAUAUAAAAUUCAAAUAAUUUCACAAAGUCAAGUUGCUUCCAUACUAACAAUAACACUAAGUUGAAGAUCACUAGUCUUCAUCACUACAACUCUUCCUCCAAUUAUUCUUUCCAAUUUCUCAAAGUCAAAUUUUGAUUUUCUAGUAUCCUAGUCGAAGAUAAUGUCACAAGGAAUUUGUAGGAAUUUUCAGUGUAUUUUUCUAAUUUUUAAAUAAUUUUCUGUGAAUUUUUUAAGAUAAACUCACAAAAAUGAAACAUGAAUUACACGUGGACCUAUGAGAUAUUGACACCCGUUGGAAAAUCUGACGACGAACCCAUCAGCUGCUGCCAUGUGUCAUUAUGUUUCAUUUAUUACUAUUUUCCUAUAUUUUGACUUCCAAAAAUCAUAAUAAAUUCAUAAUAAAUUUGAAAAAUUCACCAAAAAAUGCCUCGGACUCCUUGUGAUAUUUCCAACAUCUUUUGAGACUUAAAAUACAAUUUUAACUUAGAGAAGAAUUCAAAUAAUUUCAUAAAGUCGAGUUUGCUUCCACACUAACAAUAAUACUAAAUUGAAGGAUCACUAGUCUUCAUCAAUACAACUCUCCUUCCAAUUAUUCCUUCAAAUUUCUCAAAGUCAAAUUUUGAUUUUCGAGUAUCAUAGUUGAAGAUAAUGUCGCAAGGAAUUUGUAGAAAUUUUCGGUGUAUUUUUCUGAUUUUUUAAAUGAUUUUUUAUGAAUUGUUUAAGAUCAACUCACAAAAAUAAAACAUGAAUGACACGUGGACCUAUGAGAUACUAACACCCAUUGAAAAAGCUGACAAUGCACCCAUCAGCAGCUGCCAUGUGUCAUUAUCUUACAUUUAUUACUAUUUUCCUAUAUUUUGACUUCCAAAAAUCAUAACUAAUUCAUAAUAAAUCUGAAAAAUUCACCAAAAAAUACCCUAGACUCCUUGCGACAUUUCCAACAUCUUUUAGGACUUAAAAUAUAAUUUUGAAUUAGAUAAAAUUCAAAUAAUUUAACAAAGUCAAGUUGCUUCCAUACUAACAAUAACACUAAGUUGAAGAUCACUAGUCCUCAUCACUACAACUCUUCCUCCAAUUAUUACUUCAAAAUUUUCAAUGUCAAAUUUUGAUUUUCGAGUAUCAUGGUCGAAGAUAAUGUCGCAAGGAAUAUGUAGAAAUUUUCAGUGUAUUUUUCCUAUUUUUUAAUGAUUUUUCGUGAAUUUUUUACAAUAAACUUACAAAAAUGAAACAUUAAUGACACGUGACGCUAGGAGAUACUGAAACCUGUUGGAAAAGUUGAAGACACACCCAUCAGGCGCUGCCAUGUGUCAUUUUCUUCCAUUUAUUACUAUUUUCCAAUAUUUUGACUUCCAAAAAUAUAAUAAAUUCAUAAUAAAUCUGAAAAAUUCACCAAACAAAUACCACGGACUCCUUGCGACAUUUCCAACAUUUUUUUAGACUUAAAAUAAAAUUUUGACUAAGACAAAAAUUCAAAUAAUUUCACAAAGUCAAGUUUGCUUCCAUACUAACAAUAAUACUAAGUUGUAAAUCACUAGUCUUCAUCACUAUAACUCUUCCUCCAAUUAUUACUUCAAAUUUUUCAAUGUCAAAUUUUGAUGUUUGAGUAUCGUAGUCGAAGAUAAUGUCGCAAGGAAUAUAUAGAAAUUUUCGGUGUAUUUUUCUGAUUUUUUUUAAUGAUUUUUCAUGAAUUUUUUAAGAUAAACUCACAAAAAUUAAACAUUAAUGAUACAUGGCGCUAUAAGAUAUUGACACCCGUUGGAAAAGCUGAUGAAGCACCCAUCAAGAGCUGCCAUGUGUCAUUUUCUCCCAUUUAUUACUAUUUUCUAAUAUUUUGACUUCCAAAAAUCAUAAUAAAUUCAUAAUAAAUCUGAAAAAUUCACCAAAAAAAUACCCCAGACUCCUUGCCCAGACUCCUUGCGACAUUUUCAACAUCUUUUGAAACUUAAAAUAUAAUUUUGACUAAGAGAAAAAUUCAAAUAAUUUCACAAAGUGAACUUUGCUUCCAUACUAACAAUAACCCUAAGUUGAAGAUCACUAGUCUUUAUCACUACAACUCUUCCUCUAAUUAUUACUUGGAAUUUUUCAUACUCAAAUUUUGGUUUUCGAGUAUGAUAGUCGAAGAUAAUGUCGCAAGGAAUAUGUGGAAAUUUUCGGUGUAUUUUUUUGAUUUUUUAAUAAUUUUUCAUGAUUUUUUUAAGAUAAACUCACCAAAAUGAAACAUUAAUGACACGUGGCGAUAUGAGAUACUAACGCCCAAUGAAAAAGCUGACGAAGCACCCAUCAGGUGCUGGCAUGUGUCAUUCUCUUCCAUUUAUUACUAUUUUUCAAUAUUUUGACUUCCAAAAAUCAUAAUAAAUCUGAAAAUUUUAUCAAAAAAUACCACGGACUCCUUGUGACAUUUCUAACAUUUUUUGAGACUUAAAAUAUAAUUUUGACUAAGAGAAAAAUUCAAAUAAUUUCACAAAGUCAAGUUUGCUUCCAUACUAACAAUAACACUAAGUUGAAGAUCACUGGUCUUCAUCACUACAACUCUUUCUCCAAUUAUUACUUCAAAUUUUUCAAUGUCAAAUUUUGAUUUUCUAGUAUCAUAGUCAAAGAUAAUGUAGCAAGGAAUAUGUAGAAAUUUUUGGUGUAUUUUUUUGAUUUUUUAAAAUGAUUUUUCGUGAAUUUUUUAAGAUAAACUCACAAAAAUAAAACAUUAAUGACACGUGGCGCUAUGAGAUAUUGACACCCGUUGGAAAAGCUAAUGACGCACCCAUCAUGCACUGCCGUGUGUCAUUUUCUUCCAUUUAUUACUGUUUUCCAAUAUUUUGACUUUCAAAAAUCAUAAUAAAUCUGAAAAAUUCACCAAAAAAAUACCCCAGACUCCUUGCGAGAUUUCCAACAUCUUUUGUGACUUAAAAUAUAAUUUUGACUUAGAAAAAAAUUCAAAUAAUUUCUCAAACUCAAGUUUGUUCCUAUAGUACCUAUAACACUAAGUUGAAGAUCAUCACUCUUCCUCACUAUAACUCUUCCUUCAAUUAUUACUCCAAAUUUUCAAAAGUCAAAUUUCAAUUUUCACGCAUCAUAGUUGAAGAUAAUUUCUCAAGGAGUUUUUUAAAAAUUUCAGUGCAUUUUUCAGAUUUUUAUUAAUUUUGUGUAAUUUUUUUAAGUCAAGCACACAAAAAUGAAACUUUGAUGGCACAUGGCACUAUGAGAUACUAACACCUGUCGAAAACUCAUCAUGUGCUACCAUGUGUGAUGCUCUUCCAUUUAUUACUAUUUUUCAAUGCUUUAACUUCCAAAAAUCAUUAAAAAAAAUCUGAAAAAUUCAUAAUAAAAAUCCUAGGAACUCCUUACAAUAUUUUCUUCAUCUUUUAAGUUUUAAAAUAUAAAUUUGACAUAUAAAAAGUUCAAAUAAUUUCUCAAGACAUUAUCACUCGUCAUUUUCCCCCAUUCAUUGCAUUUAAUACGAAUUUUUGAAGUUAAAGCAUAGAAAAUAUAUAAAUAAACUGAACAUAAUGACACAUGGGAACAGAAAAAUGAUGCGACUUCAGUUCUUUAAACGGGUGUCCUCUUAUAGCGCCAUGUGUAAAAAAUGUUUCUUUUUAAUAUUGUUUAGCAAUAAAUGGGAGGAAAUGACAAGUGCGAGUGCCUUGAGGCUGCAUCCUCAAUGCUUCUCACGAGUGUCACUCUCAAUGGCACCAUGCGUCAUUAAAGUUUCAUUUUUGUAUGUUUAUCUUAAAAUUUUUACAAAAAAUUUAUAAAAAAUCAGAAAAAUAAAUGUGUCAGAGCAGUGUUUAUAACACGUGUCAUUGUUGAAUUACACCACGUAUUUCUAGAAUUACUCUAAGUGUAGAAUAAUAUUUCACCAAAUAUAUGGGUUAAAAUAAGUUCCAUUAACAUUUAUACAGUCAAUAGGUGUACAAGAAAGUUAAACUGAGGUUUCACACAUAUUUCACGUAAUAUGCACUAAUGUUUCACUUAGUGUUCAUCCGAACCUAACUUGUGCAAUUAUCGCCAAUUAGAAGAGUCAUAAAGCCUUUAAUUACUCUACACUUCUUCACUGAUCCUUCUGCAACCAAAGAUUUGAAAAAUAACAGAAAUUGUCAACAACAAAAAAAAUUUAUCUAGCGAGAGUCGAACUGCAAAAUCAAAUGGUAACCGUACAACUGAGUUCUUACCUAGCGAGAGUCUAAGUGCACAAUCAAAUAUCCACAGAGAAAAUUGUUGAAGGGGCACAAGACCCAGAUGGGAAAUAUCGAUAAAAUCAAUUAAGUAAAAAAAGAGUUGAGAAACUUGCAAAACUUACUGAGCGGAAGAACAUGGGAAUAUAUAGGAGCAACCAAGAACUUAAAUUGGGAGCCCGUGCUUCUCUUUCUAAUAGCAGCCUCCCUUUCAACAUAUUCAUGUACACAAUUUGAUAUCAAUUACUAAUACAGAGAAUAAAUUUCUAUGAAUUGAAAGGCAAAAUCUAUGUUGUGGGUUUCGCGGAACUUACUGAUUAGAGGGAUUAGACGAUGGGGGCCAGGAGGCCAUGGCGGAAAAAUUUCUGAAGAUGAGAGGAGUGAUGCUUUGUAUAGAAAUGGAAGCAAGGAAAUGGGUAAAUUAAGGGCAUGAUCUGACCUGGUUCCCUAAAGCACCUCACCACCCUGAUUCCCACAUGAAACUACCACGCACCAGACACAAAAAACCAUUGACUCUUAGAAGUUGAUUUACUCCUCCUAAUCAACUGCCCCUCAGCACUUUGGAGAUAGUAAAACCCAGUUUGUUUAGGAUUCCUCUUCAAGAGAAAGGAGCACAUCAUAUGGUGAAUGCUCGGUUCAAAUGAAUUCACUUCAUUCCAUAUCACGUACAUGCUCUGCAACGUCCGAUAAAUGUUCUGAUUCAUCUGGAUGAGGUGCAAUACCCAGCAAUGUCCAAUAAUUCACAUCGUAGUGGCAAGCUUCCAUUCCCACUCUUCAAAAUCUCUCUCUCUCUAUAAGAGCAUUUCCACCAGUUAGCCCCUUGUCAUGACAAGAGGAGCCCUAGGGCAGUUACUAUUCACGUGAAUAGUGGCUGCCCUAGCCCCCUCAGCAAAGUGUGUUUCCAGCAGUUUAGACUUGUCAUGGCAAAUACUAUUCUUUUUUUUUUUCACAACUUUUUUUUACUUAAACAAUUAAUUUGGAUAAUAUUUUCAGAUAAGAUUUUUGGGUUUCUACGUGUCAAUACUAUUCAUAUUAGAUAAUAUUUUCGGAUAAGAUUUUAUUUUAUUAGUUGUAUUGGUUGGUAUUUAUAGGAAAAAAAAAGUAUGAGGAUUUGGUGUUAAAAGUGAAGAGUAUUGGUUAGUAUUUAUAGGCACUGGCGAACCCAAAAUUUUUGUAGCAGAGGUGCAAUAUUGACUAAGUAUGAAAAAUAAUUUUUUGGAAUAAUCAUUUUCUCAAGAUAAUUUUUUGGCAGCUUUUAUUCCUUACACAUCAAUAAAUAAGAAAACUUGAUUUUAUGAAAUUUUAAUAUGAAGUAUACAUUGACUUAAUGAGCCAUCAUUUUUAGCCUAAAUCGUAUUUUGCACUAAAACCGAUUUUUCAUAUUUUGAUUUGAUGAGAAUUUGAUUUUCUAGUAUUUUUAUUUGAAUCCAAAUAGAGGGUACUUCCUUAUUUACAUUGUAAACUUAAGUAAAUGGAGUAAUAUAAAAAUAAAUGAAAAUAAAAGGACAAAGACAUUUACUUAAAUGUUGAAAAUGGAAAUAAGGUAUAGAGAAAAAAAAAAUCAGUAAUUUUUUUGGUAUUUUUUUAAAAAAAUAUCAUUGUAUAAACAUUGGCUAUUGUUGGAUUGCUGGAAAAAAUAUGAUCGGAGAGCCUAGCGCUCGCCACGUGGACGAUUUAAAAAAAUUUGGACGCAGGGCUGACGUCGACGUGAUGUCAGGACGCUGACAUCAGCCUUGCCCUCGGGCCAGCCCAGUCUGCUGGGUCCCACUAUUUGCCUGGGCUUGCUUUUGUUGCUGGAAACCACUUUUUUGUCCAAACCCCCUAGCUCGAGUCCAUCCUUAGCUGCUGGAAAUGCUCUAAGUAGAUCUCUCUUCUCUUACUCCCACUCUGUCUCUAUUCUUUAAUCAACCUGUCUCUCAUGAAACUUUUGUCGAACACAUAAUGGUGAAGUGGCAGCCUUCUCCGAAUUCCAGCAGCCAAAUUUGUGAUGAGGCUUCCAAAUUUAAUGCCUUUUGUAAUUUUUUAGAUAGUUAACACAUUUAUUCAUUUUUAACCAUAAAAAUCCAAUAUGUUUAGAAAGCUUCCUGAGAAACAAGGAAAAGAAGAAUAAAUUCUUGUUUUUCAUUUCUGGGUAAAGCCAAGAAGCAAGAAAAAGAAGAAUAAAUUCUUGUUUUUCAUUUCUGGGUAAAGCCAAGAAGUUCAAUAUUUGAUAAUUGUUAAUAUAUUUUGUGAGUUGUUGAGAGAUGAGAUUUUGGGGCAAAGUUAAGAAGAAGGAAAAGAAAGAAAAAGACAGGACGUGGAGGGCGUGAGAAAGAAAUAGAAACAAAAAAGGACGUUAACUUUGUCGUUAGUUGGAUUAGGGUUUUUUUUUUCUUUUUCUUUUUUAAGUAAGAGUAAAUUGGGUUUUUGUUUGAAGGAUGAUGUGUCAAUUUUUAAGUUCCUUAUAUUAAAUUUUAAUGAGGUGUCAUCUAUAUAUAUAAAGCAAAAGGCAGAGAAUGGUGAAACAUUCAAAAUACCAGAAAAUGCCCUUGGUUAAUGCACAUUAAGAAUUAAAAUUAUUAAUUAAAUGAGGAUAAUAUGGUAAAUUCAUAAUUUUUCAUAUUAAAAAAAUUAAAAUUAAAAGAAAAUUCAGAUAAUGGAUCCUAUUUUUAUGGAACACAACUAUCCAUUAUCUUUUUUAAUUCGAAAAUAAAUUUAAAUUUUUUUAAAAAAGCCUUUCGCAGGCGCAGAAGCGCGUGCAGAGAGGCUAGUAUGAAUAACAAAGUAAAGUAAAUCAUGACAGAGAAAAUCAGAGCAAAAGAUCCGGAUACUACAGAAAGCUAUAUGUCUGCCGACGCUAUUAAAAGCAUGCUCCUUUCACAGUGUUUUUGACAGGCUAUAAAGAUUCUUUAUAGCGGUGUAUUCUUUAUAGCAUGUUUUCAUUGCCAUUGCAUUUGUUUAAUAUAUGGGAGCUUUAGUAAUACACCCAAAAUAGGAGCUGAAAUUAUAAAAAAAUCCUACAUGAAAUUCAAUUUAGAAACACACCCAAAAACCCAUUUAUUAUAUAUGAAAUGAGUGUUGAAGUUACUAUAAAUUACAUUUUUGCCAUUGAUUAACUUAAAACAAGCCCAACACAAAAAAUACUUAAAAAAAUCCAAAACAAACCCUGCAAGCUCUAAGUACAUUGUUAAUACCAUGACAUAAAAGUACAGUGUUAAUACGAUGUCAUAGAAGUACAUUGUUAAUACCAUUUCAUAGAAGUACAUUGUUAAUACCAUGUCAUAGAAGUACAUGUCAUAAAAUUACAUUGUUAAUACCAUUCCAUAGAAGUACAUUGUUAAUACCAUUCCAUAGAAGUACAUUGUUUAUACUUUGUCAUAGAACUAUCUUGUUAUUACUAUGUCAUAGAACCAUGUUGAGUCCUUUCCAAAGGCAUAAACUUCCCAGCAUCACUGAUCAACAUUGUCCUGCCAGCUCCAACAAUGAAGAAUAUUAUUAAUAACAAGAUACCUCUACAAAAAAAAAAAAAGUACACUAUUAAUACUACGUCAUAGAAGUACAUUGUUAAUACUAUAUCGUAGAACCAUCUUCCUAAUAAAAAUCACAUUCUGCAUAUCAUAAACUUCAAGUGAAUGGUAUGGAGUUGUACACUUUUAUCUUACCUAUUAUGCAAAUGAAAUGAUGUAGUUGUUAACUUCUAAAUAAUCCUCAUGAUACUGAUGGCUUUCCAAUUCGAGCAUAGGGUGCUAACAUGCCAACCAAAGCAAUGUCAACAGCUAUUCCAACUAAAAGAUCAGCAGCGUACAACUCAAACUCAGCCUAGAAAUCCUUUCCCAUUUUCUGAAAAUGUUGCACAACAAGAAUCUAUGACUAUCUACAUUACAAAAGAGUCAAGGAAGAGAAAUUUCUUCAAUAUUCAACAAGAUCAACAACUAUCAAAUGUAACGGUCCAAUUUGAAGGCAAGGUAUAUUUAAUGGAAUUCAUAGGACUAUCACCAAUCCAAACAAUGACCCACAAACUCAAUUACUGAUAUUUACAGUGAAAAAUGCAGAGCUACAAUUCUUUCAAGAGAACUAUUAAUUUACAGUCCCUUGACUUGAAACACAAAUUACUCAAAAACAUUAUUUACCAAAAAGAAAGAUCACGAAAACAAACCUCUGUCCCAACUUUAAAAAGAAAGGAAGGAUAAGCCAGCAUACGAUUUCGUAGCAUAGAGCAAUACUUCAUCAAAAAGCCCAGUGGCCAAAUUGACCCCUGAAAUUCGAAAAUAUAUAUAUAUAUAUAAAUUAGAAACCCAAUAAGUAACUUAGCAAAAACCAUAUAUCUGAAGAUUUUUCAAUAGAAAUGGAGACCAACAUACAAACAAUAAUUGGACAAUACUAGAAAAAACCAUGAAUAUGGAACCAUAACAGGAAACCCAAAGUCGUAUCAAUACCUGAUAUGUCUUUCAGGAACUUGACUCAAUAAAGCAUUAAUAACUAGAGAGUUAUCGAGGUACAAAGGCAAAAGCUUGCAAACAAAUAAAUAGUACCAACAACAACAAAAAAGUAAACAUUUCCUUACUAGAACCAUUGCAUCAAAAGGCAACCCUGCACCAGCGGAAGGAGCAACAAAAGAUGUGCUAAUUCCAAUUUUAUCAUAUGGGGAAUGAAGAGAUACUCCCAAAAAACCAGCAGGAGGUCUAGUACCAGAAGCAUUUGUGGAAUUCUCAUUCACUUCCCCAUUAGUUGUAGGCCUGAGCUGAGUAUGGACUUUCACAUCAUUAUCUGUUGCCCAGAAGAUUAUGAAAACAAAUCAAUCAGGAUGAAGCAUUUGGUUAGGGGUGCAUGUCCCAAUUUAGGACCAUUACAGAAUUCCUUGUCCUUCAUUCAAGUAAGUCGGAAACUAUCCCCUUUUCUUUGCAAAAUUGAUAGAUGAGGGAUGGGCAACAAAAACAAGCCACAAAAUUGUUCCCUCCCACAACGAAACUCAGAAAUCCUGAUUAAAAAUUCUCACACUACAAACGCAAAGUAUCUAAUGAGAAAUAGGUACCAUACCAGCAAAUUGCAUGCUUCCAGACCCAUUGUUCCUUUGAGUGUGGUGGUUGUCUUCCUAAUAGAUGAAAUCCAAGAUUACUUUAACUUCAUGCAUAAAUAUCAUCUAACCAUCACAUACAACAAAGGGCCAAAAUCCAUCACAUAUGAGCAGACAUAAUGAAAGGAAAUUCUUACUUUAGUGUUGCCAUCACUGCCAUCUGUCAAACCAUCAAUAUUUUGUUCCAAACUGCACAUGGUCAUAGAAUCAAAAUUUAGAUUGGCUACAUCCAGAGACAACAUCAUAAAACUUACUGGAAGCCACUGCUUGACAAUUAGUAUGGUCUAGGGCAGAUGACAAAUAGUUUUUCUAUUUUUCUAUUUUGAAAAAGCCCAUCUUUCACAGCAAUGUAGCUGCAAAGUAAGUCUACCCUGCUACACAUGUUUAGAUGCACACAAAAGUAUAGAUAUAUGACCUAUGAGAAACAGGUACACACACAUGCUGUAAAACGCAGGCAACAUAUAUCAGGGAUAACUCCCUUAAUAUAGUUGUCAUAAUUUAAAGUGAAGUCAAACUUCCCGGGAAAGAGACCUAUCUAACUAAAAUUAGAUCUAAAUAACAUCAAUGAGACCUCACAAUCAAGCUAGAUAAAAAAAAUCUUCAAAAAUUAUUGAAUUAACAAUCCUUUAAAAGACGUGUACGAUAUCCAUCUAAUCCUUGCUAGUGACAAAGCUCUGAACCCAGAGUAGGCAAAGGGUUCACAAAAACAAGAGAUACCCAGUGAGUCAACUCGAAACACAGCUUCAAUUAUGAAUUACCAAGGUCCUGAGCAAAUCUAAACCAAUCCAAUCUUCCAUUAAAUUGGUGAGAUGAUGGAAUAAGACCAAACCGAUGAAUAAUUUAACACUCAAUUCAAUAACUGGGGAGCUAAAGAACAAAAUCACAAAACAGAGGCCAAAUUUCAGACCAUCAAUUAAACUUUCACUCAAUUUUCUCUUCAUCCAAACAGAUGGUGGUAUCUAAUUUGUUCAAAUCCGCACUUCACCAAAUAGAUCCGCACAAAAAAUCAACAUAGUUACAACAGUUCAUCACAAAUCCAUACGUACAAUCGUGUGAUCUAUAUAUCAGUUCCGACACAGAAACAUCAAAUUCUAACAGUAUUAACCACUUCCAUAAAAAUCAGAUCCAAAAACCCAUUAAUCUAGAAACAUAAAUCGAAACCAAAUAUCAACAAUUAAAUGCAAAUAUAGAUAUACGAAAUUAAAGAUUAUGAGUCGGAGAGAGAGAGAGAGAGAGAGAGAGAGAGAGAGAGAGAGAGAGAGAGAGAGAGAGAGAGAGAGAGAGAGAGAGAGAGAGAGAGAGAGAGAGAGAGAGAGAGAGAGAGAGAGAGAGAGAGAGCAAACCAGAUUAGAAUGAGAGCUAGAGGAAAGGGCCUCGAGCUUUGUAAGUCAUCCGUGGAAAGCAGAAACCGGAAGAAAUUGGAAGCAUUUGGAUCCAGAGAAACAGAGUUGUGUAAGAAACGAAAGUGAAAAUUUCAUAACGGAGAGAAAUAACCGAAAGGUCAAAACCGUAAUCUAACAUAGUAAAUAAAUCCAAAAAUUGACAGCUGUCGAUUUUUGGGUUUAUUUUGAGUGUGUUUCUAUGUAUUAAAUAGUGUAAGGUAUAUUUAUAGUUUCAUGUCUAGGAAUGGGUUUUUCACUAAUUUUUUAUUAAUAUAUCUCUUCCAUCUUUUAAUUUGGCUGAAAGAAACAACACUAUAUAUAAGCACCACAAGAAUGGAAACGCACAUCUUCUACUAAAUAAGUUGCUGCCAAUAUUUUUCCAUUAUGAGAUAAACUAAGUAGAUCAUAGUGCACAGGAGCACUAUCCAAAUCAAGUGUAAUUGGAAACACAUAACUGCUAACACAUAAUACGUAACUGUAUUUUCCUUUUCAUUUUAGGAUAACACUGAUUACCUUCUAAUGUGGAUAAAAUAAUCUUCUAUGCUCUUGCUCUUCAUCUUCUUCGAGUCUUGUAUUUCCUCAACUACAGCAUUAUGUAUUAGUUAAAAGGGUUAGUUACAUUUUUGGUAAUUGAGAUUUGGCUCAAAAUCAAAUUUGGUAACUGUAAUUUCAAUUUUUCUGAUUUGGUCAUUGUACUUGCAGCUGUUAACAAAUCAAGUCUAAUGUCUCAAUUAUGUCAAUUUCAUUAAUUAAAAAAUAUUUAAUAUUAAGUUAAAAAUAAUUAACUUCAAUAUAAAAUUUAAGUAUAAUAUAUUUGAAAAGAAAAUUAAUAAGAUUAAAACUUAAAUUUAAAAAAAUUACCAAUAUAUAUAUAUAUAAAAUAUUUAACGGUGAGUGAUCACAAUAUCUUGGACUCCUGUGGUCAAAGAAAUUGGGACUAUAUAUAUAUAUAUAUGCCCCCUCAUCACUAUUGAAAUGAAAUGAAUAAUUGGUGGACCAAAAUUAUACUGGAGCAAAAGUUAGGAAACCAUUUCUAUCAAAAAUUCUAUUUUAUUUGAGUAUGUAAAAAAAACAUGUAAGAAGAUACAACAAUUGAUCUAAAGCUAUUGAACUGUACUAUUGCAAGUUAAAAUGCAAUUCAAUUCAAUAGAUGUAAAAAUAGUUUAGCAACCUUUUUUAAAAUUUUUUUGGGUAAAAACCAUGAGGUGUUCCCACACCCGAAGGGUAGAAUUAAUCCCUACUCGAGGUUCGGCUUGCCCCUAACUGCAAAAUACUUCCAACAAAUUUCGAACCAUUACCAUUUAAGUACUAAGUAGCUCGCUAGCUAAAAAUAGCAGUUUACCAACCGCAUCACGCUUGUGAUUGUCCAACAACCAUUCUGAAUGCUCUGAAAGACAUGAAAUAAUACAAAAGGGCUAUCUUUAUUAGACAAUGAAAAGCACGUGGUAGAGCAGUUUCAAUAAAUGAGGGUGCGUUCCAUCAACAAUGAUGCGCUGAACCUCCAUACUUGAAGCUUAGUGAGAAAAUAUAUUAGAAACUACAAAGGUUUGGAGUGUUAGGCAGGGCCUUGCAAAUGUCAGUCAACGUGAGAGUGAGGGAGUCAGUGGUGGUGAAGCCAGAGGAGGAAACGCCAAAACGGGCGCUGUGGAUAUCGGACUUGGAUAUCGUGAUUUCGGCAACUCACCUUGGAAGUGUUUACUUCUACAGGAGGCCAAACGUUCAAAACAACUGUGUCUUGGAUUCGGAGGUGCUCAAGUGCUCCCUUGCCAAGGCCCUCGUGCCCUUCUACCCGGUGGCCGGCCGCCUGAAGCUGAACGAUGAGGGACGUAUCGAGAUGGAUUGCAAUGCAGAGGGAGUGCUGUUUGUUGUGGCGGAGACUGCCUCGGUCCUCGAUGAUUUCGGGGACUUUGCGCCGACUCUUGAGUUCCGGAAGCUCGUUCCUGCUGUUGAUUAUUCCGCUGGGAUGUCCUCUUAUCCCCUCUUGGUGGUACAGGUAUUCAGAGAAAGAGAGGAGACAUUUUUUUCACUCCUUUCUUUUAUUUCUCUUGCUCAUAAUAUCAUUCGGGACAAUUCUUGAACCUGAUAUGACUUAAACUUACAAAGUAUGGUUCUGGUUUUACUCUGUUUAUGCAUCAGGUCACAUACUUCAAAUGUGGUGGAGUGUCACUUGGUGUUGGCCUGGAACAUCGUGUAGCAGAUGGCUUUUCUGGUCUCCACUUUGUAAAUACAUGGUCUGAUAUCGCUCGAGGUCUUGACCUUACAAUUCCACCAUUCAUCGACAGGACAUUACUUCGUGCCCGAGACCCACCACAGCCUGCAUUCGAUCACACUGAAUACCAACCUGAUCCACCCAUUAAAACCGGUACAAAAGCUGUAGGUGAUGAGAGCGCAACGGUAUCCAUUUUUAGAUUGACACGGGAGCAGCUCAACAUCUUGAAAGCCAAGUCUAAGGAAGAUGGGAACACAAUCAACUAUACCACAUAUGAGAUGUUGGCAGGUCAUAUUUGGAAAUGCGCAUCCGUGGCACGUGAACUUCCUGAUGAUCAAGAGACCAAACUACAUAUUGCAGUUGAUGGAAGGUCCAGACUGCAACCCCCCCUCCCUCCUGGUUUCUUUGGCAACGUGGUUUUUUCAAGCGCACCAAUUGCUGCAACAGGGGAUCUCAAAUCAGAACCAACAUGGUAUGCUGCAAGCCGUAUUCAUGAUGCUGUUGUGCGUAUGGACAACGAUUAUCUUAGAUCAGCGCUGGACUAUCUUGAACUUCAGCCUGACCUGUUACCCCAUGUUCGCGGAGCUCAUACUUUUAGGUGCCCGAGACUUGCAAUAACUAAUUGGUCUAGGCUGCCGAUCUAUGAUGCUGAUUUCGGUUGGGGUCGACCUACUUUCAUGGGGCCUGGUGGAAUUGGAUAUGAGGGGUUGGCUUUUGUGUUACCAAGUGCAACAAAUGAUGGAAGUUUAUCAGUGGUCAUUUCUCUGCAAUCUCAACGUAUGAAAUCAUUCUCCAAGUUGUUGUAUGAGAUAUAAGGAAAUGAAAUGCGUCGAAUGGGAACAAUACGUUGAACAUACUUCGGGCUUCUAUCUCGUGUCCUCUGAGUUCUGGGACUUCGGAAAGCAGCUGUUUUAGAAAAGUUCAAGUGGUCUUUUGUGGCUAAUAUAUAUUAGAGUAUCUGUUUUAGGAACAUCCUAGUACUGAAUAAGAUUGUCAGAGUAUCUGUAAGCUUUGUUUAAUGCUGUGGAGGACUUCUUUUUCGGAGUAUCUGUAGUUUACUGUGAUUCUUAAUAAGAUUUUCUUUCUCCAUGAAACAAAAACAUACUGAAUCACUUUGGUUGCAUGAAGGUUAGUGCCUUUGGUAAACCUGCACUUCGGUUAUACUUUCAGAAAUUUUGGUUUAAUGCAAGAGCAUUUGUAGCUUUUUUAUUUCUCACUGCGAAAAAAGGAAGAGUUAAUAAUCACACUACAGUCCAAACCUUUUAAAAGAGGUUCCAUGUGGUUUUGUCAGGCUGUGUGGUCGUAUUCUUUUGUCAGCUGGUAUUAUCAUAAAUACUUGAUAUUAUCAUUUGUCCUAGGUGCACCCAUGCACCAUUUGUCCUAUAUGAUGUUCUUAGAUUUUUUAAAAAAUUGAUUAUCAAUUAUACAAGUUAUCAAGUUUUUACUUUUUGAAAAUGCAAUUGCAUAAGGGUUAUGCAAUUAUGCUAUUUUUGUUUGGCAAUUGGUAUAUGAUUGGAUAUGUUAUUUUUCAAUUGAGUUUAUUCUUUUUGACUCACGAUGACUUGCGUAUGAAUUUCACAAUGGUAUUUGUUUACUUUUAUAAAUCUAAAGUUAUCGUUUUAGAAUAUUCUUUUUUUUUUAUGAGAACUGUUUGACUUUUUUUUUCCUUUUGAUUUCGAUAUGUCACUUCAUUGUAGCUUUACUUAAGUUCAUUAUGAGUUGCUGGUUUUAUUUAUAUGAAUUAUGAUGGCUAGUUGUGGUUAAUUCCUCUGUAUUUUAUGCCUAGUUUUUAAAAAUCAAUUGAGGUUGAUAGUUUUAAUUUUUUGUUACUUUUGUUUCAUAGAAUUCGUGAAUGUGCAUCAAUAUUUAUUUGAGAGCUUGAAAGUCUUUAUCCAUCAAAAUUUUUCACCUCGAGUUCUAUCUAUGUAAUUGGUUGAAAUCAAUUUCUAAAAUAAGAACUAUGUUACUUGUUGAACUCUAUGUUACAUGGUUGUACUUUUGUAGACAUCCACGAAGUACUAUAAAUUUAUAUUCUUUUCCUAACAUGGCCGUGUAUUUUACAUUACAUUGUUAUGAUUAAAAUCAAGAAAAACAAGUAGAAAAGUAGAAAAUUUACAAGUUUUCUCGUAGAUUACAAGAUUUUCAGUUGUGUUUACAACGAUAAUGACAUAAUUUUACUCGUCCAAAGUCCAUUCUUACCUUGGUACUAUGUAUCAUUUUCUUUGUAAAUUAGGGUAUUACAAUGUUAUGGAUUAGGGUGGACUAUAAUGUUGUUACAAUUAUUUCAAUUAUUUCACAACAUUUGCAGAUUUUUUCAUGAUUCAUGAGUUAGGGGUUGCUUUGUAUAACUUGUAACCAAAAUCAAUAAAAUUGGGGUAACUUUAUAUAAAUCCAAUUGGCCAAACUGAAAAAAAAAAAAAAAAUAUUUACUUGUAACCAAAUACAAUUUUUUAACAUCUAAACUAUUCUUUUUAUUUUGUUAUUUCUUAAAUGUGAAUAAAUUACUAGAAGGAACUAAAAUACGACUACAUAGUAUAACUCAUUUAUGUAUUUAAUAUCAAUCAAUGAUAAGAUAUUCAACUUUUAAGACAUAAUAUCAAUAAAUAUCCACUUGUAUUAUAAUAAAUAUUAUAUGACAUACUCUGAAGCCACACUAUAAUUACUUCUCAAGAUGACAUAUUAUUAUAUUAAAAAAUAUAUGUAUUCUUGCUUAUUCUAAAAAUAACUUAAAGCAAAUGUCUUAUAACAAAAGAUGACUCAUAGCAUCUUCCAACAAAAAAUUUCCUUAUGAUCCGUCUCCCUUUUUUUGUUCAUAUCUUCGUAAUAUAAUUGGUUCAUGUUCCGAUUAAAAAAAAGUUAAAUAAGAAUAUAUAAUAAUAUAAUACUUAAAUAAUAUAUAUUGCACUUUAUAAUCAAUAUAGAAUACAUAAAUAUGAUAUUUACAUAUAAUAUGUACAAUUUCAACUAAAAUACUCGAAUUUUAUAUAAGUAUGUAACAUAACAAAAUACUAAAUGAGGCAAUGAAGGAGAAGAAAGUGAUUGAGUUACCAUUACCAAUUCCUUAAACUCGUAACUUACAAGUUUUUGUAACAAUUUACAAGGUUUUGCUCUUAGAUUACAACAUUAGGGUUCACCGAAUCCAUAAUGUUGUAAAUCAGCCUUUUGCAAGGAUAUGGAUCCAUAUUACAAGGAAUUGGUAAUGAUGAACCGUAGGGAAGCAAAAUGGGUCCUUAUUCUAGUAAACAAUGGUUUACAACAUUAAGGAUUUGUAUUACGAUGCUUUGGACGCAAGAGUUCCAUAAACUUGUAAAGUGGAUCCGUAAUCUCAUAGAUUACAAUAUUUGGGUUCCCAUUUAUCCGUUUUUGCAAUCUAAUUACAAGUUUAAGGUUCUUCAUAUUCCAUAAUCUUAUAAUACCCAUAGAAAGGAUCCCCAUUACAAGUUUAUGGAAUGUCGAGGUCCAAAACAUUGUAAAAGGGGUCCUUAUUAUUGUAAACCCUUGUGUUUACAAGAAUAAGGACCACAUUUACUUCUCCAAGGUCCACCCUUAUAAUACCUUAACAUUAUAAGAGAGAUCAUUUCUAAUGUAAAUUAUUAUAGUAUUACAAGAUUAUGGAUUAUAAAGAACUUUAAAGUUGUAAUCAUGGUGCAAAAACUUGUAAAUAAGAAUCAAAAUAUUGUAAUCUAUGAGAUUAAGGAUCCAUUUUACAAGUUUAUAGAACACUUAUGUCCAAACCAUUGUAAUACAAGUCCUUAGUGUUAUAAACCGUUGCAUUUACAAGAAUAUGAACCACGUUUACAUUUUCAAGGUCCACCAUUACCUUAACUUUGUAAUAGAGAUCCUUUUAUUGUAAUUUAUGAGAUUACAAAUUUAUGGAUACACGUUACAAGUUUAUGGUACAUGGAGGUCCAAAAUAUUGUAAAAGAGGUCCGUAAUACUAUAAACCCUUGUGUUUACAUGAAUAAGGACCACAUUUACAACGUUGAAGUCUACUCUUACCUUAUCAUUGUAAGAGGGAUCAUUUCAAUUGUAAAUCAGGAUAUUACAACGCUAUGGAUAAGGAAGAACCUCAAACUUGUAAUCAUAGUGCAAAAAAUCAUAAAUGAGAAUCCAAAUAUUGUAAUGUACGAGAUUAAGAAUCUGCGUUACGAGUUUAUGGAGAGCUUACGUCCAAAGCACUGUAAUACGGGUUCUUAAUGUUAUAAACCAUUGCAUUUACAAGAAUAAGUACCAAUUUUACAUCUUCAAGGUCCACCAUUAUCUUAACCAUGUAAUAGAGAUCAUUUCUAUCGUAAUUUAAGAUAUUACAAGUUUAUGGAUACACUUUACAAAUUUAUGGAACAUAGAGGUCCAAAACAUUGUAAAAGAGGUCCUUAAUAUUGUAAACCCUUGUGUUUAUAAGAGUAAGGACCACCUUUACUUCUCCAAAGUCUACUUUUACUUUAUCAUUGUAAGAGGGAUCCUUUCAAUUGUAAAUCAGGAUAUUACAACGCUAGGGAUAAGGAAGAACCUCAAAAUUGUAAUCAUGGUGCAAAAAAUCAUAAAUGAAAACCCAAAUCUUGUAAUGUACGAGAUUAAGGAUCUGCGUUACGAGUUUAUGGAGAGCUUACAUCCAAAGCAUUGUAAUACGAUUCCUUAAUGUUAUAAACCAUUGCAUUUACAAGAAUAAGUACAAAUUUUACAUCUCUAAGGUCCAUAAUUACCUUAACCAUGUAAUAGAGAUCCUUUAUAUUGUAAUUUAUGAUAUUACAAGUUUAUGGAUACGCUUUACAAAUUUAUGGAACAUGGAGGUCCAAAACAUUGUAAAAGAGGUCCUUAAUACUGUAAACCCUUGUGUUUAUAAGAAUAAGCACCAAAUUUAUUCCACCAAUGUCCACUCUUACUCUCUUCUUAUACAAGGGUUCCUUGUUGUUGCAAAUUAUGGUAUUACGAGAUUAAGGAUGGCUUUUACAAUGUAAUGGAACGACUAUGUCCAUUUUAGUAUAAUACGAAUCCUUAAUGUUGUAACCACCACCUUGUUUACAAGGAUAAUGACUCAACUUACUACUCCAAGGUUCAUUCUUACCUUAACAUUGUUUUGGGGGUCAUUACGAGUUUUGUAAAUUACGAUAUUACAAGAUUAAGGAUCUCUUUUAUAACUUUAUGGAACCUCUCUAUCCAUAACAAUAUAACGGAAGUCCUAUAUAUUGUAAACUCCUUUGUUUACAAUGACAAGGACCAAAUUUAUUCCACCAAGGUCCACUCUUACCCUAUUCUUAUACAAGUAUAAGGACCCAAUUUACUUUCCUAAUGCCCCAAGUUACCUUAAUAUUGUACUAUAUGUCUUUAUCUUUGUAAAUUACGAUAUUUCAAUAUUAAGGAUGGGUUUUAUACUUUUAUGGAACACACCUGUUUAAUAUAAAGUUGUAAAUGUUUGUGUUUAUAAGUAUAAGGACCCAAUUUACCUUCCGAAUGUUCCAUUUUACUGUUUGUCAAUUGCAAUUUUGAACUUACUAUUUGUCAAUUGCAUUAUUCAAUUUCAAUUUUCCACUAACUGUUUGUCAAUUGCAUAUGAGUCCUUACUAUUGUAAACCCUUUGGUUUACAAGGAUAAGGACCUAAUUUACUUCUCUAAUAUCUCUCAUUCCCUUUAUAAAUUUAUUUUAUUAAUUUUAGUAUCUUUUAAAUACAUGUUUACAACAUAUUUACAAAGGCCAAAAAUCGCAUUUUUUUUACCCAAAAAAAACUUAUUCACUUUGGGGUUACAAAAGCAUUAGGAAUGGGAAGUGAAAUCAUGUGGAAAACGAAGUCAAAAGUGAAGCAAAUAGGGUAAUUGAUGGUAACACACACACACACACACACACACAAAAAACAAACAAAUAGGGUAGGGUAAUUGAUGGUAACACACACACACACACACACACACACACACAUAUAUAUAUAUAUAUCAACAAACAAACAAAUAGGGUAAUUGAUGGUAACACACACACACACACACACAUAUAUAUAUAUAUAUAUAUAUCAACAAACAAACAAAUAGGGUAAUUGAUGGUAACACACACACACACACACACAUAUAUAUAUAUAUCAACAAACAAACAAAUAGGGUAAUUGAUGGUAACACACACACAUAUAUAUAUAUAUCAAUGGAAAUUGCCAAACAAGAGACAAAUUUCCCAUCGUCAUUUAAAAGUGAGAUCCGACUUAACAAAAAAGAGCUUAACAAUAAAAGUUAAUAGGGUUAUUCACAGCAAUGGUCCCUCAACUAUACCCGUAGUUACAUUUGGGUCAUUGAACUCAAUUAUUAGCUGUAGACGUCACUGAAUUAGGUGUUGUGUUGCACCAUUAGUCUUUCCGUCAAAUUUUGUUAAAUUUUUUGUCAAAAGUAAGGAUAAAUUUGGAAAUUCAUCAACAACCUUCUCCUUCCUCCACAACCCUCCAUUGCCGCAACCCAAUCCUUGCCGACACCAAAAAAUUCAAUUAAAAAGAUGCCGCACAGCACCAAGAAUAUUUUCAAAUAUUUAUAAUAAAUACCUUCAGAUCAGCAAACAAAUUCAAGAUCUCGCAUUUUAAGCCGCUUACGAGAACCCAAGUCACGUUCUUGUCCCAAUUCAGUACUCACAUGUUUUUCCCCAACAAUCUAAAACAACCCAAAAAAUAAGCAGGAAAAAGAACCAAACUUUGAAUCCGAUCUGGGUAUCGAAACCAACCUUUCUCCUAAAUCACAUCGGUCUUCCAUAAUCUUCGAACCCAAUUCAAAUACACCAAUUUAAAACCCAACCCUUUUGCAAGAGCCACUAAAUUUGACUCAUGGGUGCUAAAAUUUGUAGACUUUUGAAAUAAAAAUGAAAAAGGGUAAGUGUUGAAAUGAUGAAUCUUUGGACCUCCCCGAAGGAGCAAACAAGAAUGGAAGGGUGAACCAUAGGUUUGACACAAGAGGAAUCUUUCGUAGACUCGGUUCGCCAUCAAUUUGCAAACCAUCUAGAGGUUGAGAGGGAAGAAGGGUUGGUGGGUUAGUGUUUUGAAGUUUUGUGUAGUAGACCUGUGGGAAUUUUUAUGAUUUGAUAUUCAAUUUGAAUUUCCAAAUUUACAAAUUUACAAAUUUUGAAGUUGUGGAAGAUAGAGAGGGUUGUGGAUGAAUUUUCGAAUUUACCCUCACUUUUAACAGAAAAUUUAAAAAAACUUGACGAAAAGACUAUUGAUGUAACAAAACACAUAUUUGAGUGACCUCUGCAACUAAUAAUUAAGUUCAGUGACUCAAAUCUAACUACGAAUAUAGUUGAAAAACUAUUGCUGCGAAUAACCUAAGUUAAUAUGUGACAAUCUAAUGCUUUGUACCUUUAUUUAUGUGAAUCUGUAUGACCUAAUACUUUGUAUUAACUUGUAUUUAUUUUACCCUUAAUCAAUUCAAAUGUUUAUUUUGGAAAAUAAACUUGUCCAACUGCAUAGUUCAAUUUUCUUUUGUAUUUUCAUAAUAAACAUAUAAAGCAAAUAGGACUACUUUGAUUGUCAAUUGCACGACUGGAAUGCAAAUGGCACAACUUGUUUGUCAAUUUCAUUAACAAAUCACAUAUUGUAUUUAUAUUUUCAAUUAAUUGUGCAUAGAUAAUGGCAAUUGUGCGAUUGGAAUGCAAAUGAGACUGCUUUGUUUAUCAAUAACAUGGCUGGAAUGCACAUGACAUUACCUGUUUGUCAAUUGCAUUGACAAACCACAUAUUGUAUUUACAUUCUAACAAUAUGCAAAUUGAAAAGGCUACCAAUAACAUGACAAUAUGCAUACACUAAUUGUAAAAACGGACUAACCAGUUGCUAAUUGGAUUCAAAAAUGACAUACCGAAGUACCUAUUGCAUUUUCAUUACAAAAAUGCAAGGCAACAAAUAUAAUGUCGCUAAUUGCAAUAACAGACUAGUCAGUUGGUAAUAGCAUUCUGAAAAUGCAAAAAGGUUGCCAAUUGUAUGCUCAGUUAUGUACACCAACUGCCAAAAACCCCUUACAAUUUGGUAAUUACACGCCUGAAUACCAUAUCAAACUUCAAUAUAAUACAACAAUUCCGAUGAAGAUGAACUCAAUGUCAGAGCUCAUAAUAUCAUUACAAUUAAGAAAUUCUACCUAAUGCUUUUCAAAUGAGUCACAAAAAUUUCAACAUCAACAAUAUGCCUAACAUGAAAAUAUAUAUAUAUAUAUAUACUGAAAUUAAUCAUAUUGGGUGUUUUGUCUGCCAAAAAAAAAAAAAAAACUCAAAUCACAAUGGGUUUCUUUUCAGCAAAAAAAAACUCACAUCCACAUCUCGACCACAAUGCCAAGCUAAAUAAAAAAACAGAUAGUACAAAAAGAAUAGUAUGACUGAAAAAGAAAAUUAAAGCUUCGUAACCAAAAGGUGCAAAGAAAUAAUUAAAUUGCUAAAUAAUUAUAUAAAGCAACAAACUGAAAUCUCACAUCCAAUACAAAUAAAUAUUCGGCACUACAAAAAUGUUAAUAAGAUAGGGAAAUAAACCAAAUGAUCUAAUAUCCAGUAAGUCACUUGGAAGCUCGACUUUCCUUGAUGAGCCUAAGAUUGCCUUUUUGGUAUGAGCCACAGUAAUCACAUCAAGUUGCUAAAAUGUAAAUGUAUGAAUUAAAGAGUUAAUUAAUGCACAUGGAACUAAGACUAAGCAGAAUUCAGAUAAUAGAUGAUGCCUUAAAUAAUCUCUAAUGUUUAAUAACAUAUAUAAUGAUGAAAAUUUAAAACUCACAUACAUGAAGGGUAGACAAUCCUAGGAUAGUAAGCAUGAGAGAGGAGGUAAUAAACAGGGCUUCCUAUGUAGAUGCACACAUGAUGAAUGAAAAUCAAGCAAUUCAUAGAAAAUUACAGCACUCUUUCUGCAGGACAACACCAAGUGAACAUCCAAUUGUCAGUUAGUAAGAGAAAGCACAAGGGCAGCAAAAAAUUAGUGAGACUAAAAGGAAACUAAAGAAACUAACAGAGGCUUUUAUUGUUUGGUUGUUAGGUAGCUUUCAUUAAAACCCCAAAAAAGAGGCAACCUUCACACGCAUUUAGUAGAAUACUGACAAGAAGAAGAAAAAAAUCAAUCAUAACAAGCUUCCAAAGAUGAUAUUCAUAAAUCAAUGGGGAUGCAGAAGGAUGAGAAAUCCUCACACCCCCCAUCCCACACGACCAAGACUACAAACAAAAGCAAAAAAACCACAUAAAAAAGAAGAAUCCGGGCUAAACAAAGCAACAUUCCAGAGCCCAGGAAAAAAAAAAAAAGAGUCUUAAGAAUGACAUCAUAGCACAUUCAGGAAUCCGAAUAUGAAAAUAAGAUGCAACUUGUAAACACAAGAACCAACUCAGAAAAAUUAAAAAAAAAUCAAUUGGAAAAGAAAAAAAAAACCAAAAAAUGAUGAAUGCAGCAGUAAACUCAAAAUUAAACUAACAUUACCAAAUCUACAUCUAGUUCAACACUAAUAUGAAAUCCUCACCUUGUCUCCAAAUUAAUGGUUCAAAUACAAAUUAAAAAGUUGAAAACAUGCAGAGACCAUAGCCCAAUAUUAAAACCUAAAACUUACAAUAUAAAUUAGAAAACUCAAACCUUGAAUAAUUAAAAUUAUCUUGGGAGAUAGAGGGCAGGGAUCGAGCUAAAUGAGGGUUUCAAUUGGGGAUGAGAUUGUUGGUAUGGGUUUGGUUUUGAAACGAAGCCUGGGAAGGAGAUUGAGAGACCAUGAGAUGUAGAGAUGAGAGAGACAAUUAGGGAGAAGAAAGAGAGAGAUACCUGAGAGGAGAGGAGUUGUGUUCGUCGCGCUGUCUCGUCGUCACAGGAGGAGGAGAGGAGCGAUUUUGGAAGGAGUCGAACUGGAAGAGAGAGAAAAGAGAAACCCAAUGCUAAGAGGAGAGGAGUUGUGUUCGUCGCGCUGUCUCGUCGUCACAGGAGGAGGAGAGGAGCGAUUUUGGAAGGAGUCGAACUGGAAGAGAGAGAAAAAAACCCAAUGCUACUGAAGGAGAGUUUUUGUUUUUGUUUUCUUUUUUCCUACAACAACCGAUUUAUCCGGUAACUAACUCAACGGUGUGGAUAACUCCACAUCACCAACUACUCAUCCAAUGGUCUGUAACAAUGGGCGCAUCCAUACGCCAAGCCCACUGUAGAAUUUUCCCUGAAAUUAAUCCUCGGUGAAGACAUAGUGGAACAGUUUCAAACCACGAACUAUUUUGUUUUCUUCUUAUAAUUAUUGAAGGAAUAUGAUUUCCUCACUCUCUUGGUUUUCUCCCCUUACACUUUUUAAUCAAUUUUCUUCUUUCUCUUUUCUAUUUUAUCUUUACUCUACGUUAAUUUUUUUAUAUUUCAUUUUUAUAUUAGUUCUUUACAUUUCAUUUUUAUAUUAGUUCUUUUUCUUUAUAUUUAAUUUUCCAACUUACACUCAAUUUUCAGUAUUUUUUUUCCUUUAAUCGAGUAAGAAAUUAAGUUUUUUUCUUUCUUUAAUACUAAAAAUAGAGUGUAAGUUUGAAAAUUUAAAUAUAAAGAAAAAGAAAUAAUAUAGAAGUGAAGUAAAAAGGAAAAAAAGAAAUAAUAUAAAAGUGAAGUAAAAAUAAAUUAAUGUAAGGUAAGGAUAGAAUAGGAAAGAGAAAGAACAAAAUUGAUUAAAAAGUAUUAAAAAGCAAAAGAGAGUGUAAGUGGAGAAAAAGAGAGUAGGAAAAUCAACUCCCUUAUUAAAAAGAUACCCUCUAAUGCAUUGAGGGCAGGGACAAUUCGACAGUAGUCUUUAUUUGACAAUGCUAUGGAGCAUCUUCAACACGGAAAAGAAAAACAAACAUAAUUCUCUACUUCAACAAAAUUAUUGCAAGCACACAAUCCUCACAAGUAAUAUAAAAAUUAGUAAAGUGUUGUUCCCACGAAGACUGUAAUCUCCUAUUAACUAUCAAUUAUGAUUAAUUCAAAAGUUUAUUUGAAUAGUUGAUUAAGAAGAUUGAUUGAUUUAAGUAAACUAAAACAAUUGUGAAAAAUAGCAAUUUAAUUAAUGAUGAAAAAUCAAGUUGAUGUGACACUAGAUCAUCCGAUUUCACCAUAACCAAUUCAACUUAAUUCUUAUAGUCAAUUAACCCUAAUUACUAUCCAUGUUGACAAUUGGUUUAUCCUAAAUCAUUUGAUAUACCCUCUCGAGCUCAACCAAAAGUAUUCUUAAUUAACAACCUAUUCUCUCUUGAGCAACGAAUUUAGAAAAUCAAGAACCUAUUAAGUUCAAUGAGAACUUGCAAGAAAGCUGCAUGAGUCAUGUUAGUCCCUCUCGGGCACUCAUUCAAGACAUCACUACUACAAAAAAGCAAAAAGACGACGGUAAAUCACCGUCGUGUAUUCGAUUUUUCAAUGGUCGUGGAAUCCACCGUCAUCUUUUCCCUCAUAUACCACGACGCUAAAUCACCGUCGUUGUUAAAAUAUAUAACGUCAUCAACAAAUACAAAACGACGUCUUUGUACUGCAAAAAGAUCUAAAAAAGCAGUCGAGGAUGAGAAUAGACGACCAAUUCUCUAAAAAAACCGUCGUUAAAAAGGAAAAAUAUGACACAUAUUAAGAGAACAAGGCCGCAAGAUAGACAUACAACGACGGAAAUAAAAAAACGACGCCGUUAAAUAUCAUUUUCACGACAAUAAAAAAUUUGACGUCUUUAAAUACAUUAGAAGACGACGUUAUUGAUACCUACUACGUCGCAUAUAUAAAAACAGCCGUCGUAAAAUUAAUUUUCCACUUCGAUUUUUCGAUAAAAGAUGACGUGGAAAUAGUUGUCAGUGUCAUUAUUUACGACGUAUGUAUUUAUUGAGUAGACGUUGAAAAACGAAACAACGUCGGUUACAAAUAUAUGAGAGUCGUAUUACAAAAUUUAUACGUCAUAUUUUCAGAAACAAACAACGACGAUAAAUAUUAGACGUUGUUAAAUAAAACAACGUCGGAAAACAAUAAAAACAGACGUGUUUAGUCUGCUAAAGUUCUAGAAAAUAGUCGAGGAUGAGAAUAGACGACCAACUCAAACAACUCACCGUCGUUAAAAAGGAAAAAUAUGACACAUGUUAAAAGAACAAGGCCGCAAGAUAUACAUACAACGACGACAACUAAAAUACUACGCCGUUAAAUAUAAUUUACACGACAAGAAAAAAUAUGACGUCUUUAAAUACAUGAGAAGACGACGUUAUUGAAAUAUACUACGUCUCUUAUUUACAAACAACCGUCGUGAAAUAAAUUUUCCACUUCGAUUUUUCUAAAAAAGAUGACGUGGAAAUAGUUGUCAGUGUCAUUAUUUACGACGUAUGUAUUUAUACAGUUGACGUUGAAAUGCGAAACAACGUCGGUGGCAUUUAUAUAGUCGACGUUGUAUUUAUAUCUAUCAUCAUUACUCACGACGCACUUAAUAAUAUAGACGACGUUGAACUUCUAAACAACGUCGGUUCCAAAUAAAUGAGAGCCGUAUUACAGAACAUAUAGACGGCGUUGAUUAUGAUGAGAGCCGUAUUACAAAUAACGUCGUUUAAUUGUUAUUAGACGGCGGUUAUAAUGAAUUUCCGUCGGAAUUCAUUUCGUUCCUCUUCGUUUAUAAAAGAACUUGCGACGUGGAAAAUGUAUGAUGACGUCGUAUUUUUUAACGUUCAGAUUAUAUAUCUCGUUUUUUAGACGUCGGUAUUAUGGGAUUGGAGUCGUGUUAUUUUGAAUUACAUGGCGGUUCUUAAUCCUUCCCCGACGUGAUAUCCUGAAUAAUUGCUUCACAAUUGCGUCGUGGUUCUUCAUUGUUACGUUGCUUUAAGACGUCGGUAAAUAUGCUGAAUAACUGGUUCACAAUAACGUCGUGUUUUAUUUGAAGUAGAAAGUGAAGAAAUCACAUUACAAUAUAUUACAAAAUUAAUGUCAUACACUGCCAAUUACAUAAGCAUCAUUCAAUCCAUAUAUCUUCACACCCAUCUCGAAUAUUUUGACCGCCUAACUCACCCACCAGUUCAUCAAAUGUGUCAACAUUUGGCAUCCCUCUAGUAAAUGGCUCACACUCAAUUAUCACAUCACCUAAGACUUCAUCACCAAUAACAUCAUUAUAUUCUCUAUUAGGCAUUGAUAACACUACCGACCAACCACGAUGCAUCGGGUCGUCAACAAAAAAUAUUUGUUUGACUUGAGAAGCCAAAAGAAAUUGGUCAUUCCUAUGUCCAAUUUUACUCAAAUCUACAAGGGUAAAUCCAAGUUCGUCGACUACAAGACCAGAACUAUCUAUCCAAUCACACCUAAAGACUGGGAUUGUAAACUUUUGGUAGUCAAGGUCCCAAAUUUCUUGAAUGACACCAUAGAAACCCAUAUUUGAGAGAAUUGGGUUUUUAUCCUUGGCACUAGCAACUUGCAUGGUAUGUGCAAGUAAAUAAACUCCACUAUUUUGAGUUGUCCGCACAUCAUCUUGUGCCUUGAUAUUGAAUUUAAUACCUUUAAUAAGAUAGCUCCUAUAUAAUGGCACUGACAUGUUUGGACCAGCUGCUAGCCACCUUAAAUUUUCUGAUACGCCAUGAUUGUCUUCCUCAAGUUCACUUUGAACCUGCAAAUUAAUCAUAUCUUAAUUCAAUCUAACAUAUAAAUAAGAAGAAAAUUAAAAGAGAAAUAUGUUAUUCAACAAUAUAUACCUUGAAGCGUAGCCAUUGAAUGAAAGUGCUAUUGUGCUUAUCCUGCAGCCACUUUGUUCUCUUUCUAAAUUUUGGAUAAGCAGUCUUGAUGUGAAUCAUAUGUUGCCUACAUGACACGAAAAAUUCAAGCAUUACGGUCCUAAAUAUAGAAGAUAAACAUAAGAAAUAAUUUAAAAUGGAAACUUAAAGAAUAAAGCUCAUACGUACUCGAUAUAAGGUAGGACUUCCUCCGUAUUCUCCAAGACAUAUAGAUGUGCUUGAUUCAACAGGUCCUGAUCAACUACGCUCACUGUGCAACCUGAUAAUGGCUUUGAAAGUCCCAUCUUUUGGCUUGAAGGCACUCCAACUGUACUAACAUCAGAUAAAUGCUGAGUACAACACUCUACCGCUUCUUCAGCUAUAUACCGCUCAGCAAUGCAACCUUCGGGACGAGUACGAUUCUGAACAUACCCCGUCAGCACUUUCAUAUAUCUUUCAAACGGAUACAUCCACCUAAAAUAUACUGGCCCACAUAGACGAACUUCUCUGACAAGAUGUACUACUAGAUGAACCAUGAUAUCAAAGAAUGAAGGGGGAAAGUACUUCUCAAGCAAACACAGAGUAACUACUACAUCUUCUUCCAACUUAUCUAGCUUGGAAACAUCAACAGUCUUUGCACAUACAGCAUUGAAGAAGAAGCACAAACGAGUUAUUGCAUACCUUGCAGGCUUCUCCAAAACAGAACGAAUUGCCACAGGGAGCAAUUGUUGCAUUAAGGUAUGACAAUCAUGUGAUUUAAGGCCAAGAAGUCUUGAAUCUUGUAAAGAUACAAGAUUUUUAAUAUUUGAAGAAUAACCUUCAGGGACCUUCAUACCAUAGAAAGAAUUGCAAACCUCUCUCUUCUCUGCUCUUGACAAAUUCCAAGGCCCAUGAGGCAAACGAGUACGUCUUUCUCCAUACUCGGGUUGCAAAUCAGUUUUGACCCCCAUGUUCAAUAAAUCUAAUCGAGCAGCAAUCCCAUCUUUAUUUUUUCCAGGGAUCUCCAGCAAUGUACCAAUGAUACUAUCGCAAACAUUCUUCUCAAUGUGCAUAACAUCUAGGGCAUGCCUCACAGGAAGGUAUUUCCAAUACUCGAGAUCAAAGAAUAUUGAUUUCUUCUUCCAACAAACUCUGUCACCAUUUUCAACCAUAUGCAGCACUUCUUCUCCGGUUAAUGGCUCGGGAGGUAUGCCAUAUUCAGGUUUCCCAUUAAAAGCUGCACGUUGCCUCCUAUAUGGAUGAUUGAUUGGUAACCAUUUUCUAUGCCCAAUGUAACAAAUUUUGUGGCCAUUUUUCAACCUGUGACUAGGUGUAUCAUCGCCGCAUAUUGGACAAGCUUUAUAUCCUUUAACAACACAACCAGAUAAGUUUCCAUAGGCGGGGAAAUCAUUAAUUGUCCACAUUAAUGCAGCUCUGAGUGUAAAGUAUUCUCCAUUAUGUGCAUCAUACACUCCUCUAAUCCCAUCCCACAAAGAUUUUAAAUCAUCAAUCAAAGGCUCCAAGUAGACGUCUAUAUCAUUUCCGGGUUGUUUAGGACCGGAAAUCAAUAAGGUUAACAUCAUGAACUUUCGUUUCAUGCACAGCCAUGGAGGGAGAUUAUAUGUAACUAAGAUAACCGGCCAACAACUAUAUCUGCUACUUAGAGAACUGUGGGGAUUGAAUCCAUCAGAUGAAAGAGCCAAUCUCAAGUUUCUCGGCUCAUUACCAAACUCAGGCCAUUUAUCAUCAAGAAGUUUCCAAGACGGGGAAUCCGCCGGAUGAGACAUCUGACCGUCAAUUGAUUUUCUAGCAGCAUGCCAAGUCAAACUCUUAGCUGUCUCAUGUGAUUGAAACAUCCUUUUAAACCUUGGAAUUGGAGGAAAAUACCACAGCACCUUCGCUGGCACACCCUCUUUCAAGAUUGAAUCUUUGCCUUCCUUCCACCUUGAGAUACCACAAGUAGGACAAUUAGUUGAAUCCUCAUACUCCUUCCUAUACAAGAUGCAAUCAUUGGGGCAUGCGUGCAUUUUCUCAUAACUCAGCCCCAAUGCACACAAAGUCUUUUUAGCCUCAUACAUGGAGGUUGGUAUUGUAUUUCCUUCUGGAAGCAAAUCGCCUUGAAGUAUCAAUAAUUCUGUAAAACAGACAUCACUCAUCCCAUGUUUUGCCUUCAAAUUAUACAACUUCACUAAUGCCGAUAACUUCGUGUACUUUCUACAACCAGGGUACACUGGUUGAUCUCCAUCCCCAAUCACAUUGGCAAACUCAUACGGAUCCGAACCAAAAUCACCAAAAUCAUUAUCAUCCAUAUCAAUUUGUUCAGACACAAAACUGUACCUACUAUGGCCAUCAUCUUCUUCAACAUUUCUACUAGCAUUAGUAGUUGCUUCCCAAGGUUCUCCGUGAAAUGUCCAAUUCUUAUAGCUUUGGUCAAUUCCAUUAAAGUAUAAGUGAUCCCUUAUAAUUCCAACCCCAAACAACUUCAAAUUAACACAUUUAACACAUGGACAACGGAUAUGUGUUGUAGUUAGAAGAUUUUCUACAGCAAAGUUCAAAAAUGCUUCCACCCCAAAUUCAUAUGCCUUCGAUCUUCUAUCCGAGUGCAUCCAUGACUUAUCCAUCUCCGACACUAUAACCUAUUAUCUAUAAUAAAGUGAAAAUACAGGCAAUGACCAUCACUAUAGCAGAUUAUACAAUGAUCUAAUCGCAAGUAAUACACAACAGAGACGACGGGUUUUAAACAAAAACAGACGUAUUUGGCAUAUAUAGACGACAGAUUUUCAACAGACGUCGUCUAUUAUAAGUAAUACAAACGACGGUUUAUGAAAAAACCGUCGUGUAUAAGUAAUACAACGACGGUAGUUUAAAAAAACCGUCGUGUAAUCGUCGUCGUAAGCCUUAAAAUUCGUCGUGUCUCAGUUUAUUUUCAAGAACACAAAACCCAUUAAGAACACAACAUAUAUAUGAAACCAAGCAAGAAACCAACAUAUACAUGAAACCAAGGAUGAAAACAAUAAAUCCAUUCCCAAUUCAACAUAACAGAUAAUGUAAUCCAUGAACCCAUUAAACAGAAAAUCCAUGAACCCAUACCUAUAAGCACAUUAUUAACAGAUCGCAAAGCAUACACAUAAAACCCUUUAACAAAACAACCUAAACAACCUAAUAUCAUUCAAUGAAUUUACAAGGGGAAGAUAGGGUUUGUACUUACAGGUUGGACGAGCUCACAGAUUCGACGGAGCCUGGAGAGUGCAACUUUACAAGGGGAAGAUANNNNNNNNNNNNNNNNNNNNNNNNNNNNNNNNNNNNNNNNNNNNNNNNNNNNNNNNNNNNNNNNNNNNNNNNNNNNNNNNNNNNNNNNNNNNNNNNNNNNCCUGGAGAGUGCAACUUUUAAUAGAGCAGAAGUGAGAGAGCGAAAUGUUAUGUUGCGCGAAAUCUGAAAAUUUUAGGGUUCAGGGUUAGAAGUAUAAGAAUAAGAGCCAAAUAUAAAAAAAUUUAGGGCGCGCGAAAAUUUUUAGAGCGCGCGCUCUUUAAAACGUCGAAAGAAAAACCAUGGCGAAAGUUCUACAAGAACCGACGUAAAUGUAAUAUUCCACGACGGAAACACUGAACGUAACGCCGUUUAUUUUGACGCUUCAUUUUUCGGAUUAAUUUUAAAUUUAUUUUGAAUAUUUUGAUAUAAAGACGACUGAAAAACCACGUCGGGGUUAAGAAAUUGAAAACGUUGUAAAUUAUAAUAGACGACUUACAUAUUAAAAUGACGUCGUUUAAAGUAGAAACCAUGUCGGAUAUUUUACUGCACGACGUAACAUAUGUAUUCCACGACUCAACCACCGUCGUUAACAAUUAAUACCCCAAACCCUUAAAACUAAAUUAUAUAAUUUUAAAAAUUAAGUUUAUAAAAGGGUUUAUGGUUUUACAGCCUAAUAUAUACCCUAAACUACCCAAAAAUUAUACUUUAAAAAUAAACCCCAAUAAAUAACAACCCUAAUCUCUAAACCCUAGACUCUAAACCCUAAACCAUAAAACUAGAAGUGAUUUUAUGACUCAUCAAAACAAUUUUGUUUUGGAUGGUCAUUUUAAAUUUUUGUUAUUCAAAAUGAAUUUUUUCAAGGUUUAGGGGGAAGAAAAUAUAUCAAUGACUUCAUUGGAGUUGACUUUGCAUUUUUCUGAUUUAUUUUAAAUUUAUUUUGAAUAUUUUGAUAUAAAAAUAAUAAAAUAUUCUUAUCACAACAACAAACCACGUCGGUGUUAAUAAAUUGUAGACGUUGAAAAUUGUAAUAGACGACUAAGUUGUUAAAAUGACGUCGUUUAAAUGAGAAACCAUGGCUGAUAUUUAACUAUCCGACGUAAAAUAUAUAUUCCACGACCUAACCGCUGUCGUUACAAAGUACUACCCUGAACCCUUAAGAAAUUGAAGACGUUGUAAACCAUAAACGACUCAAUUGUUCAAAGAACGUCGUCUAAAUAUCCUUUUACGUCGAAUUUGUUUAAAACGAAACAACAAAAAAGGACGGCUUUUGACUUUAUUACGUCGUUGGAAAAGUAUUACACGUCGGUUACGCAAUUUGUAUGUUUGUUUUUUUUUUAAUUUAAGAAAACCUCAACAAAUUUUUACAUUAUAUAUUAUAGACAAAAUUUGUACAUUAUACAUAAAUAUCAAGUGUUCAAUAAUUGCCCUGUUUAAUAAUUUGGAAAACAAACUCUGCCCAUUCAUUCCGGACUUCAUCAAUGGCUUCUUGGGGGUAUGAAACUUCCUAGUUUCCCUUGGCAUACUGCAUAAACAAUGACUAUUAGGGUUUAUAAAUAAAAAGAAAUUCAAUCACAUAUUUUUCAUAACCGACGUAGUAUAUCCAUUCAACGACGUUAAUUUUACAUGACCGUCGUUGAUAAUACAAAAAACGACGUGAAAUGUAUGAAGGUAAUUUCUUCUUACCUUAUUCUCAAACCCCAAGGAAGGAUCCAUGAUGAUGUCCCUCAUGAAGCGCAUCACAUAAUACCCGCAUUCGACAUUGCUGGGUUGCUUUGGUGUGCCUGAGAGAGUUUUCCAAAUUACAUUUUUACGUCCUGCUCGGGCUAUGUGGGUAUUAUAUAUUUUUAAAGCACUGUUCACGAUGUUUUUCGCCUCUUCGUCGACCACACGAUGACCUGACAGAGGAUCCAGAAAAUAGACGGUCUCCUUCUUUGCUCUUACAAUCAGCAAGAUCCAAUGAAGGCUGCACAAAAUUAAUAUAAAAACGACGGUUAUUUACAAAAACGACGUAUUAUAGUAUUUCACACGACGAAAUAAAGUAGAUAACGACGACAUUAUAUAUUUAUCACGACGAUAAAUAAAUACCGACGUGGUUAGUAGUUUCAAACGACUAAAUAAAAUAAAACACCGACGUGGUUAGUUUAUAAGCUGUCAUUUAUUGAAAAUCAUAAAAACAAAAUCCUAAGGAGACUAACCCUGGAUUGUAAGGCAUCAUGAAAAUAUGUUCACCGUCUGUCUUCUGAAGUCGAGCUGCUACCAGUCGUGAUCUUUCAGUUAUUGUGCCAGAGUUGGCACUAACUGUAGCAGGGUCGAUAAAGCCAACCAUGCUGCACAUAUUGGCUUGUUUCAAAACAUCGUGUAAGUACCUAAAUACAUAAAAUAAUAUAAACAAGUCAGCACAAAAAAACACGACGGUUAUGUAUAAAAAAACGACGUAUUAUAAUAUUUCACACGACGUACUGAAAUAGAUGAGGACGUUAUAAUGUAUUUAUCACGACGGUAGUUAGUUAAGACGACGUGGUUAGUUAGUUAAGACGACUCAAUAUAUAAACCAACGAGGUAUUAUUUUAGAAGUACAAACCUCAUAUAUACAGCCAAUACAGUAGCUCCAAUUUCUUCCAUGCCUGCAAAUUGUGUAAUAUCUUCAGGCAGGAGGAAGGUAUCGCGCUCACCACCAAACACCUCCUUAUCAAUUGUAAAUUGGAGUGUCUUAUCCUCAGGCAGGAGUGUCGUUUCCACAAAACGACAAAGAGUUUUUAAAGAAGAUGGUGCCUCCAUAUUUGAAUAAGCACCAACUUCAAUAACCUGUUUAAAGAAAUAAAAAAAAUGAUGUGGUAAUUCAAUAAAGACGACGGUUUAAGGAAUAAAACGUCGUCUUAAAAAUAUUUAAACGACGGUAAAAAAACUGUCGUGGUAAUUCAAUAAAGACGACGGUUUUAUGAAUAAAGCGUCGUCUGAAACCAUUUAAACGACGGUGCAAAAACCGUCGUUUAAAUAUUUUAUUACGUCUUAAAAAAAGUCCGCCGUCUAAGUUUUAAACAAACGACGGAUUAAAUAAAAAUAUCGACGUCUGAAAUUUUGAAAAACAAAUAAAAAAGGCAAAGUUAUGUGAACAUACCUUGUCGUCAUGCUUUUCUUCAUCUUCUUUCUCCUUUUCUUCUUCCUUCUCUUCAUCUCUUUUUUCUUCUUCCUUCUCUUCAUCUGGCUGAUGUUUCCCCAUUUUGGCAGUAUCAUCCUCCAAAUGUAGGGAUCUCACAUCACCUCCAGAGCAGCUAGCUUUGUCAGACAUUGGAUUUUUGGGGCUUUAGCUAAUUCUUGGUUUAAGCAUGCUUGGAUCAAAAUUGGGAAUUAAUUGGGAAAGCUGACUCAGGAAAUGGUCCCUCUCAGCCUCUACCAAUUGUUUUGUCCUAGCCUCCAUCCUUAAGGCCUCUUCCCUUGCCUUAGCCUCCAUCUUUUUAGUCUCUUCUUGAAGGAGAACUCUUAAACUGUCCUUCAAACGGUCGUCAAAGCUCACCCUCUGUGGUUUGGGCAAAUUGAAAUAUUGCCUUGGGGAAACACCAGCACCAACUCCCCUCAGUCUGCCUGGAUGCUCGGGGCCCAAAGCCAUGGUCAGCACAUCAUUGCUGCCAUCUACUCUGACUUUGCCUUCCGAGACUUGUUUCUGCAAUUCAUCCUAAAAAAAGAUAAACAAAAAAACACACGACGGUUAUUUAUGUACAAACGACGUAUUAUAUAAUUUCACACGACGCAAUAACGUAUAAACCGACGUUAUUAUAACUUAUCACGACGGUAGUUAUACCGACGUGGUUAUUUAUUUAAAACGACGAAAUGAAUAAACAACCGACGUCUUAUGCUAUAAUUAAAGAUAACAGAGUAGUGAUUCCUAUUUAGACCGUUAACGACGUUUUUAAAAAAGUUUCGACGUGGUAAUAUCAUUCAAACGACGCGAAAAUGAACCACCGACGUCUUAUGCUAUAAUUACAGAAAAUUAGUAGUGAUUCCUAUUUAGACCUUUAACGACGUUUUUAAAAACUUCUCGACGUGGUAAUAUCAUUCACACGACGAAAAAUAUAACAUACGACGUAAUAAGAAUAAUUCACAGUUUAAUAAAAAUUUAAAACAGAGUGAUAGUAGGCUUACAAUUAAUUUUGCUUUCUCUGCCACCUUUGGAUCAGGGAUGUUACCAUGUUUGUCCUGUCUAGCUCUCUUCCAUAAGGUAGAUCGAUCAAUUUCUACCCCAGGCAUGGUUUCCUCCAAUUGAUCCUCCAAUCCAGCAUAUCCUUUUCGAGACAAUCGAUGAUUGUACUCGAGUUUCUCCCUAAUCUGUGCAUGUUGAGAAUGCACAGACUCAAAAUCUUUGGAUAGCCUUGAAGCUACAAAGGCAUCCCAUUGUGCUUUCUCUAUGAAUUUAUAUGUUUAAGGGGGUUGGCUUAAUUUCUCCCUGUCAUUGGUGUAUGGAAGGAUAUAAUGCCUCAUUAGUGUAGACUUGAAAUCCUUCCAUUUCUUGGAAGCAGAAGCUAAAACAGAGGUCUUGCCCCCUUGGCCUACAACAAAAGCCAUGUCAACUGCUUCCCAAAUCUGCUCCUUUAUAUCCUUGGGGAUUUGGGACCAUUUCUUGUCCACAAGUGGGAUCCUGGAGCGUGCCAACACACCAAUAUACGACUGCAUCUCAAUAUGUGCUUGGCCAACACCUUUCCCCCUUUUAUUGUACUCAACAAUUGGCCUCAGUUUCUGAAGCUUUCUCUUCACAACACGAGGCAUUGUGCUCAUACCUCGACCAGUCUUUGAAUCAUCAGAGAUUGUUGUCUGGCUGGUUUGUUCUGUCUCAGCAGAUGAUGAAGCAAACUUCAUCUUCUUCGAAGACUUCAUCUCCUUCGAAGACUUGUCUUGAGGAGCUACCAUUCCAAGCUUCUUGGAGCCAGAAUCCUUAGUUUGUUGUUGAGAAACCAUUUUAACAGACAAAACUGCAAGUGAAAAUAUUUCAGGAAAACAUUAAGAACACAAACGACGGUAUUAAAAAAAUACGACGUAUGAUAUGAUUUUAGACGACGCAAUGAAAUAAUCUCAGACGUAAUAAAUGUUUAAAACCAUUAUUUAUAUAACGUCGUGGUAUAUAUGUUCACACGACGUCAAUAGUAAUACACGUCGUGGUAAAACUAUUAUUUAUAUAACGUCGUGGUAUUUAUGUUCAUACGACGUCAAUAGUAAUACACCGUCGUGGUAUUAACAUUCACACGACGUAAAACAAUAAGAUAUUUUGUCGUCUAUAUUAGAUACCAACCCUAGUUUCUUUUUCUUUAUAUUUUAUCAAAUAAGGGAAAAACAAAAACCAUUGUUCAGAGAAAUCAAACCUGCAAUUAAACAAGCAUAUAAAAAAAGACUAUUAUUUUAAAAACAACUUUGUCAAUUUUCAGACGACGCUAGAACAACUGACGAACCGUCGUGGUCUACCGUCGUCUUAUUUAGUUGAUGUAGUUGUCUUCAAAGUUGGAAACUUUCUCUCUUUGUCUGUAUAUUUUAUCAAACUUGGAAAGAAGUAAAAUGAUUUUGGCCAGAAAAAAGGUAAAAAGAUUUUUCAAACAAAAAACGUAUGAGCAUGCAAAACAGUAACCAAAAUAGUGAAAAUGAAAGCUUACCUUUUGCGUGCAAUGAAAGCAAGAGGAAGAUGAUCGAUGUUUAAGUUCAGAGACGACGAAGAAGACGAGAGGAAGACGAUGAGAAACUCUGACAAUGCUCUGACAAGGAAAAAAGACGAAAAGGUUUCUCUGGGAGAUUGAAAUUUUUAAUCGGGUUUGGAAACAGUGCAUGUGUAAGUCGAAAAGUUGCUUACAUAUAAAACCAUUUCAAAAAAAUAAUACGGCGGUUACAUUUAACUACAUCGUUUUUAACUAACACGACGCAAUAUUUUUCGUUCGACGUGGAAUCAUUUCAUUUAACGUCGUUAGGUUUAAUAUAACCGACGUGGAUUUUAAUUUUUAAAUUAUGAAUAGAAUUUUUUUUCCCGUGACCUUUCAGUUUAUUUUUCAAUUACCGUGCGUUAUAAAUAGAGUUUUUUUUCCGGAGGAAAUUUAAAACGAAGGAAAUUAAUAUUCUGCAAUAUGUAAAGUUUCUUUUUUGGAUGACAGAUUUAAAUAAAAUAAGAAUAUAAAAACAACUAAUGUGUAAGUCAAGUAGACGAAAAGUUGCUUACAUAUAAAACCAUUUCAAAAAAAUAAUACGGCGGUUACAUAUAACUACGACGUAUAAAUUACAAAAUACGAUGGUACAUUUAACUUCGGACGUGGUAAAUAAAUACGACAGUAGUUUGUAGGUACCGUCGUAGUAAACUCAAAAAUUAAAGUACAUAAGUAAUAACUCGCGUCAUGGUAGAUUAUUUAACACGUCGUUUUUAUUAAUUUACCGACGUGGAUUUCUGUAAUAUACGUCGAUCAUACCGACGUUGAUUUUACAAUUUAAACGGCGGUGUUUUUGUAAGGACCGCCGUUGGUUUUAAAAAUUUAUUCUAUAAAUUUGUCGCUUUCAUUCAUUUUCGGUUUACAUUUAAGGUUCCAAGUUCUUCCUCUCUCAGUCUCUCAUGUCUCAAAGACAAUAAUUUGGAUGUUUUCUCAAAGAGAAAUUGAGCUUACUCGCAUCAAAUAUAUGUCCACAAGAAGAAGCUUGUCAACUAGCCUUCUCACUUCCUUGAUCAAGCCUGAUAGGACACUUAGUGCUUCUGAAUACUCCUUGCUUUCCAUCAAAAGAGAUGCAAGCCUGGCCUCCACUCGCUGUCGAAGGAAAGUUCGCUUCUCAGGGAAAUCUGAAGAUCAGAUGUGCCUGAUCCUCUGCUUGAUUUUCUUGCCUAAGAAGAUCCGUCGGAUUUGUGAUAGCCUCUUCCUUUAUCCGUAGAGCUUCAGAAGAAGAAGAUGGGUUUCAAGAAUGCGAUAAAGAAUAGAAAUGGCUUCAGAUGGCCUCUAAAGCAUGAGCAAUUGAAUCAGUAGUUUCUGGGAGAUAUGAUGAAGACAUUGUCAAUGCUUUGAACUAUACAAGUCCUGCAGAAAGAUAUGUUAAAGAAACUGAAACAACGGCGGUUUUCUGUUCUACCGUCGUCUUUUCUCGUCGUCUAUAUUAAGUUAAGAUGGCGGUAGAUUUAUAAUUACCGACGUAGAUUAUUUUGUUAAACGUCGUUAAGUGUACUACAACCGACGUGGAUUUUAUUUUUAAAUUAUAAAUAGAGUUUUUUUUCCCGUAUUCUUUCAGUUUUAGUUUUCAAUUCCAAAGCGUGAUAAAUAGAUUUUUCUUUCCCGAGGAAAUUUAAAAUGAGGGAAAUUAAUGUUCUAGAAUUUGUAAACUAACACGACGCAAUAUUUGCAAAUCUGUGUCAUCUGUUAAGAUUAUGAUGUGGAACAGAGUUCCAUCUGGUAAGAUUUCGUAACCCUUGGGAUCUCAGACAAAUCUGAUUAUGUCGGCGGUGUUCUAUAUAAACCGUCGUGGUUAUUUCAAUUCUUGUCAUUAAGUAGAUCUACCGACGUAGGAUAAGAAAAUCAAAGAAAAAAAUUGUUAACAAAAAUUCUUAUUAAGACGACCGUUAAAAUUAAAGGUACGACGUAUAAAAUGAAUAAAUACGACGAUAAAUUUUAUUGUACGAUUUAAAGAUAACGUCGUAGAACUAUACGAGAAUGACGUCGAUAUAUUUAUAUUUUCCGUCGUUGUAAAUUUAUUUAAUACGGCGAUAUUUUGUAUUUUAAAGCCGUGGAUUUGUUUGUAAUUAUACGGCGUCUUAUACGAAAACCUCGUCGUGUUAUUUUAUGAGUAAAAACGGCAGUUUUUAUUGAAAUCGUCGUCUUUACUUUCUACGUCGGUCGAUUCAUAACUUCUGCCGUUCUUUGUUGGCAUUGAUUUUACACUGCGGAAAUCUGUUUCAAAUAGACGUCGGUUGUUUAAUUAUGUACGUCGUUGUUUUUGAACAGCCAUUUGAAACUCCAUUUUUUAGUUGUCUAAGGUUGUAUUACACGACGGUGUUUUUAGAACCGUCGUCUUUUUAUAAACCACGACGGUUUUCACUUAGACCGUCGUUGUUUUCUGGUCGUCUUUUUCACUUUUUGUAGUAGUGCAUGAUAUUUGUUACAAGAAGCAAAUACCAAACAUCUCCUCUCAGUCUCCACUUAGAUGAUCAAUUCAAUUAAAUAUUGGCAAGAUAUUCAAAGCAUUAAGAACAGUAACAAAUACUCAACAUGGAAUAGUAAUAAAAAAUUAAUAUAAUUAUAAAAAUUAAGUAUUCAUAGUUAGGCUACAUCGUAGCCCUAGCAAGAGAAAUUAGUUCAUGAGAAAAGAAAAUAUAAACAAGAGCAUUAUUGUCAUAAAAUUGAUUUGGCCGAUGGGAUUGAUCUUCAGAGUCUCCAUAGGAACACCUUCGAAAGCUCCUCAAGUAGUGUAACAGUAAAUUCUUAGCUUUCUCUGUGAUAUAUUUGUGGGUGUAUGAAUUGUAUAUUGGAAGAUGAUGAUUCAUAGAGAGAGCUUAGGGUAACCUUAUAUAGAGUAAAACAACUAAACCCUACUCCAAAAAUGUCUGAAAAAACUCUCCUAAAGCAAAACAAAAUCCCAAACAAUUAAGGAAACAAGCUAGGAAAGAAUCCUUCUUUUACUUGGAAACAAGUCAGCCAACUUUCACGCACGUUUUAGGGUCGUUCCACUUCCUAGAAAAUUCUGGAAAAAUAUGAGUAACGUAGCUUGAUCUCUAAUCUCUAAGCUUUCUAAGCAUUUAUUAAUGCCACUAGGAAAAAUUGGAAAGGUCUUCAAAUCUUCAAUCUUCCACAGCAGUGCAGUUAUGACGAGAUUUCAACUUAGGUUGUCUUGAUUUGCAAGUCUGGAGCAUUUGACUUGGUAGAAAAUUAUGAAACUUUGAUACAAUGAUCUUCAAUGUCUUAGCUUUCUUCUCCGAUUGGUGUUGCACUAAAAUUCAUUUGAAAAGUUAAUUUUCAGUCAAAAUCCUUCCAAGAGCGCAGAAUUGCUGAAAAUAUAAGAAGCAAGGUAAUAAUACUCUUUUUAAUUAACUUUUCCUACAUAAACCAAAUAAAACAAAUAUAAAAAUAUAGGUACAAAAAACAAAACAAAGAAUAAUAUUAUGGCAAAGAAAGAAUGGAAACUCCAGUUCCGAACUUCACCAAUUCCAUCAAUCCCAUGACCUCCAUUACUCGACACCUGGUCUCCUUCGGUAAUUUUCUUCUGCCCUAUCUCUCUGUAUUAUAUAUGAUUAAAUAUGGUGGUCCUCCUCAUCUUCGAAUUAGAGGUAGUGAUUAUAAUAUCACUCUAAUUAAAAAUAAUUUUUAUUACAAAUCAUCCUUGAACUUUUUAACUGUCUUAAUUUUAGUCCUCAAACUUUCAAAUUAAUAAAUAUGACCUCCAAUAUUUUGGUUCAGACAUAAGUUUGGUCCAUAUCAUCGUUUGGAGAUGUGCAGGCAACGCAGGUGACCUCCCCACUACAAAAACAAGUGGCAACAGUCACCAUUAUUUGGUGACAUUUUAGUCACUACAGCAAAUGUCAUCAAAUGUCACCAUAUAAUGGUGACUGUUGCUACUUUUUUUUGUAGUGCUCCCUUGAUCACCAAACUAUAUGUUGCCACUAAUGGAAGGUCAAGACUGCGACCCCCACUCAUUCCUAGUUACUUUGGCAAUGCGAUUUUCACAACAAUGCCAAUUACUGUCGCGGGGGAUUUCCAAUCAAAAUGAACAUGGUAUGGAGCAAGCCACAUUCAUGAUGUUUUGGCUCAUAUGGAUGAUCAAGGUUUUAAAACGCAAGGCCCUGAGGCGAGACGCUUUUGAUCUCGUAAGGUGAAGUGUAACCCUUUCGAACUUCAAUUAUUUUAAUUAAAAAUAUAAAAUUAUAUAAAAUAAUUAUAAAUAAGUACUAAUUGUCUCCUAAGCUUAAUAAUCACUACUACAAAAAGUGAAAAAGAGGACCAGAAAACAACGACGGUCUAAGUGAAAACCGUCGUGGUUUUUAAAAAGAUGACGGUUCUAAAAACACCGUCGUGUAAUACCACCUUAGACAACUAAAAAAUGGAGAUUCAAAUGGCUGUUCUAAAACAACGACGUACCUAAUUAAACAAUCGACGUCUAUUUGAAACAGAUUUCCGCAGUGUAAAAUCAAAGUCAACAAAGAACGGCAGAAGUUAUGAAUCGACCGACGUAGAAAGUAAAGACGACGAUUUCAAUAAAAGCCGCAGUUUUUACUCAUAAAAUAACACGACGAGGUUUUCGUAUAAGACGCCGUAUAAUUACAAACAAAUCCACGGCUUUAAAAUACAAAAUAUCGCCAUAUUAAAUUAAUGUACAACGACGGAAAAUAUAAAUAUAUCGACGUCAUUCUCAUAUAGUUCUAUGACGUUAUCUUUAAAUCGUAUAAAAUUUAACGUCGUAUUUAUUCAUUUUAUACGUCGUACCUUUAAUUUAAACCGUCGUCUUAAUAAGAAUUUUUGUUAACAAUUUUUUUCUUUGAUUUUCUUAUCCUACGUCGGUAGAUCUACUUAAUGACAAGAAUUGAAAUAACCACGACGGUUUAUAUAGAAAACCGCCGACAUAAUCAGAUUUUUCUGAGAUCCCAAGGGUUACGAAAUCUUACCAGAUGGAACUCUGUUCCACAUCAUAAUCUUAACAGAUGACACAGAUUUGCAAUUAGAGAGACAAUUUUUUGGAAGUUGAUGAUGUGUGUGCGUUUGUGUAUCUACAAAUAUUAUACCUAACGUCGUUGCAAAUUUGCAAUCAGAGAGACAAUUUUCAACGACGGUUAUAUUAUACCUAACGACGUUUAAAAAACAAAUCAACGUCGCUCAACAAAUAUAUUAUGUCGUCUUAGUCUUACUUAAGACGACGAAAAACGACGACAGUAAUACAAAAACAGUCGUUGUUUUUAUAUUCUUAUUUUAUUUAAAUCUGUCAUCCAAAAAAGAAACUUUACAUAUUCCAGAACAUUAAUUUCCUUCAUUUUAAAUUUCCUCCGGAAAAAAAACUCUAUUUAUAACGCACUGUAAUUGAAAAAUAAACUGAAAGGUCACGGGAAAAAGAAUUCUAUUCAUAAUUUAAAAAUUCAAAUCCACGUCAGUUAUAUUAAACCUAACGACGUUAAAUGAAAAGAUUCCACGUCGCAAAACAAAUAUUGCGUCGUGUUAGUUAAAAACGACGGCAUAACAAAAAACCGUCGUUGUUUCAAACUGAAUUAAUUUAAAAUUUCUUCGGGAAAGCAAAAUCUAUUUAUAAUUUCCUCGGGUUAGUAAUAUUGCGUCGUGUUAGUUUACAAAUUCUAGAACAUUAAUUUUCCUCAUUUUAAAUUUCCUCGGGAAAGAAAAAUCUAUUUAUCACGCUUUGUAAUUGAAAACUAAAACUGAAAGAAUUCGGGAAAAAAAACUCUAUUUAUAAAUUAAAAAUAAAAUCCACGUCGGUUGUAUUACACUUAACGACGUUUAACAAAAUAAUCUACGUCGGUAAUUAUAAAUCUACCGCCAUCUUACCCUAAUAUAGACGACGAGAAAAGACGACGGUAGAACAGAAAACCGCCGUUGUUUCAGUUUCUUUAACAGUUUGGUCCUUUAUCUUUCUGCAGGACUUGUAUAGUUCAAAGCAUUGACAAUGUCUUCAUCAUAUCUCCCAGCAACUACUGAUUCGAUUGCUCAUGCUUUAGAGGCCAUCUGAAGCCAUUUCUAUUCUUUAUCGCAUUCUUGAAACCCAUCUUCUUCUUCUGAAGCUCUACGGAUAAAGGAAGAGGCUAUCACAAAUCUGACGGAUCUUCUUAGCCAAGAAAAUCAAGCAGAGGAUCAGGCACAUCUGAUCUUCAGAUUUCCCUGAGAAGCGAACUUUCCUUCGACAGCGAGUGGAGGCCAGGCUUGCAUCUCUUUUGAUGGAAAGCAAGGAGUAUUCAGAAGCACUAAGUGUCCUAUCAGGCUUGAUCAAGGAAGUGAGAAGGCUAGUUGACAAGCUUCUUCUUGUGGACAUAGAUUUGAUGCGAGUAAGCUCAAUUUCUCUUUGAGAAAGACAUCCAAAUUAUUGUCUUUGAGAUGUGAGAGACAGUGUCUCUGAGAGAGGAAGAACUUGGAACCCUAAAUGUAAACCGAAAAUGAAUGAAAGCGACAAAUUUAUAGAAUAAAUUUUUAAAACCAACGGCGGUCCUUACAAAAAAACCGCCGUUUAAAUUGUAAAAUCAACGUCGGUAUGACCGACGUAUAUUACAGAAAUCCACGUCGGUACAUUAAUAAAAACGACGUGUUAAAUAAUCUACCAUGACGCGAGUUAUUACUUAUGUACUUUAAUUUUUGAGUUUACUACGACGGUACUUACAACACUACUGUCGUAUUUAUUUACCACGUCCGAAGUUAAAUGUACCGUCGUAUUUUGUAAUUUAUACGUCGUAGUUAUAUGUAACCGCCGUAUUUUUUUUUUGAAAUGGUUUUAUAUGUAAGCAACUUUUCAUCUACCUGACUUACACAUGCACUGUUUCCAAACCCGAUUAAAAAUUUCAAUCUCCCAGAGAAAACUUUUAGACUUUUUUCCUUGUCAGAGCACUGUCAGAAUAUCUCAUCGUCUUCCUCUCAUCUUCUUCGUCGUCUCUGAACUUAAACAUCGAUCGUCUUCCUCUUGCUUUCAUUGCACGCAAAAGGUAAGCUUUCAUUUUCACUAUUUUGGUUGCUGUUUUGCAUGCUCAUACGUUUUUUGUUUGAAAAAUCUUUUUACCUUUUUUAUGGCCAAAAUCAUUUUAUUUCUUUCCAAGUUUGAUAAAAUAUACAGACAAAGAGGGAAAGUUUCCAACUUUGAAGACAACUACCUCAACUAAAUAAGGCGACGGUAGCUUCUUAUUUACGUGGUUAAAUAUGUAGACCACGAUGGUUCGUCAGUCGUUCUAGCGUCGUCUGAAAAUUGACAAAGUUGUUUUUAAAAUUAUGGUCUUUUUUUUAUUUGCUUGUUUAAUUGCAGGUUUGAUUUCUCUGAACAAUGGUUUUUGUUUUUCCCUAAUUUGAUAAAAUAUAAAGAAAAAGAAAGUAGGGUUGGUAUCUAAUAUAGACGACAGUAUCUUAUUGUUUUACGUCGUGUGAAUGUUAAUACCACGACGUCAUAUUAAAUCACGUCGGCCGGUAAAUAUCGACGUAAUAAGUUAUUAUUACGUCUUAUUUUAUAUUAUUUCGUCGUUGUUUAAUUACCUUGGUUUUAAACAUUUAUUACGUCUGAGAUUAUUUCAUUGCGUCGUUUAAAAUCAUAUCAUACGUCGUAUUUUAUUAAUAACCGUCGUUUGUGUUCUUAAUAUUUUCCUGAAAUAUUUUCACUUGCAGUUUUGUCUGUAAAAAUGGUUUCUCACCAAGACCAAAGUAAGGAUUCUGGCUCCAAGAGAAGUCUUCGAAGAAGAUGAAGUCUUCGAAGAAGAUGAAGUUUGCUUCAUCAUCUGUUGAGACAGAACCAACCAGCACGACAACAAUCUCUGAUGAUUCAAAGUCUGGUCGAGGUAUGAGCACAAUGCCUCGUGUUGUGAAGAGAAAACUUCAGAAACUGAGGCCAAUUGUUGAGUACAAUAAAAGGGGGAAAGGAAUUGGCCAAGCACAUAGUGAGAUGCAGUCCUACAUUGGUGUGUUGGCACGCUCCAGAGUUCCACUUGUGGACAUGAAAUGGGCUCAAAUCCCCAAGGAUAUAAAGGAGCAGAUUUGGGAAGCAGUUAACAUUGCUUUUGUGGUAGGUCAAGGGGGCAAGAACUCUGUGUUAGCUUCUGCUGCCAAGAAAUGGAAGGAUUUCAAGUCUACACUAACGAGGCAUUAUAUCCUUCCAUACACCAAUGACAGGGAGAGAUUAAGCCAACCCCCUGAAACAUAUAAAUUCAUAGAGAAAGCACAAUGGGAUGCCUUUGUAGCUUCAAGGUUAUCCAAAGAUUUUGAGUCUGUGCAUUCUCAACAUGCACAGAUUAGGGAGAAACUUGAGUACAAUCAUCGAUUGUCUCGAAAAGGAUAUGCUGGUUUGGAGGAUCAAUUGGAGGAAACCAUGCCUGGGGUAGAAAUUGAUCGAUCUACCUUAUGGAAGAGAGCUAGACAGGACAAACAUGGUAACAUCCCGGAUCCAAAGGUGGCAGAGAAAGCAAAAUUAAUUGUAAGCCUACUCACUCUGUUUUAAAUUUUUAUUAAACUGUGAAUAAUUCUUAUUACGUCUUAUGUUAUAUUUUGCGUCGUGUGAAUGAUAUUACCACGUCGAAAUUUUGUUAAAAACGUCGUUAAAGGUCUAAAUCAGGAAUCACUACUCUGUUUUCUGUAAUUAUAGCAUAAGAUGUCGGUGUUUCAUUUUCGCGUCGUUUGUAUUAAAUUACUACGUCGAAAUGUUUUAAAAAAGGUCGUUAAAGGUGUGAAUAUUGAAUCAUCCCUCUGUUAUCUGUAAAUAAAGCAUAAGACGUCGGUGGUUUAUUCAUUUCGUCGUUUUAAAAAACUAACCACGUCGGUAUAACUACCGUCGUGAUAAAUUAUAAUAACGUCGAUUUAUAUGUUAUUGCGUCGUGUGAAAUUAUAUAAUACGUCGUUUGUAUAUAAAUAACCGUCGUGUGUUUUUUGUUCUUACUUUUUUAUAUAUCUUUGUUUUAGGAUGAAUUGCAAAAACAAGUCUCGGAAGGCAAAGUCACUGUAUCUGGCAGCAAUGAUGUGCUGACCAUGGCUUUGGGCCCCGAGCAUCCAGGCAGAGUGAGAGGAGUAGGUGCUGGGAUUUCACCAAGGCAAUAUUUCAAUUUACCCAAACCACAGAUAGUGAGCUUUGACGACCGUUUAAAGGACAGUUUAAGAGUUCUCCUUCAAGAAGAGACUAAAAAGAUGGAAGCUAAGGCAAGGGAAGAGGCUUUAAGGAUGGAGGCUAGAACGAAACAAUUGGUAGAGGCUGAGAGGGAGCAUUUCCUGAGUCAGCUUUCUCAAUUAAUUCCCAAUUUUGAUCCAAGCAUGCUUAAACCCAGAAUUAGCCAAAGUCCCAAAAAUCCAAUGUCUGACAAAGCAAGCUGCUCUGGAGGUGAUGUGAGAUCCCUACAUUUUGAGGAUGAUACUGCCAAAAAUGGGAAACAUCAGGAAGAAAAGGUAACAUAUCUGAACUUUGAAUUCUCUGUUUUUUUAAAACCAUUAGACGUCGUAUUAUUAAUAAAACCGUCGUUUGAAAUACAUAUCACGACGAUUUUAAAAAUAAACCGUCGUUUGUAUUUCAAUACCACGUCGUAUUUAGUUUCCUUGUUUUACACGCCAUUAAACGUCGUUAUUUUUAAAACUUUGUGGUUUUUAGACGACGGAGUUAGUCAUUCCCGACGUAAUAGAUGAAGAGAAGAAAGAAGAAAAACAAGAUGAAAAGGAGAAAGAAGAUGACGACCAGGUAUGUUCACAUAACUUUGCCUUUUUUAUUUAUUUUUCAAAAUUCCAGACGUCGAUAUUUUUCUUUAAACCGUCGUUUGUUUACAACUUAGACGGCGGAAUUUUUUUCUAAGACGUAAUAAAUUAUUCACCACGACGGGUUUUUCACCGUCGUUUAAAUUCUUUUCAGACGACGUUUUAUUCCUUAAACCGUCGUUUUUAUUGAAUUACCACGUCAUUUUUUUUAAUUCUUUAAACAGAUUAUUAAAGUUGUUGAUUAUUCAAAUAUGGAGGCGCCAUCUUCUUUAAAAUCCCUUUGUCGUUAUGUGGAAACGACACUCGUGCCUCAGGAUAAGACCCUGCACUUUACAAUUGAUAAGGAGGUGUUUGGUCUAGAGCGCGAUACCUUCCUCCUGCCUGAAGAUAUUACACAAUUUGCAGGCAUGGAAGAAAUAGGAGCUACUGUCAUUGCUGUAUAUAUGAGGUUUGUCAUUCUAAAAUAAUACGUUGUUGGUUUAUUUAUUGCGUCGUCUUAACUAACUAACCACGUCGUUAGUAUGUACCGUCGUGAUAAAUAUAUUAUAACGUCGUUGUCUAUUUCAGUACGUCGUGUGAAAUUUUAUAAUACGUCGUUUUGUUAUACAUAACCGUCGUGUGUUUUUUUGUGCUAACUUGUUUAUAUUAUUUUAUAUAUUUAGGUACUUACACGAUGUUUUGAAACAAGCAAAUAUGUGCAGCAUGGUUGGCUUUAUCGACCCUGCUACAGUUAGUGCCAGCUCUGGCACAAUAGCUGACAGAUCACGACUAGUAGCAGCUCGACUUCAGAGGACUGACGGUGAACAGAUUUUCAUGAUGCCUUACAAUCCAGGGUUAGUCUCCUUAACAUGAUUUUGUUUUUAUGAUUUUCAAUAAAUGACAGCGUAUAAACUAACCACGUCGGUGUUUUAUUUUAUUGAGUCGUUUGAAACUACUAACCACGUCGGUAGUUAUUUAUCGUCGUGAUAAAUAUAUAAUGUCGUCGAUUGCUACUUUAUUUCGUCGUGUGAAAUAUUAUAAUACGUCGUUUUUGUAAAUAACCGUCGUUUUUAUAUUAAUUUUGUGCAGCCGUCAUUGGAUCUUGCUGAUUGUAAGAGCAAAGAGGGAAACCGUCUAUUUUCUGGAUCCUCUGCCAGGAAAUCGUGUGAUCGAUGAAGAGGCCAAAAACAUCGUGAACAGUGCUAUAAAACUUUAUAAUUCUCACAUAGCCAGAUCAGGCCGUAAGGCAGUAAUUUGGAAAACUCUGUCAGGCACACCAAAGUAACCCAGCAGUGUCGAAUGCGGGUAUUAUGUGAUGCGCUUCAUGAGGGACAUCAUCAUGGAUCCUUCCUUGGGGUUUAAGAAGAAGGUAAGAAGAAAUUACCUUCAUACAUUUUACGUCGUUUUUUGUAUUAUCAACGACGGUCAUGUAAAAUUACCGUCGUUGAAUAGAUAUAGUACGUCGGUUAUGAAAAAUAUCGUCGUCUGUGAUUGAAUUUCUUUUUAUUUAUAAACCCUAAUAGUCAUUGUUUAUGCAGUAUGCCAAGGGAAAACAGGAAGCGCCAUACCCCCAAGAAGCAAUUGAUGAAGUCUGGAAUGAAUGGGCAGAGUUUGUUUGCCUUCACCUGGAAUAGGGGAAUUAUUGAACACUUGAUAUUUAUGUAUAAUGUACAAAUUUUGUCUAUAAUAUAUAAUGUAAAAAUUUGUUGAGGUUUUCUUAAAUUUAAAAAAAAAAAAACAUACAAAUUGCGUAACCGACGUGUAAUACUUUUCCAACGACCUAAUAAAGUCAAAAACCGUCGUUUUUUGUUGUUUCGUUUUAAACAAAUUCGACGUAAAAGGAUAUUUAGACGACGUUCAUUGAACAAUUGAGUCGUUUAUGGUUUACAAAGUCUUCAAUUUCUUAAGGGUUCAGGGUAUUACUUUGUAACGACAGCGGUUAAGUCGUGGAAUAUAUAUUUUACGUCAGAUAGUUAAAUAUCUGCCAUGGUUUCUCAUUUAAACGACGUCAUUUUAACAACUUAGUCGUCUAUUAUAAUUUACAACGUCUACAAUUUAUUAACACCGACGUGGUUUGUUGUUGUGAUAAGAAUAUUUUAUUAUUUUUAUAUCAAAAUAUUCAAAAUAAAUUUAAAAUAAAUCAGAAAAAUACAAAGUCAACUCCUAUGAAGUCAUUGAUAUAUUUUCUUCCCCCUAAACCUUGAAAAAAUUCAUUUUGAAUAACAAAAAUUUAAAAUGACCAUCCAAAACAAAAUUAUUUUGAUGAGUCAUAAAAUCACUUCUAGUUUUAUGGUUUAGGGUUUAGAGUCUAGGGUUUAGAGAUUAGGGUUGUUAUUUAUUGGGGUUUAUUUUUAAAGUAUAAUUUUUGGGUAGUCUAGGGUAUAUAUUAGGCUGUAAAACCAUAAACCCUUUUAUAAACUUAAUUUUUAAAAUUAUAUAAUUUAGUUUUAAGGGUUUAGGGUAUUAAUUGUUAACGACGGUGGUUGAGUUGUGGAAUACAUAUGUUACGUCGUGCAGUAAAAUAUCCGACAUGGUUUCUACUUUAAACGACGUCAUUUUAAUAUGUAAGUCGUCUAUUAUAAUUUACAACGUUUUCAAUUUCUUAACUCCGACGUAGUUUUUCAGUCGUCUUUAUAUCAAAAUAUUCAAAAUUAAUUUAAAAUUAAUCCGAAAAAUGAAGCAUCAAAAUAAACGGUGUUACGUUCAGUGUUUCCGUCGUGGAAUAUUACAUUUACGUCGGUUCUUGUAGAACUUUCGCCAUGGUUUUUCUUUCGACGUUUUAAAGAGCGCGCGCUCUAAAAAUUUUCGCGCGCCCUAAAUUUUUUUAUAUUUGGCUCUUAUUCUUAUACUUCUAACCCUGAACCCUAAAAUUUUCAGAUUUCGCGCAACAUAACAUUUCGCUCUCUCACUUCUGCUCUAAUUAAAAGUUGCACUCUCCAGGCUCCGUCGAAUCUGUGAGCUCGUCCAACCUGUAAGUACAAACCCUAUCUUCCCCUUGUAAAUUCAUUGAAUGAUAUUAGGUUGUUUUGUUAAAGGGUUUUAGGUAUAUGCUUUGCGAUCUGUUAAUAAUGUGCUUAUAGGUAUGGGUUCAUGGAUUUUCUGUUUAAUGGGUUCAUGGAUUUUCUGUUUAAUGGGUUCAUGGAUUACAUUAUCUAUUAUGUUGAAUUGGGAAUGGAUUUAAUUUUGUCGGAUCUUUUAAUCACCCUAUGUUAUGUUGAAUUGGGUUCAUGUAUAUGUUGGUUUCUUGCUUGGUUUCAUAUAUAUGUUGUGUUCUUAAUGGGUUUUGGGUUCUUGAAAAUAAACUGAGUUUUGGGUUCUUGAAAAUAAACUGAGACACAACGCCUUUUUAGGCAUACGACGACGAUUACACGACGGUUUAUGAAAUUUUUCAUAAACCGUCGUUUGUAUUACUUAUAUUAGACGACGUCUGUUGAAAAUCCGGCGUCUAUAUAUGCCAAAUACGUCUGUUUUUGUUUAAAACCCGUCGUCUCUGUUGUGUAUUACUUGCUAUUAGAUCUUUGUAUAAUCUGCUAUAGUGAUGGUCAUUACCUGUAUUUUCACUUUAUUAUAGAUAAUAGGUUAUAGUGUCGGAGAUGGAUAAGUCAUGGAUGCACUCGGAUAGAAGAUCGAAGGCAUAUGAGUUUGGGGUGGAAGCAUUUUUGAACUUUGCUGUAGAAAAUCUUCUAACUACAACACAUAUCCGUUGUCCAUGUGUUAAAUGUGUUAAUUUAAAGUUAUUUGGGGUUGGAAUUAUAAGGGAUCACUUAUACUUUAAUGGAAUUGACCAAAGCUAUAAGAAUUGGACAUUUCACGGAGAACCUUGGGAAGCAACUACUAAUGCUAGUAGAAAUGUUGAAGAAGAUGAUGGCCAUACUAGGUACAGUUUUGUGUCUGAAGAAAUUGAUAUGGAUGAUAAUGAUUUUGGUGAUUUUGGUUCCGAUCCGUAUGAGUUUGCCAAUGUGAUUGGGGAUGGAGAUCAACCAGUGUACCCUGGUUGUAGAAAGUACAUGAAGUUAUCGGCAUUAGUAAAGUUGUAUAAUUUGAAGGCAAAACAUGGGAUGAGUGAUGUCUGUUUUACAGAAUUAUUGAUACUUCAAGGCGAUUUUCUUCCAGAAGGAAAUACAAUACCAACCUCUAUGUAUGAGGCUAAAAAGACUUUGUGUACAUUGGGGCUGAGUUAUGAGAAAAUGCACGCAUGCCCCAAUGAUUGCAUCUUGUAUAGGAAGGAGUAUGAGGAUUCAACUAAUUGUCCUACUUGUGGUAUCUCAAGGUGGAAGGAAGGCAAAGAUUCAAUCUUGAAAGAGGGUGUGCCAGCGAAGGUGGUGUGGUAUUUUCCUCCAAUUCCAAGGUUUAAAAGGAUAUUUCAAUCACAUGAGACAGCUAAGAGUUUGACAUGGCAUGCUGCUAGAAAAUCAAUUGACGGUCAGAUGUCUCAUCCGGCGGAUUCCCCGUCUUGGAAACUUCUUGAUGAUAAAUGGCCUGAGUUUGGUAAUGAGCCGAGAAACUUGAGAUUGGCUCUUUCAUCUGAUGGAUUCAAUCCCCACAGUUCUCUAAGUAGCAGAUAUAGUUGUUGGCCGGUUAUCUUAGUUACAUAUAAUCUCCCUCCAUGGCUGUGCAUGAAACGAAAGUUCAUGAUGUCAACCUUAUUGAUUUCCGGUCCUAAACAACCCGGAAAUGAUAUAGACGUCUACUUGGAGCCUUUGAUUGAUGAUUUAAAAUAUUUGUGAGAUGGGAUUAGAUGAGUGUAUGAUGCACAUAAUGGAGAAUACUUUACACUCAGAGCUGCAUUAAUGUGGACAAUUAAUGAUUUCCCCGCCUAUGGAAACUUAUCUGGUUGUGUUGUUAAAGGAUAUAAAGCUUGUCCAAUAUGCGGCGAUGAUACACCUAGUCACAGGUUGAAAAAUGGCCACAAAAUUUGUUACAUUGGGCAUAGAAAAUGGUAACCAAUCAAUCAUCCAUAUAGGAGGCAACAUGCAGCUUUUAAUGGGAAACCUGAAUAUGGCAUACCUCCCGAGCCAUUAACCAGAGAAGAAGUGCUGCAUAUGGUUGAAAAUGGUGACAGAGUUUGUUGGAAGAAGAAAUCAAUAUUCUUUGAUCUCGAGUAUUGGAAAUACCUUCCUGUGAGGCAUGCCCUAGAUGUUAUGCACAUUGAGAAGAAUGUUUGCGAUAGUAUUAUUGGUACAUUGCUGGAGAUCCCUGGAAAAAAUAAAGAUGGGAUUGCUGCUCGAUUAGAUUUAUUGAACAUGGGGGUCAAAACUGAUUUGCAACCCGAGUAUGGAGAAAGACGUACUCGUUUGCCUCCUGGGCCUUGGAAUUUGUCAAGAGCAGAGAAGAGAGAGGUUUGCAAUUCUUUCUAUGGUAUGAAGGUCCCUGAAGGUUAUUCUUCAAAUAUUAAAAAUCUUGUAUCUUUACAAGAUUCAAGACUUCUUGGCCUUAAAUCACAUGAUUGUCAUACCUUAAUGCAACAAUUGCUCCCUGUGGCAAUUCGUUUUGUUUUGGAGAAGCCUGCUAGGUAUGCAAUAACUCGUUUGUGCUUCUUCUUCAAUGCUAUAUGUGCAAAAACUGUUGAUGUUUUCAAGCUAGAUAAGUUGGAAGAAGAUGUAGUAAUUACUCUGUGUUUGCUUGAGAAGUACUUUCCCCCUUCAUUUUUUGAUAUCAUGGUUCAUCUAGUAGUACAUCUUGUCAGAGAAGUUCGUCUAUGUGGGCCAGUAUAUUUUAGGUGGAUGUAUCCGUUUGAAAGAUAUAUGAAAGUGCUGAUGGGGUAUGUUCAGAAUCGUACUCGUCCCGAAGGUUGCAUUGCUGAGCGGUAUAUAGCUGAAGAAGCGGUAGAGUUUUGUACUCAGCAUUUAUCUGAUGUUAGUACAGUUGGAGUGCCUUCAAGCCAAAAGAUGGGACUUUCAAAGCCAUUAUCAGGUUGCACAGUGAGCGUAGUUGAUCAGGACCUGUUGAAUCAAGCACAUCUAUAUGUCUUGGAGAAUACGGAGGAAGUCCUACCUUAUAUCGAGUACGUAUGAGUUUUAUUCUUUAAGUUUCCAUUUUAAAUUAUUUCUUAUGUUUAUCUUCUAUAUUUGGGACCGUAAUGCUUGAAUUUUUCGUGUCAUGUAGGCAACAUAUGAUCCACAUCAAGACUGCUUAUCCAAAAUUUAGAAAGAGAACAAAGUGGCUGCAGGAUAAGCACAAUAGCACUUUCAUUCAAUGGCUACGCUUCAAGGUAUAUGUUGUUGAAUAACAUAUUUCUCUUUUAAUUUUCUUCUUAUUUCUAUGUUAGAUUGAAUUAAGAUAUGAUUAAUUUGCAGGUUCAAAGUGAACUUGAGGAAGACAAUCAUGGCGUAUCAGAAAAUUUAAGGUGGCUAGCAGCUGGUCCAAACAUGGCAGUGCCAUUAUAUAGGAGCUAUCUUAUUAAAGGUAUUAAAUUCAAUAUCAAGGCACAAGAUGAUGUGCGGACAACUCAAAAUAGUGGAGUUUAUUUACUUGCACAUACCAUGCAAGUUGCUAGUGCCAAGGAUAAAAACCCAAUUCUCUCAAAUAUGGGUUUCUAUGGUGUCAUUCAAGAAAUUUGGGACCUUGACUACUAAAAGUUUACAAUCCCAGUCUUUAGGUGUGAUUGGAUAGAUAGUUCUGGUCUUGUAGUCGACGAACUUGGAUUUACCCUUGUAGAUUUGAGUAAAAUUGGACAUAGGAAUGACCAAUUUGUUUUGGCUUCUCAAGUCAAACAAAUAUUUUUUGUUGACGACCCGAUGCAUCGUGGUUGGUCGGUAGUGUUAUCAAUGCCUAAUAGAGAAUAUAAUGAUGUUAUUGGUGAUGAAGUCUUAGGUGAUGUGAUAAUUGAGUGUGAGCCAUUUACUAGAGGGAUGCCAAAUGUUGACACAUUUGAUGAACUGGUGGGUGAGUUAGGCGGUCAAAAUAUUCGAGAUGGGUGUGAAGAUAUAUGGAUUGAAUGAUGCUUAUGUAAUUGGCAGUGUAUGACAUUAAUUUUGUAAUAUAUUGUAAUGUGAUUUCUUCACUUUCUACGUUCAAAUAAAACACGACGUUAUUGUGAACCAGUUAUUCAGCAUAUUUACCGACGUCUUAAAGCAACGUAACAAUGAAGAACCACGACACUAUUGUGAAGCAAUUAUUCAGGAUAUCACGUCGGGGAAGGAUUAAGAACCGCAAUGUAAUUCAAAAUAACACGACUCCAAUCCCAUAAUACCGACGUCUAAAAAAUGAGAUAUAUAAUCUGAACGUUAAAAAAUACGACGUCAUCAUACAUUUUCCACGUCGCAAGUUCUUUUAUAAACGAAGAGGAACGAAAUGAAUUCCGACGGUAAUUCAUUAUAACCGCCGUCUAAUAUCAAUUAAACGACGUUAUUUGUAAUACGGCUCUCAUCAUAAUCAACGCUGUCUAUAUGUUCUGUAAUACGGCUCUCAUUUAUUUGGAACCGACGUUGUUUAGAAGUUCAACGUCGUCUAUAUUAAUAAGUGCGUCGUGAGUAAUGAAUACAUAUAAAUACAAUGUCGACUAUGUAAAUGCCACCGACGUUGUUUCGCAUUUCAACGUCAACUAUAUAAAUACAUACGUCGUACAUAAUGACACUGACAACUAUUUCCACGUCAUCUUUUUUAGAAAAAUCGAAGUGGAAAAUUUAUUUCACGACGGUUGUUUGUAAAUAAGAGACGUAGUAGAUUUCAAUAACGUCGUCUUCUCAUGUAUUUAAAGACGUCAUAUUUUUUCUUGUCGUGAAAAUUAUAUUUAACGGCGUAGUGUUUUAGUUGUCGUCGUUGUAUGUCUAUCUUGCGGCCUUGUUCUUUUAAUAUGUGUCAUAUUUUUCCUUUUUCACGACGGUGAUUUGUUUGAGUUGGUCGUCUAUUCUCAUCCUCGACUAUUUUUUAGAACUUUAGCAGACUAAACACGUCUGUUUUUAUUUUUUUUCGACGUUGUUUUAUUUAACAACGUCUAAUAUCUAUCGUCGUUGUUUGUUUCUGAAAAUAGGACGUAUAAAUUUUGUAAUACGACUCUCAUAUAUUUGUAACCGACGUUGUUUCGUUGUUCAACGUCUACUCUAUAAAUACAUACGUCGUAAAUAAUGACACUGACAACUAUUUCCACGUCAUCUUUUAUAGAAAAAUCGAAGUGGAAAAUUUAUUUUACGACGGCUGUUUUUAUAUAGGCGACGUAGUAGGUAUCAAUAACGUCGUCUUCUAAUGUAUUUAAAGACGUCAUAUUUUUUAUUGUCGUGAAAAUGAUAUUUAACGGCGUCUUAUUUUAAUUUUCGUCGUUGUAUGUCUAUCUUGCGGCCUUGUUCUGUUAAUAUGUGUCAUAUUUUUCCUUUUUAACGACGGUUUUUUUAGAGAGUUGGUCGUCUAUUCUCAUCCUCGACUGCUUUUUUAGAUCUUUUUGCAGUACAAAGACGUCGUUUUGUAUUUGUUGAUGACGUUGUAUAUUUUAACAACGACGGUGAUUUAGCGUCGUGGUUUAUGAGAGAAAAGAUGACGGUGGAUUCCACGACCAUUGAAAAAUCGAAUACACGACGGUGAUUUACCGUCUUCUUUUUGCUUUUUUGUAGUAGUGAAUUAAGUAUUCUAGGAGGAAAAUUUAGGGUGCUGCAGAUAUGAUUUCUGGUUCAACAGUUCUAUUGGGUGGGAGGGGCAUAAACAGUUGCAGGGUAUUUACCCUAAAUCUCACAGAGCCUUAAAAAUAGGCCGACGAUUGUGUUAAAUUACGAGCGUGCCACUAUUAGUAGUGUAAAACCCUAAUAGAUCUUAAUGAAUUAAAAUAACUUAUGCACCAAGAAACUUGACUUCCGAUCAAACAAUUGUGCUUGGAAUGGGGAACUAGUUCAAUAUGGAUUCUUUUCUAUGCUUCAAGACAAAUGAGGAUUUUACUAUUUCUCUUAUACAAAGCUAAGAGAUAAAAAAUAGAAACAAGUAAACAAUGUGUCAGAUCGAUCAUAUCUGGUAAUAACUAAGACUUCUACCACCUUUAAGUUGCCUCAGAGCCACUGGAAUGAGAGUAUUUUUGCUCACCACUUUAACCCAAGGUGUACUAUAACUACCCUUCUCAAUACUUGACACGUGUCUACGGGCAUAACCAUGGUUCCACAAAUACAAAACAAAGAGUUAACUAUGGUUAUGCACAUGGACACAUGUCAAGUGUUGAGAAGUAUGGUGAGGGUACACCUUGUGUUCAAGAGGUGAGAAAAAAUAUUUCCCAUUGGAAUAGCCUCAAAAUGUUAGGAAGAUCUUGUAACAAUCGAGCAGAAGCGCCACUAACAGGCAAUUCAAGAUUGUUUCCCCUUUUUUGAGACUUAUAUUUGAUCAUGCGUGAUUAUCAAUUAGGAGCAUCCGCAAUGGUUGUUCAAUAGUUCAAUAAAUUAAUUUUUUUUGGAAUAUAUUGAAUUGAAUUGAAAUGCAAUUUUACUUACAAUGGCACAGUUCAAUUGCAGUUCAAUUGCUUCAGAUCAAUAGUUUUAUCUACUUACACCUUUUUUUACAUACUUAAAUAAAAUAAAGGGAUAAAUUUAAGGCUUAAGUGCUACAAUGCCCCCUAGAACAUUGAUCAAUUCUCACUAAACCCCCUUAAAUUUAAAGUGACCCACUUUGCCCCAUUGACUGAUGUUUUGUGUCUCACUUUGCUCCUCACCGUCAAGUUUGUUAAAAAUGCUAACGUGGCACCAAUGGAACCCACUAUUUUGCUAAACUAAAUACCAUGUGUGAAAAAAAAUAUUAAAAAUUCCAAGUGUGAGCUCCAAAUCAUCCAAUCCGACGUCAUGAAUCUUCUCUCUAAUCCACGGCUUUACCUCUGGGAUCUCACUGUCAGGCAAGUUUUGGUGAGUAACAACAGGCUUCGUAAGAUUGAAAGUGGGAGAGGCUGGCAUUGUUGACAGAGAAGGAGCAAAUCUCUAGAAGCAAAUCCAUUGCCCAUAAUCAACAGUGGAAGUAUCAGACUCAUCACAUUCGGGAAUGGUAGCAGCUGGAAAAUGGAGUUGGCGACGGGUAGUGGCGGAUCCAGGAUUCAAAAGUCAUGUAGGUGAAACUUACGUUAAAAACUCGAAUGUAUGAGUGAAUUUUAUUCAUAAAAAUAAAAAGAUACACCUAGUCAGGGGGAUGUAAUGAACCUUAUCCUCAAAUAUGCAUAUCUAUACAUAAAUAAAAGCUUAACCAAAAAAAAAAAAAAAAGAAAUAAAUGCAAUGCAACACAAAAACUAAACGAUUUUAAUCUAAAACUGUACCUUACGAGGCUCAGAAAUCUUAAAUUCCUCAAUUAUCUCUUCAUUAUCGAUAUUAUUAACAAACUCUCUUUCAAUGUGGAGAAUCAUGCAAUCAGCAAGGAAUUCAUCAACUAUGGUGCUCCGAAGUCUAUUCUUAAUAAUUCUCAUACAUGAAAAAGAUCGUUCCGUUGUUGCUGUAGAAACAGGAAGAGUCAACACCAACUGAAUCAACCUAUAAAGCAAAUGGUAGUUUUCUGCCAAAGUUGUUUCCACCAAUUGUUGACAUAACUGAGGAAGAGUGGUAAGAUCCUUAAAGCAGGGAAGGCGAUGCAUAUCAUUUUGAAAAUACCUAAACUCAAUUUCCAAAGCUUUUAAGUCACUUGGACUGAAAUCAGCAUGAUAGAAUUUCUCAGCAAGUUUACAUAGAUGCCCAAUAUUGAAUGAUUUGAAGGAAUUACGAGGAUCCAAUGCUGAGCUAAGAAUAAGAAGUUCAACUGUUUGCUCUGGAAAUCUGUCAUUUAACUCCCUCAACAUGCAAUCUAUCACAUCAUUAAAUACAUCAUUGCGAUAGUAAUGUUCAACUGUAAUAAAAUCUUUUUGUUGACAAGAACGACGUGUGCCCAUCAUAUAACGAGAACUCAUAUCAGGAACAUCAAUACCAUGUUGUUCACAAAAUGAUACCACAUUCAUGAAUAAAUCAUCCCAGCCAUGUGCCCUCAUAUCUUGGAACUGUGGUUUUGUGUUUUCAACAAAGUUUAAAGCACUUACAAUAUCUUGAGUUUUUUCUGAAACACUUGACAGAGAAAGUUGGUCAAUCCCAUAAUUUUAUCCAUCAAAAGCAAUGCAAACACAAACUCAAAAGACAUCAUAGCAAUAUAGUUACUCUCUGCAUCACCAUGAAAUUGUUGGUUAGGUCCAUGUUCACUGAUUUCUUGAAGAAGUAUUUUAGUCUCUUUAAAUAAACUCAUUAAACUUGUAAUAGAGGCAAAGUGAGAUCCCCAAUGAGUGGCUCCAGCUCGUUUCAAACUAGGACCUUGAUUUAGUCCUCUACCUGUCUCAAGUUCCCCAGAAUCCAACAACUCUUUGAGUUCCGCUUUUCAAAUUAAAUUUAACUCAUUACGGCGCUUAGCAGAAGCACUAACAAAAUUCACAAUGUUAGUCAACAUUGAAAAAAAUCUCCAUACAACCUUCACAUCUUUAGCUGCACCAUUUAAUGCUAAUUGCAAGCGAUGAGCAAAACGAUGUACAUAAUAUGCAUAUGGACAAUCUUGAAGAAACAAUGCUUGUAAUCCAUUCCAUGAACCACGCAUAUUAUUAGCACAAUCAUACCCUUGGCCACACAUGUUUUUCACUAGAAUGCCGUUAUGAUCAAGCACUUUGCAUAUAUCUUGUUUAAGAGUCAAGGCAUUAGUGUCUACGACACUCACAAUAUCGAAAAAGCCUUCACGAAUAAAUCCAUCACAAUCAACAAAUCUUAGAAUAAUAGCCAUUUCUUCCUUACCUGAUUCAUCAAGUGAUUCAUCAACAAGAAUACAAUAUUUGUUCUUCCCAAGUUUGGUACAAAUUUUCUUCUUCACCUUGGUAGCAAAAAUAUGCAAGAUCUGUUUUUGUAUAUCAUGGGCAAUAUACUGAGCAUUAUGAGGAGCCUUAUCUAGAAUAACUUUCUCAACUUCUAUAUUCAUUCUUGCAAAUGACUUUAAGAUUUCAAUGAAAUUGCCUCGGUUAGAUGAGUCAACUGAUUCAUCGUGACCUCAAAAAGCCAAUGCUUAAUUUGCUAGAUACCGAAUGCCCUCUAUUGUGGUUGUAAGUCGCAACCGAUUGUCCAUCACUUGUUGCUUUGAUUGCUUAUCUACCACAUUUUCAAUAUGAAGAGAUGGAUUUUCUAAGCUAACCCACUUUUGCAUAGCAAGAUGAUGUGGAGAAUUUAGCUUGCCUACAUGACUUUGAAAUACACAUUGAUUACCACCAAUUCUCUUCCAAUUUUGAAAUCCAUGAAUAGUAAAGGUUGAAUGUGAAUGAUUCAUGUCAAAUAGGAAGCAAGGAAAACAAAAUGCCAAAUCUUUAGCAAUUGAAUACUCAAGCCAAGGGAAUUUACCAAACCACAAUUUAUUAAAUCAAUGUAAGUCUCACCCUUCUAAAUGGCUUGGAUAGUCUUCUAACUCCGGUUGACAAGGUCCUAAAAUAAUAUAGGCUUUUCGCACAUUAUCUUGUUUAUUCACCGAAUAUUGGCAUAUUUGACGACAUAAUCCCGGAUCAUGCUUAAGAUAAUUGAUAUUAAAAUCUUGACCACUAUCAACUUUUUGGGUCUCAACUCUUUCAACUUGAGGCUCGACAAUGGGAGAAGAGAGAAGAUUUGGCUCAUCACAAAUGGGAGGCAUUCUAGAAGAUGAUGACCCAUAAUUCUUUUUCUUAAAAAAAGAGAACAAAUUCUUUGUUUUCUUGGGGUUUCGAUUGUGAUCCGACAUAAUAAAAGAUAACCUAUUUAAUCAAACAUCCCAACAAAAAAUCAAACAAUUUCUCAUAAUAGCAUCAAUGAAUUUAAUCAAACAUUAACAUACCAACAACAAAUCAAACAUCUCAACAAUGCCAACAUCAAAUCAAACAUCUCAACAAAAUUCUUAAAAUCAAAGACCUAAUUAAUUUCAACAAAAUUCCCAAAUUAUAUUUAAUUCCUAAUUAAACCCUAGAAAACUCAAGGGAGCUUCACUAAUAUACCCAAAAUAGGGGCUGAAAUUAUAAAAAAAACCCCACAUGGAUUGCACUUUAGAAACACACCCAAAACUCAUUUACUACAUAAAAAAUUAGUGUUUAAGUUCUUAUAAAUUACAUGACUGCCAUUGAUCAAUUUAAAAAAGAAGACCAACACAAAAAACUUAAAUAGCACCCAAAACAAGCCCAACCCAAUUUUAUAAAAAAACCCAAACAAUUCAUUACAAACAAAAGGUCUUGAAAACCGUAGUUUCAUUAACGUGUCAUGUUAAUUAAUCAUUGUAAUGUUCUACACCUUUAUUGUCAUGUUGAUUAAUUGUUGUAAUGUUCCAGUUUAGGGUAAUAACACUGCUAUGUCAUGUUGAUUAAUGGUUAUAAUGUUCCAGUGUAGAGUAAUAACACUGCUAAUUUCCUAUAACAUCCUAUUUCUAAUGCAUGUUUACCCCUGUACUGUUCCAGUGUAGGGUAAUAACACUGCUAGUUUCCUAUGAUAUCCUAUUUCUAAUGCAUGUCUACCCAUGUAAUGUUUCAGUCUAAGGUAAUAACAUUGCUAGUUUAUUGUCAUGUUGAUUAAUGGCUGAUGUUCCAAUCUAGGGUAAUAAUAUUGCUAGUUUAUUGUCAUGCUGAUUAAUGGUUGUAAUGUUCUAGUUUAGGGUAAUAACAAUACUAGUUUCAUAUGACAUCCUAUCUCUAAUGCAUGUUUACUCUUGUAAUGUUCCAGUCUAGGGUAAUAACACUGCUCGUUUCCUAUGAUAUUCUAUUUCUAAUGCAUAUCUACCCCUAUAAUGUUCUAGUCUAGGGUAAUAGCACUGCUAUUUCCUAUGACAUCCUAUUUCUAAUGCAUGUUUACCCCUGUAAUGUUCUAGUCUAGGGUAAUAACACUGCUAGUUUACUGUCAUGUUGAUUAAUGUUUAUCAUGUUGCUAUUUCUAAUACAUGUCCACCAAAGAAAAGAUGAAGAAAGAACAAACCAGACCAACUCAAAACAAGCUGAGCCCAGAUUGUUAAUACUAUUAUGUCAUAGAAGUAUAUUGUUAAUACUCUGUCAUAGAAGUACAUUGUUAAUACCCUAUCACAGAAGUACAUUGUUAAACAAAAAUGAGAUUCAUAACUGAAAUAGUAACAAAAGUUGAAUCGAUCAUCAAAGCUUCAAAUACAUUUCGAAAAUCAACUAAAAUCCGAAGAGAAACACAUAAUUGAAGCAAAAGAUCAAAAAUCUCAAGUACAAACCAAACGACGACGACGGCGGCGACGACAAUAACAACGACAAUGAUGUGGCGAAAGAGGAGUAGAGCUCGAAGAUGAGGAGUAGAGCUAAAAGCAUCUGAUCGAGGUUUUUUCAAGGUCUUGAACAAUCCGAAAAAAAGAAAAAAUCAAUAGAAGCACGAUUUUAGAACAAGAAAUUGAAGGUGAAAUAUUGAAAAUUGUAGAUUAAAGAUGAAUAAUAUAGUUGGACCUGAGACUGAGCUUCAAUGGAAGCUCCUCUUGCUCCAACACCAGAGAAAACACCAGCGAGAAAGGAGAAAAUAAAUAUGAUUUGAUUUUUUGGCAGAUUUGGUUUUUUUGGCAGAUUUGGUUUUUUGGCAGACAUGGAAAUAUUUGGUUUUAUGGCAGAUCUGGGCAGAUCUGAUUUUCCUCUCUUAAAUCCAUAGUACAAGGACAAUAUAGGUAUUUAACACACACAAAUAAACUAAAAAACAACUAUUAAAUUAAAAAAAAUUGAUAGCUGUCAAUUUUUGGAUUUUUUUUGGGUGUGUUUAUAGUUUUUAAACGGUGUAGGGUUUCUUUAUAAAACCAUGUCUAACAUUGGGUAUAUAACUAAAUUUCUAAAAACUCAAUUUCAAAUUAAAAUUAAAACUAAGAUGCAUACAUUUAUUUUAGGAAUAACCCAAUAGAAGAAGAUAAUUAAAGAGAAGAGAUUAAGAAGAAUACUUGUUUCCUUGUAUAUGAGAAGAGAAGGGGCUGUCCACGAUUGCACAACUUGACUAUUGCACAACCAAGACUAUUGAGUUGAGAAGAAGCUACCGACUCUGUGUGGAAUUGCACAGCCACUAUUUGGUUGCUUAUAAGUUAUAUUCCCCCUUUUAUUAAAGUAUGAUUGGGCCAUUCCAUAACAUGGGCUGGUUAUAAUUUUUUUUUUUUUUUAAAAGUUUGAGUGGGCUUUAACACAUGUGGUGUGGGUUUUACAUGGGCUGGUUAGGCAAGGGUUUAUACCAUCACAUGUAGGGCUCGUUUGGUACACCGUAUUAGACUCUGGAUAGGAGUAAAUAGUCUAUGUCAUGUGUUUAGUGUCAACUUGUAUUAUUUAAUUAGCCGACUAUUUUAUACAGGUUAGGCUUUUAAUACUCUCCUUACCUGACUAACUAAUACAACCCACACACUCCGGUUUAGAUAAUACACGCUUAAUUAUACUGCUAGGGAAAAAGAACACGCCUUCUACGAAAAAAAUCAGACGCUCUUUUCAUCUUCUUCUCCCUAGGGUUGUUCUCUGCUAUCUUCUCCACAGGUUAUUUUCUUCACUCUUCUCCAGGUAUCCAUCUCUCACUCUCUCUCUUUUUCAUACUCUCUCCAAUAUGCUUUAUAUAUUUCAAAUUUUUAGUGGAAAUUAGGUUAUGAAUUUUUCUUUUUUGGCUUUUUUUUUAAUCGAAUGUUUUCUUUGUAUGUGAUAUAGUAAUUCGACAUUGUGGGAAUAUUUAGAUUGUUGGUAUUAAACAGAGUAUUGCCAGUUUUCGUCCAAAAACAAACAACUGUGCUAGUGUUGGUAGUUUAGUUGAAUACAUACAUACCUGACGACUAGGAGAGCAAAAUUACAAAAUUAAAAUUGUAUGAACCUGAAUUCUAAGAACCAUUUUUUUUCUUUGUCAAUUGCUAUUAGAAAAGCAAAGAUGGACUUGUCUAUUAAUGACCAAAUUAAGGCACUACAGCUAAUUUUGGAGAAAGCAAGUGAUGAAAAAAUAUUCCUGACAUUGGAUGGUGCUAUGAGAAAAGCAUUUGUUCUUCUCUUACUUGGGGCGAGGGAGUUGUGAUUCACUCUUUGAUGUAGUUUGGUUUAUGAACAAUUUUCUCUUUUGCUCUUAUCACCUUAAUAUGUGAUCACUUUGAAUUAUACAUUAUUUGGUACUGUUUUUAUUAACGUAUGCGAGUAUGUUGGUAUUUUUAUGAGAUACUACAAUUAUGAUAAUGGGUUAUAUGAAAAAAAAUCUUGGCAAAAACAAUUGAAAAACAAAUCUUGUCAUAUGAAUCUUACCCAAAAAAAAUUUGUGUCAUUUGAAUCUCAAUUUCCAUUAAAAUUAUCAAAGAUUUUUUAUUUAUUAUUAUUUAUAAAUAGUCUGAUAUGAGGUUAUCCGAAACAUCACCAAACAUAGUACAACUUAGUCAGAUUAUUUAUCCGGAACAACACCAAACGCCUUAUAAUAUUAUCGAUAAAUAGUCAGUACUCUCCGGAACAGAUUAAUACUAUCCGACAGAAAUUAGUCAGUACAGUCCGACGUACCAAACGAACCCAUAAUGGGUAGCAAUUACUUUGCUUAUAUAUAUAUAUAUAUAUAUAUAUAUUGAUGAAAUUUUUUUAGUUAGGCAGCUGCCUACCUCCUGGCUGUAGGACCACCACUGGUUGUCGCAGUGCUUGGGCAAAUUGAAGUUGCCCUGAGCUCGGAGCCCUGUGAAUAUCUUAGCAGCUAUGGCUCUCCUCCUCUUCUCUCUCCUCCGGUUGUUCUCUCUCUCCCUUCAGGACAACUUACUUCGCUUCACUGUCGCCGCAGACGUGGCUCCAUCCGACGUCAUUCCCUGAUCAAUUAUCUUCCCUCUCUUUUCUCUCUCAGUAUCAGGUGCUGUGCAAUUAAGUUUUUUAAAGUAUUAUUAAUUUUUUAAUAAUUAAAUUAAGUUGUUUAAAAGGCAAUUUUUAAUUUUUAAUUAUUUUUUUUUCACACAUGGCAUUUAGUUUAACAAAAUAGUGGGUCCCAUUGGUGCCACAUCAGCAUUUUUAUAGGAAUUUUUAACGGACUUGACAGUGAGGGGGCAAAGUGAGACAUAAAAUAUCGGUUAAGGGGGCAAAGUGAGUCACUUUAACUUUAAGGGGGUUUUAGUGAAAAUUGACCAAUGUUUCAAGGGGCACUGUAGCAAUUAAGCCUAAAUUUAAUAACACUAAAAUUUGUACCAUUGCAAUAUUCUCAAAGAGAUAUUUAAAAAGAGACCAAUAUUGAAAAAAAAAAUUUCUAUUGCAUUGAACUAUUGAACAACCAUUGCAGAUGCUCUUAACAACAUAAUGCAUUAAUUAUUGUAUUUUUUUCCUUUUUUUAUUGACAUGUGGGUCCAAUGGUUAGCCUAUUGCAAUCGCAAUAGAUGGUUCAUCACAUUACCCUUUCUUGCAAUUGCAUCUAUUACAAUGAACUAAAUCACACCAUUGCAAAUGAAAUUUUAGUGUUUUAGUUCAAUUUCAUACAAUAAAAUUGCAUUGAUUCUAACCAUUGCAGAUGCUCUAACAGGCAAUUCCUCUUUUAACGCCACUAACCUAGCCAAAUUCUCAUUACUUUAUAUCAAAAUAGUGAGCCCAAGCCAUCAAUUAGCCCAAUUCUUUUAUUAAUUUGCAUGGAUUGAAAAUAGGCCCAAAACACAGGGAUGUAACUGAAGCAAUUAAGAUUCUUGUACAAAAACUCAAAAUCAUAAGAGCAUGCUCUCAUGUUCGCAUGGUGUCCGAGUUUCUCCUCUUCUACUGCUGCACGUAAGAUACAGUGCAUACUUUAAAUUUCUUUUCAAAGGUCUAAUGGCUUACCCUCGCCUGUUACAGGUGAGGGUACAAUUCACCUCACUCCUUCCUUAUCAUCAUCCCGUGAGCUCUUGGUUCUCAAUAUUCACUGUAACUUGUUAUAUUUUGGUCAUUUAUUUGAUACACUUAAUGUGUUUGCUAUUUUCUAUUCUACUCAUUGUAUUUUCCAAGAUCUUAAGACUCACAAGACAAUUGGACAUGGUAAACGGAGAGGGGGGUUAUACUACUUGACUUUACCGAUUACAAUAGUUCGUGAUUGUGUUGCUAAUAAAGUUCAGAGUGGCAGUGUCAAAGACAAACAACAAAUUUGGCUGUGGCGUAGUCGCUUAGGAGACUCGUUAUUUGGUUAUCUUAAGCAUUUGUUUCCGUCAUUAUUUUGUUCUUGUAAUGAGUCUACCUUUCAAUGUGAGACUUGUGUAUUGGCCAAGAGCCAUUGUAUUGUUUUUCCUUUAAGUAAUAAUAAAGUUGCCAAGCCUUUUGAUUUAGAACAUUUUGAUGUAUGGGGUCCGGCUCAUGUUACUUUGAACGGAUUUCGUUGGUUCGUCACAUUUAUUGAUGAUUUUAUCUGAUUCACUUGGGUUUUCAUGCUCAAAAAUAAAAAUGAUGUUGCUUUCAUCCUUCCUGAAUUUUGUAAUAUGUUAUCUAUUCAGUUUCAGGCUCGGGUCCAAGUAUUCUGGACUGAUUAACGAGGGGUAAAUAUGUGAAUAAUACUUUGGCAUAUUUCUUUCGUGCUCACAGUAUCAUUCAUCAAACAACCACCCCUUUUACUAGGCCUCAUCAUUUGGCCCGCGGGCUCAUGGGCCGAUGGGGGCCCGCCCGGCCCACGGAAAAAAAGCCCGGCCUGGCCCGUUAUGGGCCGACACGGCCCACCCACAAAAGCCUUACCCGUUAGGCCCGCAUACGUAUAUAAUUAUAUAUAAAUAAGAGUUUAGGAUUAGGAUUAUGUCACUUAAAUCACAUAUAUAAUUUGUUUCAUUUCAUUUACUUUUCUUUACUCAUUCCUAGUUUAUAAUUGGAUGAUUAGCACGUUAAUUUGUGUCAAUUAUUAAUACAACAAUUAUAUAUAAAAAUAAGAUGAACAACAUAUCAUAUCACCAAAUAUAAUCAUAUCACGAAACAUAAUCGUACCACCAAAUAUAAUCAUGCUUUUCUUGAACACAUCACCAAACAUUUGCAUAUUUAUUCAUGCCAUCCUUUAAAAAUUAUCUUUAUGAUACUUAUUAUUUUUUAAAAUUAUUUCUUAAAACGUAUUACAGUCUAAUUAUGUAAUAACCUCAAAAAUAAUACUUGGUUUUAUUAUUUUUAUAGAAAAUCUUAUUAAGUUGUGUGACUUUAUUAGGUGUUUUAUGAAUUUGGUUUGAUGUGAAAAUAUUGGAAUUAAGUGAGUUUAAUCUCAAAUUUGGACUAAAAUGCCCUUAUGAUUAAGUUUAUGAUUUUUUUCGAAUGAAGUAGGCCCGUUUCGGCCUGGCCCUUUGGGCUUAGCCCGGCUCGACCCGAUGGGUUUUCUCAAGCCUGGCUCAUGGGUCAUGCUUGGGCUUUGAAUUUUUUUAAAAACCCGGCCCAGCUCGGCUCGAUAUUUUCUCUCUCCUCUUUAAAGCCUGGCCCGGCCCGGCCUAAGCCCAUUAAAUUUGGGUCAGACUAGCCCGACCCGGCCCAUUGACGAGCUUUACCUUAGACCCCUCAACAAAAUGGUGUGUCCGAAAGGAAGAACUGACAAUUGCUUGAAGUUGCUCGCUCACUUAUUUUGGAUAUGUCUAUUCCCCAUUAUGUUUGGGGACAUACUGUUAUGUCUGCUGCUUAUUUGAUCAACCGUACUACUAGUCGUGUUCAUGACUUUGACACUCUUGUUCAUGUGCUUGGUGACCAUGUGCUUCUUUCUUGUUUUCUGUUUUGUGUAGGGAAUUAAAUUGAAUCAAUCUAUCAUCAAUCUCCGUGGGAUCGACUUCGCACUUACAUAUGUUAUACUACCCAACGGUUCAUGCACUUGUGAGUAUCACAAGUUGAGAAUGCAGCUGAAUCAAUUUUGGCACAGCUGAAUCGACACAAGAAGUUUUUGGUGACGGGGAUCAAACCCGGGUCACCCACAUGACAUGCGGGAAUAUUUACCACUAUACUACAACGACUGGUUCUGUUGCCGGGACUUGAACCCGAGUCUUUCGGUUGACAGCCGAAUAUCCUGAAAGCCAAACUUUACAAUGUAAAACAAUGUUACCAAGAGGUGUGGUAACAAGUAGAAAAAGAGGCACACACAAAUGAUGCUACAAAUAGCCCAAAACGAAUUCUUUGAACCAGGCUUGGAGUGGGAAGGCCUGAGAUCUCAAUAUUGAUCUAAUAGGGCCCAAAUUUGGAUAUGUUGUAAUAGACACCUAUUGGAACAACUUUCAUGAAGAAUGUAUUCCUAUCCGAGCACAGCAACAUGCUGAUCCAAAGCCAAGAAUUUGACCUACGAAAUGAGAAAAAACAAUUUAUAUUCAAUAAUGAACUUUUAGCUCACAUUUAUUCCAACCAAGGUAAAAUUCUAUAAUAAAAAAAACACAAAAAGAAAGUAAAAGACUAUAAACUGUCAAUAACUAACAAAAAAUAUCGGUGAAUCACAUGAUAAAUCAUGUACAAAAAUGAACCCAACAAACUUCCCAAACUUAUCUUUUUUCUAGUCCUUGAGCAAAACAAAAGGAAAAUAAAGAGAAAAACAAGAAGUUAACUAGACCACUUUCGCAGGUAACUCGAUUGCAUUGAGCGUAUACAACAAGCAUUUAAACCUCUAGGCAUCCCUAAUAGGAGGAGUUGUGUCGCUUAAGGAUUUAACAGAUACAAUACCCACAAACGUUUUACUGACUCUUCAAAACAAAGUGGUUAGAAAACUAAUUAAAUUAUGUUAGUCCUUGAGCCAAAAAAAAAAAAAAAAAAAAACUCAAAAUAAUCUUUCUGAACAUUUUCAGAAGAGAAACGACUCAUGCACAUGACUCAAAAGUUUUAACAAUAAAAGUGUAGUAGUGUGAUAGCCAAAUGCAACUUAUUCCCGAAUUUCAAUUUUCACAUGAUUUCAAAAAUCAUACAAAGCACAAAUGCAACUUCAAAUCUCACCAAAAUUAUCUUCUCACCAAUGAAUCACUCAGAAAAGGGAAUGCAUCACUCAGUUAUAAACAUGAGAUUAGAGUUAAACCAUAAGGGACUUAACUCGCAAGAAAGAUGAAGAACUUGCAUUAAUAUGAUCUCAAGAAGGAUGUCAAACACUUAAAAGUAGGUGCAAUUCAACCAUUUGACCUUUAGGAUCAAUUUAGGACUUUAACAUAGGUUGAAAUGGGGCCAAGGUGUAAGGUGAGUGAGAAAUGAAAGGUAUGGAUAAUACAAAGCCCAAGGAACUCACAAUGUAAGAGCAUAAAACAAUGGUUUCCAAGACUUCGAAUCAUAAUGAUUAGAAUUUUUUUUUUAUAUGAUCAAUUAGAUCAUAAUUCCUUAUACCUCCAUUUAUAUUGAUUCACACUCAUUUCUUUUAAAUCAACUGAUUUUUAAAAGCACAACUUUUCUCUUUUCCUUCACCAAUUGGGUGAAUUUCUUUGUUUCUUUAUUUUUUUUUUAUUUUUUUUUUUAUAAAUGUAACACCCCUUCCCAAACUUAGCAUGAAAAACACAUCACAAUUAAAGCUCAUGAGUUCCCUGGAAAGGUAAAUACUUGUUUUUCAUACUAAGGCGAGAAAAAAUAACUGAUUAAAUGAAAGAAAAGGUUUACGUGUAAGCUCAAAAUGGUUAACAAUGGAAAAUCAUACUUAAGCAUGCAUAAGGUUAGCUUGGAAGGCACAAACGAUUCAAAGAGCGCCUUAAUAUCAUGUAAUCAAAUUGCAUAAGAAUGAAUGAUUUUUAAGUGCUCAACCAAAUCAACGAAUAAUGAGAUCAAACAAUUUUGAUGACAAGAAAAUAAGAAUAUGUGUAAAAACACUCAUGAAUUGCAGCACAAGCAGUGGCGGUUGUACACAGGGGGCAGGCUGGGCUGCUGCCCGGCCCAAAAUUUUCCAUAAAAACAAAUAGGUAAAUGUGUUAUCCAAGCCAAAAAAAAAAAAGAACAACUCUGUCUCUAACUAGUUGCCCAACCAGCCAUGGCCUACACUUACCAAUUGGUGGCUGGGCAAGAAUACCCACCACUUGCUCGAUGAAAUACCUCAGUGAAGAAGGCAUAGCAACACCUUCCUUGCGAUGAGUUUUCUGAUUUGCAGAGGCAGCACUAUGUGCCUGGCAAAGAAGACCAUGUCUCGGUGCCCUUAUAAACGAAACACACCGUUUUGUGAUUAGCCUCCUUUAGUGAAACGGUGGUUUAGUGUUCAACACUUGGCUGCCUCUUUUCAUUGUCGAUGGGUUUAGUGGGCUAGUUUUCGUUUUAUCGGUUUUAUGAGGUUUGGCUUCAUAAUAAUGGGUGAAUUAUUUAAAAACUUUAUCCUAUGGGCCAAUAUAAUAUAAUAGAAGAUUAUUUAACAAACAAAAAAACUAUUUUAACAGUAAAUAUAAUAAAUAUAUAGAAAUAUAUAUAUAUAUAUAUAUUUAACUAAUGUGUUAAUUCGAUAAUGCAAUGAUAAUUGAGAAAUUUAAGACUUCUUGUAUGGUAAAAUUUCAAAUUUAAAUAGUGUUAAUAUGUAUUGUAUUGCAUUGUAUUUACUUGUGAUUUUUAUUUUUAUUUUUAAAGCUUUUAUUUAUGUAUACAGAUGCAUUUGAAGUAAGGCUCAUUACAUUCCCAUGAGUAGAUGUAUCUUUUAGGGUUUAUUACUGAAUUCACUCGUAAUCUCAAGUUUAAUAUGUAAGUUUUGCCUAGCCAGUUUUCAAAUCUUGAAUCCGUCACUGAGCACAAGGCUCAAAAGCUCACAUUAUAUGGUUAUACAAGUUUAAUUUAUGCUUGAUAUACAAUUCCUUGGAUCAUGCAAGUCCUUUAAUUGGAAAAUUAUGAAGCAAAUGGCAAGUGCAUAGAAGGUUUCAAACAUAUUAUGCUAGAAUGAUGCCAUUAAGUGACAGUUUUUUAUUUUUAAAUUUUUUUUUAAAAAUCAAAAAUCAAAUUUUCAUUCAAGUCAUGCAAACAUUUAUCACAAUCUCAUCAUAUGUGUUCGGAAAGUGACUUAAAAAUGGGAAAAAAAGACUCAAAUAAAACAGAAAAAAAAAAAGAAGAAGCAAAAUACAAAAUACAAAAAAAUAAGAAAAACCAAAUUUACUUACUAAACUACCUUCCAAAGUUUAGAAAUGAACAUUGUCCUUAAUGUUUAAAAGUUAGGCACAAACAAUGUCAUAGCAACAAAUGAAAGGUACUAAAACAAAUAAAUAUCACAAAAUACAAUAAAUAAAAUACAAUAAAGUUUCAAAAAUAAAAUUAAAAAUUACCAAAAAAAAAAAAAAAAGAUCAAACGGUUAUGCAAAUUGAAACCCAAACCAUUUUGAAACCCAAUCCACUUUGAAGCCCAAACCACAGUGAAAUCCGAAGCCCACACAUUUUUUUUGAAAUUUUUUUUCUUUUAUUGUAAAUUACCAAAUUUAAAUUUUUUUUUUUAAGACGAAGCGUGAUUGGGAACGUGGGUCCCAACAUCUCAUCUCUUGGUAAGUCAUGCGCAAACAAAGCACGAGAGGCGUGUCAACACACAGAGGUGCCGCAGAUCCCUACCGAAAAUUACAAAUUUGCUGAACGCCUUCUUUCAGAAAGGUCACGUCGCGACAAAUUAUUGGGGGAUGGGUAGAAAGCCAAAAGGCUGUGGAGCUCGAGGAACAGGGGAAAAGUCAGAAAUAUGUAGAAUGGUGUUGUGGCUAGGGUUCGUCAAAAUGGACAUCUAGAAAAGGAAACGAGGGAAAAAUAAAAAAAUUCAUAACCACGCAGAAGAGAGAAAGAAAAGAAUAAAAGAGAGAUGGGAGAAAGAAAGAAAUAGAAAGCCGAAAUAAAAUGUCGUCUUCCUUCCCAUGUUCUCUAAAUCUCAACCUACCUCCGCCAACACAUACAUGGGGGUAAGGAGAAGCACCUGUGUGGAUGCCCUACUUUUCUCUCUAGAUCUCAACCUACCUCUGCCAACACAGACAUGGGGGCAAGAAGCGGCACCUGUGUGGGUGCCCUACUUUGCUUCCUCACGAGGACCAGUUACUGUAAACGACUCUUUAAUUACAUAUUGACAACGAUGUUUCGAUUGGAGUUACGAGGAGUUUGGUGAGUCCCAAGGAUUUGUGCGUGCUAGGAACAAGGGAUGACAACUGGGUAGGAGCGAUGCCUUGACAUUGAGCGUGCAAAGUGUGGCAUCUGUUGCAAGUGUGGGGCAUCGCCUCAUUGUGAAAUCCUAUGAGGUGCUGGUGCUAAAAGCUCAGUUGGUGGUAAAGCAGAAUUUGGUUGAAGAUUAUCAGAGUGUUAUAAGGAGAUUGAAAAGGUAUAGGGCAAAGUCGUUGGAAGAGACACGACACCAACUUGAAAUAUUGCAUGACGAGAAUAAAAAGCAAUCAAAGAUGGUAGAUUCUUACUCUAAAGACAUGCAAAGUAGCAGGAGGCCCUAGAGUGAACGGGUAAAUGCAAGCACGGAGAUCACGAAACAAGUUUUGCUCAAACUAAGAGAGUGAUCUUUAGGAGCUUAAGUGAUGAGCCCCAAGAAGCAGUGUGUGAAACCUGAGAGAUGAGAUCCAAAGGGCCAAACAAAUGUCUCCUAUUGUGGAAUCGGGAAGCACUCCAUGAUAUUUGAUAAGACCCGACUCGAAUUCUAUCUUGGAAUCCGUGAUGAACCCUGUGGUUUUUUCGACAUCUAACCAAUGCCGGGCCCACUUACUAAAAUAGUCCCCUUCUUUGCUACCAAGGAAAAAAGGGCUGAGACUUCUAUCGAAAUUUCGAUAAAGUCACACUUGAAAAAAAGAAGAAAAAAAGAAGAAGGUAUUUUUGCAAAUUUUCCACUUGCGAAAAACAACAGAAAAAAGUUCUCAACUACCAGCACACACAAUGCUAAAGGCGCACAGAUUAUAGAAUAGGCCUUCGGCCUUAAAUUCAACCCUACAUGGUCAAUAAUACAACAAAUCUAAGAAAUCUUUAGUUUUACAACCAAAGCAUAAGUUCCAAAGGAAAUUAAACAAGUAAAAGUUCCCUACAACAGUUUGAGGCAUGAGAGUAAGAAGUCUUGGCUCGGUUGCACGGAUCAAGUCAAGCUACUGCCUUAGGGCGCAAAACAGAAAUUGUGAGUGGACAAAAAUAAAGUUUUAACAUACUUUUAAACAAACAUACUAACCCCACCGUUUUGGAAAACGAUGCCAAAACAUGCAGAAAAACCAUUUAUAUAACAUAAUUGACUUUUAAAACCAAGGUAUCCCAUAAUCCCGAUGUAGCAUAUAACACAAACUCAAACUAGACUUUUUUCCCUUCCUAGACCACUCUCUUCUAAGACACAUGCCUUUAAGCACAACAAAGCGAGGAAGGAUCCUCACAAAUAAAUAAGAGAAUAUAUAUAUGUAGGUAUAACCACUACACCAAUACUAGUACAUGGGAAACAAUCCAACACGAGGAUUGUUUGACUAGACCACAUGUAGAAAUCCUCAAUACACAUUUGGCUAGGGAAGAGCAGUCCAACAGGGACUAUUGCUCACCACACAUGCACAGCAGAAUCCUCAAUACUCUGUCUAACACACGUUGACUGCCCCACAAGGGCCUACGAUAACACCCUGUCAAGGGUGCCCGGGUUCCAACAUAUCCAAGUAUCCAUCGUUUCCAAGUAUCCAAGUACCAGGGAGGUACAUAGGGUGGUGCUAAUAGCACUCCAAUAUAACAUAUUCCACAUCCCAACAUAUAUAUCAUAACCAUAUCCCAAAUUCCAAAUAUUCCAAAGUACCCAAUCCCAUAUACAUAGACAGACAUUAAUAGAGUCCAUAACUCAAUACCCAAAUAUUUAAUCGUAGUAUAGAUAUCAGACUCUCAAAAGCAUAUAUUCCAUAACCGAAAAUAUUCACAAACUUCAAAUAUCAAUAUAACAUCUGAUAACCAUUAGAUAUUAGGGAAAUAGCCCUAAAUGACACCCAUUUCAUAAUUUUAAUUAAAAAUACCAUCCCUUCCCAAUUUUUGUACAACUAUCACCUAUAAAUAUAAAAUUAUUGUCCACUUUCUCUUUGGUUCACAAGUUCAGAAAUUUUGGAGAGAAGAAGCUCACACAGCUCUCUCUCUCUCUCUCUCUCUCUCUCUGUGGCACAGCUCUCUUUCUCUUUGGUAUCUGUCUAUCACAGCUCUCUGUGUCUCUCUUGGGCUCUCUCUAUCUUGGUCUCUCUAUCUUGGCUCUCUCGCUCUUGGCUCUCUCGCUCUUGGCUCUCUCUCUCUUGGCUCUCUCUCUCUCUCUCUCUAGGCUCUCUCUCUCUCUCUCUAGCACAACUCUCUGUCUCUCUCUUUGCUCUGUUUCUCAUAGCGCAGCUGUCUCUCUCUAUCUUCGUUAUGUCCCUUUCUCCCCUAUUCGAUCUCUUGCUCUCUGUUUGGAAUCGCGAACCCCUCCCUUUAGCUAUGUCUUCUGAAUAGCUGCUUGCAACCUUGAAGCUCUAGUGGAUUGCCGACCUCGAAAAGGUAGUGUUGAUGGUUAUUUUCUUAAUAUCAGUAUUAUGUGAAAUGGGUUAUAGUUUGAUUGUUUGGGUUUGUGUUAAAUUCGUUUUGGCUUUAAUUUAUUUGGGUUAGGUUUUGUUGAAUAUUCAUGCUCAUUCAUCUGGGUUUGUACCAAUUGCAUUUAGAUUGGUCUGGAUAUGUGAAUCUUGAAACUUGGGAUUUUCUAUUUGAUGUAGUAGAUCUGUAUAGUGUGAUUCUGUUGUGUUCCUCUUAUUUUACAGUCGUAUUGCUGUUAUAUUGCCAUUAUAUUGCCUAUAUAUUGCUGUUAUAUUGUGGUUAUAUUGCUAUUGUAUUGUAUGAUUAUUGUGGUUAUAUUGUGUGAAUGAAAUGUUGUUUUGUCAUGGUCAGAAAUGGAGACAAUUGUUAUUCUCGUGUGCUAUAAUGGAAAAUGGGUCACCUCGAAGAAGAUGUGCAAAUACGAAGGGGGUGACUCAAAAGGCUUAAUAGUUCCACGUACCAUCAAAUUUGCUGAACUGUUGGACCGUGUGCAUCAGAUUGGUAAUAAAAACAGCAGGGAAGACAAGGUUUGCUUAAAAUUCUCAGUUUUGGUGGCCUCGAAUGAGUGGAAGCACAUAAAGAUUGAGGAAGAUGAUGAUGUCAAUUUUUUUAUGAAGUACAAUUCCGAGGUAACACCUUCAAAACUAGCUCCCUUACUCGUGAGUAUAGAAGAUAAAGGACUGACAAAUGAUGUAGUUCAUAGUAUGCAUAUCACGAAAGAUAGUAGUCGGAUGGGUCAUUCUUCAGUUGCCAUUGUUGAAAGCAAUGAAGUAACUUGGAAUAAUACAAAUGUCACUGAUUUGGGAGGUGAAGUAGGGACAGAUUUUAUGGAUAUGAUUGAUUUUAGCGAGGUGGAGGAGAUGCAUGGUGGUGAUAAUGGUACUGAAAGAAAUGAAGUGUCAGUGUACUCUGCCCCUCCUAAUUUGGGGUGCUUGAACACAGCUGCCCAGUUGCCAAAAAUGCGUUUAGGAGGAGAAUCUGAACCCACUUGUCAACAUUAUUGGAGUCAAAUGGGUGAACAAAAUCGAUAUAAUACAGUCGGUGUAAAUGAUGAAGAAGCAUAUUUGGACAGCGGGUUUUCACGAAGCGAUUGGAAUCCGAAAAUUACAGUUGGGCAAAUUUUCUCUAGUAAGAAAGCAUUGUUGACGGAGUUACGGUUGACGGCAUUAAGAGGCCACUUUGAAUUUAAGGUGCAAUUCUCUUGCACUAAGAGGUUGCUUGUGGUUUGUUGUCAACGUCCAUGCCCAUGGCGGGUCCGAGCAUCGAGAAUUGGAGAAUACAGCUUCAUGAUUGUGAGGUGUACAACUGUCCAUGAAUGUGAUUUGAGGUUCGUAAGUGACAAGCAUCGUCAAGCAACCGCAGCACUUGUAGCCACUUCACUUAAAAGUAAGUUGAAGGAUUGUCGGACAAUAUACACACCAAGUGACAUUAUGAAAGAUGUGAAACACAACUUUGGUUGCACCAUCCAUUAUUCGAAAGCUUGGAAAGCAAGGGAGUUAGCUCUAUUGUCCAUUAGAGGAUCAGCGGAGGAGGCAUAUUAUAUCCUUCCAGCUUAUUGCUAUGAAUUGGAGCGUAUGAAUCCCGGCACAAAAACACACAUCCGAACUGAUGAGAACAAUCACUUUGUGUAUUUAUUUAUGGCGGUUGGCGCAUGUAUUAGAGGGUUCCGUUCUUCCAUGCGCCCAGUGAUAGCCGUGGAUGCCACUCAUUUAAAAUCCAAGUACAAGGGUGUUAUGUUUGUAGCAAAUGCAUUCGAUGGUAAUCGAAAUAUAUAUCCUCUUGCUUUUGGGAUCGGGGAUUUGGAGACGGAUGCAUCAUGGCAUUGGUUUUUCACUAAACUUCAUGAAGCCAUUGGUGAGUGUCCCAAUCUUGUUAUUAUUUCUGAUCGCAAUGUUAGCAUAGAGAAUGUGUGGAACAAAAUUUUUCCAACUGCACAACAUGGCAUAUGCUUUUAUCAUAUGAAGGGGAACAUGAAACGCACUUGCAAGUUGAAAAAGCGUGAUCACAUACUUAUGCACUUUGAGAAGGCUGCGAAAUCUUAUUCCAUUGCUGAAUUUGAUUGUCAUUUUCGCAAGAUAAAGCGAAAGGAACAUGUUGCUCAAUAUCUUGAAGACGCAGGGUUACAUAAGUGGUCUAGAGCUCACAUGGAUGGACGCCGCUACAAUGUAAUGACAACAAAUAUUGCGGAGUCAAUCAACUCAGUCCUUAGGUUUACAAGAAUGCUGCCAGUGGUUCAUUUGAUAGGGGAAAUUGUUAAUCUCCUUGUGAAAUGGUUCACCGAACGUCGUGAGUUGGCUUUGAAUUGCACAACAACAUUGUGCCCCAAUUUUGGAGAGAAGAAGUUGAGGAACAGGUUGGAGGAUGUGGCAAGGAUGAAUGUGGUUAAAGUUAAUAAUGCACAGUAUAAUGUUUUGGACGGUGAUAUGGACGACCUCGUAGAUUUGAUGAACAACAGUUGUAGUUGUAGAAAGUUUCAGCUUGAGCAGCUACCUUGCAAGCAUGUAGUUGCAGUUUGCCCGCUUCUUGAAAGUAAGUGUAUACGCAAAGGCUUCUCGGUAUUACACUCGGAAAACCUGGAUGGAUGCUUAUUCGGAUAGCAUCUACCCGGUACACCCUCACGAAUGUGGGAUACUCCUGAAGAUGUUCAAAUCCAAGUGUGCUGCCUCCCAUGGCAAGGGUCAUGUCAGGCAGACGAAAGAAGUUAAGAUUUCCCUCGCAAGGAGAGGGCCACCAUUUGCUCCGUUUACCAGACGUCAAAGGCUUCUCGGUAUUACACUCGGAAAACCUGGAUGGAUGCUUAUUCGGAUAGCAUCUACCCGGUACAACCUCACGGAAUGUGGGAUACUCCUGAAGAUGUUCGAAGUCGAGUUGUGCUGCCUCCCAUGGCAAGGGUCAUGUCAGGCAGACGAAAGAAGUUAAGAAUUCCCUCGCAAGGAGAGGGCACCAUUAGAAGAAAAUGCUCAAGGUGCGGUUCCGCAGGGCACAAUAAAAGCACCUGUAAAAACAAUAUUCCAUUGCGCAAUGUAUCUUAGACAAUAUGAUUUGUGUUGCUUUAGUAGGUCAUGUAAACUCUACUUUUAUUUGUGGUGGGUUUCGUGUUAUGUUGAAUGGGAAUUCUUUUAAAUUUGCAUUAUUUGGGUUGCAUUGCUACAGCAUGCUGUAUUGCUGACAGAUUGCUAUUAUAUUGACCUUUUAUUGUACUGGUAUUGCUUCCAGAUUGCUAUUAUAAUUUGAGUGCGAAAUUAAAGGGACUGGAAUGUAAUUCCAAAUGGAUCCAAAACAUUAAAGUGCUUAGAAUUUCUAUAUUACACAGUUACUGUGAUACUCCGACUAUACCUUCUUUUUUUAUUACAAAUUCGGCCGAUGCAUAGGCCAGAUGUAGGGCAAAUACAAGGUGAAAUGUCCUGUGUGUUUGACUACAUAUACUUGUUGAAGGAGCAUUACGAAUGUCAACCUCAAUAGAUUGCUCAUGUCUUGCCAAGAACACUCUUGAAUUUAUGCAAUGUGCCCAAGCCAGUCCCAAAGCUGGACUCACCCGUCUCCCAUCUGCCUGAUGUGUCCAGGGACUCCAAGUUUCCCAACCUCACCCUAUUCACUCCAUCAUGUGGCCCAAUAAAAUCCACCACUUGGUUGGUGACAACCACCGCCAACCCAAACUUAUUUGCUAAACCCUUCAAUGUCCCAGAUAUGUUGAAGAACAUUUCAGACCGCCGUUUCAAAUCUGCCGGUGUUGUCUGAUACUGUGAUCGGAACAAUGCAGCAAUGGAAUCAAUGACAAUGAGUUUCACAGGUAGGCGGGUGUGAUCAAUGGCAAUAAAUGCUUCUAUGUCUCCAAGGACAUGGAUGAGUUCUUGAGCAUCAUGAACACCAUGAACAUAUAUGUCUUCCAAUGGCUCCAACCUUAUUAAGUUGGGGUAUGAUGCAUGAUAAAGGUUGCCUAGUUGUUGCAAUCGACGAAAUGGGAAGCUGAAUUCUGUGAAUAUGUAGACGGAGGAGCCCCCUAGUCCGCCAUGUGAGGGUGGGAGCUGAGCUCGUACUGUAAGUUGGAGACAAAGCUGCGUCUUCCCAGAACCACUCUCCCCUACUAUUUCUGUUAUGGAGUUGCAGGGUAUCCCACCCCCCAAGCAGUGAUCUAGUAUUAGGCAUCCAAUGGAUAAUUUAGGGGUUGAAAGAGGAAGGAGCAUGAGGUUUUGGGGUGUCAUGUUUGUGUAAUUUAGGGGGGGAUGUGAUCGUGCUACAAGGCAUGCAUUAUAUAUAUAUAUAUAUAGAGUUCAUUUUGAAGGUCUGUACUGUAGGCCAUCUGUCUUUUAAGGGAUGUAUAAUUCAUCCUUUUUCCAGGUUGUAAUUACUUUUUUGUUUAUUUAUUAGUAUUUUUUUGGACCAUAUAAUUUAAAACAUAUUCUGAUGCAGUACGUCCUGUAAUAGGAUCAUAUUGUAACUCUAUCACCACUCUAUUGUAUUGAUAUUGACAUAAUAUUGCCACUAUCCGCAUGUUUAUUGCAUAUUUAUUGAUGCUAUAUCGCCACAGAACUGGAGACCGAUAAACUGUAUACGCACAAAUACAAAAUGAGGCUUCAUCAUUCCAUAAAAUCCUAUUGCCAAACUUACAUAAUACAACAACAGGCCACCCCAUCGUUACAUAAUACAAAAAUACGCCACCUCAUAGUUCCAUUUCCCUACAAAAUGAGGCUUCAUCAUUCCAUAAAAUCCUAUUUCCAAACUUACAUAAUACAACAACAGGCCACCCCAUCGUUACAUAAUACAAAAAUACGCCACCUCAUAGUUCCAUUUCCCUGCUGUUGACAAAUUCGAAGUUGCAUACUCUUCAAGUGCGGUGACCGCGACCCAUGAAAUUCAUGACCCCGGCCACAGUGAUGUUGGCCCAGUUUCCUGCCGGAUCCAUAAUUUUUGCAAAUUUACGAAAUAGUUCGAAUCCCCUUUCCACUUGUUCUUGCUUCAACUUGGCCAUUGCUUCUGAUUCCUUGAAUACCAUAAUUGCAGUGGCAGGGGCAAUUUCAAUUUUUUCUUUCAUUCUCUUUAUAUGUAGGAGAUGCAUGCGCGCAUGAUAACGAGAGCGAAUUGUGCGGUUUUUUUAUGACACCCCAUCUAGCUUGGCCCUCCACAAUUUUUGAAACUAUGUCUGCAUGAAGAUUUUUCCAAAACAUGGUAUUGCCUCGACAUUGCUGUAUGCCAUGGACCAAGUCUGCAGGGAGUGAAUUCGGUGACUUGGCUUCUGUUUCAGUCCCUCCUUCAGUAAUUGAAAGCGUUGGGUUUGGUGUGAGGUUAUGGUCCAUGGUCUUUGAUAUUUAUUGUUGGCUGGUCUACAACUUAAUUGGAACAACAGGGGACUAAAUGCGAUUUGAGUGAAAUCAGUGGGGAAGGUAAUGGCUGUAAGCAGCAGUUAAUGUGAUGGAAGUUUUCUGAGGCAAACAGCUGGGUUGAUUAAUAUAGGCAGGUUUUAAUGACCAAACCAGUAAGUCAGAGAGUUAUUGGCGGGAGGGAUUAGGGGGAGUAAUUAGCGGGAGGGAUUGGCGGGAGUGUUAGGCGGGAUAGUACUGGGCGGGAUAGUAUGGGCGGGAGUUAUUACCCAGGUUGACUUUAUGCCUUUUUGUAAUAUAUUUGUAUGUUGGACGUUCCCAACUUGGUCAUUUUCCCAUUAUGUAUUUGAAAUAAGGGAGUUGCCUAUUUGCCUAAUUCACCAACUCAUUCGAAUUGACCAAUAAUGGUUAUUGUCUUAUUUCUCAUUUCAGCAAUCUCAAUUCGUUUCCAUUUUGCCAUUUUUCAUAUUUUCCUAUUUUCCAUGUGUCAUCCAAUUUUUCAAUUUUUCAUUAUUUUUUCCUAUUCCCUAUUUUCCUAUUGUGCAAUUUCCUAAGUUUCCUUUUGUUCUAUUUCCAGUUUUCCAAUUUUUCAAUGUUCCCAUUUCCCCCCAUUAUGUACUUAAAAAAAGUUGCCUACUUUGCCUAAUUCAGACAGUAAUUAAAAUUGUCCAAUAUGGUAAUUGUCUUAUUUCCCAUUUCCACAAUUUCAAUUCGUUUCCAGUUUUCUGAUUUUCCAUGUAUCCCUGUUUCCUAUUUCCAUUUUUCAAAAUUUAAGUUUUUGUCAAAUUAUCCAAUGUUUUUAUUUCCAAUUCGACUAUUUUCUAAGUUUCCUUUUUUUCCAUUUUCAAAUUUUUCAUUUUGGUAACUGUCCUUUUGUUCAAUUUCCAAUUUUGCUAUUUUCCAAGUUGCCUUAUUUCCUAUUUUUCAUUUAUCCAGUUAUCCAAUAUUCCAUUUUUUCAAUUUUCCAAUUUUCAAUGUCCCAAUUAGCUUAUUUGCCUAUUUUCCAAGUGUCCUUUUUUCUUAUUUACUAUUUCGAAUUUUCGACUUUUCAUGUUUUCAGAGUUUCCUUUAUUUCCUAUUUCCUAUUUUCCUAUUUUCCUAUUUUCCUAUUUUCCUAUUUUCCUAUUUUCCAAGUUUCCUUUUGUCCAAUUUCAAAUUUUCCAAUUUUCCAAGUUGCUUUCUUUUCCAAUUUACAAUUUCCAAAUUUCCUAUUUUCCAAGUGUCCUUUUUUCCUUUUUCCAAUUUUCCUAUUUUCCAACUGUCAUUUGAUCAUAUUGCCUACUUUCCUGUUUCCAAUUUUUCCUUAUUUCCUUUUUCCAAUUUUCCAAUUUUCCAACUUUCCAUUUUUUCAUAUUUCCGAUUUUCCAAUUUUCCAUUUCUUCAAUUUCCAAUUUUCCAAGUUUCCUUAUUUCCCAUAUCCAAGUUUUAAGUUUUCACUUUUCCAAAUUUCCAAUUUUCGUGUUUUGCUAUUUUGUGUUCUGAAAUUCGCAAUAAAUGCUUACUUACAUAGUCCUAUUUUGGGUUCCAAUCCACAAUUUCCUAUUUCCCAUUCAGGUUUGGUUUUUUGUCGUUUGGAAGCCAAUUUUAUUGUUGUUAAUGUCAUGUUGUACUGCUGUAACUUACAGCCAAGGAGUUAAUGGUGUAGUUUGCAAUCCCAUCAAUUGAAUGCACCAACACAAUACCCAAUUUACUUCAUAUCAGUUCGUACAUAUAACUGAACCUUCCUAUAUAGAACUGCAACAGAGGCACCUUCUUAACGGGAAAGGUAAUUAGUCUUACUGAAAGGCAAAUAUUCUCCACUCAAGCUAACCAUAUAGUCGUUUACAACUGGAGACUGAAUGUACCUAUAUUUGUUUUGUUGCAGGCAACAGCUGUGAAUUGUCCCCAGUAAUACUUGAACAUGUCGGAUGUACGCCCUCCUAACGAGCAUGUGAGUUACCCGGGGGACCAGCCGUGGCAUGUGCCAUUCCCAUCUCCACCUCGGACUCCCAAUCAUGAUCCCACUUCAUCUGGAAGUGAAGCUGAGAGUCAUGAUCCGCUUGACAAAAUCUCUGCCGUCAAGCACCACCUCCAAUAUAUGUCAAAGGCAACGGAUUGGUGGGAGAGUAAGUGCGAUAUUCAUGGCCAAGUUAUGGGAAACUUGGCCAACAAGUUGAACAAUGCAUACGCUGGAGAGGUGAAGCAAGCUCUUAAAGCAAAAAGUCGGAGCAAAGAGUUAGAGUCCUUGAAGUUGAAAUUGGAAGACAGAAAGAAAAAUGCCCUCGAAACAUUCACACAAUCUGAAGAAUAUAACCAUGAAAUGGUUGAAUGUUUCAACAACGGCUUGAAAUGUUGCUAGAUUAUGCUUCGGUCAUCUCACCAGACCACAAUUGGAGUGAAAUUGAUGUAGCUGGUGUCUGGCAGGUACUUAAUAUGGGUUCUGAUGGAAUGGCUCAUCAUAGCCUCGUGCAUGCAGCGAGAAGAAAGGACAAAGACAUGGAUCUUUUGAUGGACCUGUAGUAACGGCGAAUGCUACUUCAAUUCAUCUCACCCGAGUACAUGGAUCUUUUGUUGCCUUCAUUUUCCCUUCGCGGGAUAGAUAGUAUUGUUAAGGUUCGAUGGCGAUUUCUUUGGCAUGUGUGAAAUGUUGUCUGUAAUGUGUAUGUAUUGUAUGUAUAUUGCCUUAAUAUUGCCUUCCUAUUGUGCUUAUAUUGCCCUAAUAUUGCCUUCGUAUUGUAUAUUUAUUGUGGCCAUAUUGCGACAUUCUAUGUAAUGAUAAAAUUCCUAUCGUAUUGCCCUUAUAUUACUAUUCCCUUCUAUUAAGUUCAUCUUGUUUCAUCUGGGACUGGUUGUGAUUAGAAUCUUCAUCAUGAAGAUGAUGAUGAGCCUGAGCUUGAGCCUUUGGAAUAUUAUGAGCACUGGAAAAUAAAUCCACAGGCUCAGAAUCAGCAAUUUUGCCUCCUUCAAGAGGCGUCCCAUGCUUGUAUGCAACCCUAGCCUUCUCCCACGGGCUCAAAAUAAAUUGACUGUUAACAAUCAUUCAGAAGAAUGGUAGAAAUAAGCUCCAUUGUGCCAAUCCACGAAGUUCAACAAAUAAAUUGUGUUCGAUACACAGAUGACAUGUAAAACUAACAUUAGCAUUCUCCAAUAAGAAGACUUCUCUUCUUUCCCACCCCUCGUGGAUUGAGAAAGAAAGAAGAGGGACAAAACACACACUACCAAGUUAAGGUGACAUUACAAACCUACAAAAUAUCCUCAUCAAACUUAUAAUGCUCCUUUUUUUCUUCUUUAAAGCAAAACUUCAUUCAAACUGAGAAAACCACGUGCUUUCGAUAAUCACUCCGGAAUUAUUUGCUCAUUAUCUGCAUCGCCUUCUGUCUCAACUUGAGGCUUCGAAGCAGCUUUGGCACCAGGAGGCUGCUUCUUCUUGAUCCCACUCACAAUGUCAUCGAUUCUGAGAAGUAGGCAAGCAGCUUCUAUGGCCGUUUUAAAAGUCUGGGCCUUCACGUUGUAGGCAUCCCAUAUCUGACAUCAUAAUUGCUAUAAAUUAACAGCCUUACCAACAAAAGAAAUUUCAGAUUCAAGACUCCAUGGAUGCUCAAAUAUGAGCAAUGGCGUUCACUUUAGUAAUAACCACGACAACAGCACUUCCCCUCACAUGAGUGCUGUCGAAAUAUAUUGGGAGAAGCUGUAAACUAUAACUACUACUGAAGCAAAUCGACAAUAUCAACCAGAAUAUUGACGCUUAUGCCAUAUCAAUAAAGGGACAUAUAAUGGAUACAUUUGAGAACAAUAAUACAUUAAAAGUCCUAUUUCAGAGCUUUCAGAAAAUAUCAAUCACCCAACAAAUUUGAAUAUUGAGAUAGUGAAGGAAAUAAAAGAGAGCAACAAUAGUAAGCCAAAAAGAUAUCCACCUACCUUUUUCUCUUUCACAUCAGUUAUCACACCAGUGUUACCAUCAAUGCCAAUCCAUGCAUUUUCACCAUUUGCAUGCUAUGGAAAAAAAAUUGUGGUUAGGAUAUCAAUGAUGCAUCAUAUUGUGACCACAAAAAAUAAUCAUGCAUCAGAACGUAUAUAGAAAUGACAAAUCAUAAAAUAAAACAGAACAAAGCCAUACAAAACAGAUUCAAACCUUUGCCUGCAGCGCCGUCAUUGUUCUAAUCACAUUCACCCCGCAAUUCUGAGCCAAGGUACGUGGUAUAGCCUCAAAAGCUAUAGCAGCAGCUUCAUAUGCCCACUGUUUUACCAUCAAAAUACGUGUAGCCAUAAAACUCCAUUAAAAUGCAUGUAAAGUGAAACCACAACUAAUUGUUAAUCUUAAGUAUGUCAAGGAGCAUGUGAAGUGAAGUGACAGCCAGUUUAUUCAUAGAAUUUAGAUUUCUACUUCCACAAGGAGUUAUUCUUCGACGAGUUUUACACAAGAAAUACCGAACUUUUGGAUGAGGAAAGGAGCUUUUACCUUUUCUAUACCUUAUACAGAUGAACUCUUUUGCUUCAAUGUAGCAGAUAGAGUUCACUCUGUAGCACCACCAGCAGGAACAAGUUUCGGAUUCUUGAGGAUGUUUCUUGCUACAGACAUGGCAUCCUAUGACCAGAUAUAAGGGAGUAAAUAACAAAUUUCAGCAGACUAUAUUUAUUCUACGUAAUGGGGACAAAGAAUUAAAACCAUUAUACCUGCAAAUUCCUUUCCACUUCAUUUAAAAUAUCUUUACUACUGUCAUCUGAAGAGUACAGUACAUGCUUUAGGCUCUUUGCAAUGAACAAUGAAUGCAAAAAACUCAUCACCAAUUUUCUUAACCUCAAAUAUCCCAGCGCCUGUACCAACAUCAGACUCUUGCAAUUCAUCUGGUCUGUUAACAAUUACAGCCCCACAAGCCUUGGCAAUUCGGUUAUUAUCUGUUUUCCGCAACCUCCUGAUUGCACUGACGCCGGCCUUGCUAAAAUAAUGGCAUGCCAAGUCACUAAGCCCCUUUUAUGUGAUAACCACAUCUGGUUUAAACUUCAAUAUUUGCACACAUAGCCUCUCGAUGUAUUCUUCUUCCAAUUUUAGCAGGACUCCCCAAUCUUCUUCUUUAAGCAACUCAGCAUUUGUUUGGUUCUCGCCUUUCUUAUAUUCCAGAGGACAAUCAAGAAGAAUGAUGCGUAGGUUGAAAAUCUUUCUUCUCAUUUUUCCAGGUGCAAUAACAUCUUUGUUAAUCAUUACUCGUUUGAGAACCACUGAAUCUUCCAACUGGCCACCAGGAAUCUUCCAACUGGCCACCAGGAACCUUCUCAACCUUUAUGUACUUUUUAAUAUCCAUUCCCGCAGACCCUGGCCAAGGUCCACCCCUACUAUUGUGGUAGUGUCAAGUGCAAUUCAAGGGGGCAGUCAAUUUGGUAUGGUGGCAUAAACAUGUUUACUCCAGGAUUCACCUGUAUGGGACAGAGCUUCCUUCUUCCCUUGUCGUCUGUAGGUUUCAACUUCACACUUUUGAUAUACAUGUAUGACAACUUGUGGCUAUUUAUGUAUGGCCUCCUAACACUUGUUCUGCCAUUCCACAGUAUUAGGCGAAAAUUUUUGAGUUGAAUAACUGGAAAGACUUCAGAUGACAGAAGACAUUUACCUCAUAAAUAUGCCUCCCCCCUUAAACCCUCAAUUGCAAGCUUCAGUCGGUAAUAUUUGAUCUUCAAAGGGUCAACUUUAUCUACUUCAAUCCCAGCACUGAGAUGCUCGAUGAAUUUGACGGUCAAGAUUCCGCAAGACGCACUGUGAGGCCAAUAAGUUGGGAAAUUAGAGGGGGCAGUCAUGUAAAAUUUGGAUAAACUGCACAAAAUUCACAAAGCUUACCCAUCUCGUUGUUAUGGCACAUCUGCAAUGCUGCACACUGAGAAUGGCGUAUACAUCGACAUCGUCAGCCCCUUUUGCUUCACCUCUUCAACCUCAGAAUCAUCAUAAAAGUGCAUAUCAUACAGCACUCGUGCCAGCGUAUCGCUAAUAGGGUGCAGAAGUGUAACCAGCUUUGAACGUUUGGUAAAAUCAACAUAGGAGUCAUACACAGUUGCAGUAUGUCUGACGAAAUCAAUUUCGAUUGCAACCCAGUGAGACCCUUUCAGAUUAUAUGGCAAAUAGACCUUCCGGACUUUUGUCCAAGCUUGGGCAUACCCGUGUUGCCACGUACCACGCACAAAGUGAUGUAUAUUCUUCAGCUUGCUAGGUGGAAGGUCAAUGGUGUUUGAAGCAGCUGCCUUCUUCGAUCCACGUGUCCUGGAAGUCGGUUUGAACGGCUCUAGAAAUUGCUGUAGAAAUUUAAAUGAAGGCAUAUUAGAAAAUCACAACCGACAGCAAAUGAAGCAGUGAAUGUAACAUGGUUACGUGUUUACCUGCAAGCAACAAUCUGCCGUUGUCCAGUCAGUUCCAAAAACCAACGGUUGAGAGAGUUGCCUUUUCCGGAUAAGAAAGGUUGCCAUGUCCAGGUGCUGAAAGUUGACACAUAAUAUUAGCACAAUUUCAUACAACUGUACACUUAAAAAAGGUGAGAAAACAAUUGAAUUAUCGUAAUAAAGUAGAGCUUUGUGUAUCGUUACCCUUGAGCUCAUCCAUUCCGUUUCAUCGACAAGUCUGUAGAAAAAAUCAGCGCCCACUGAAAAUGAUUCCAGCUGCACCUCCGCACUACAAAAGGCAAACUUGCAACGGUUACUUUUGUAGUCAUCUCAUAAAUCUGACUUUGUUGAUGACAAAAAUACACAUGUAUAUUAAACCAAACUCUACAUUCUCUCAUUAGUCUAUGAUUACAUAGUAGAAUAGGAUGAAGAUUGGAAUUCAAAGGUCAAGAAUCGUAACCUGAUAUCGCUUUUCCAGGCACUGCAAAACUGUAUUACUGCCUUCACAUCUUCAAUGGGCAAGGGUUUUGAUGGAUCAAAACAUGGCGGGGUUGCAGUCGCAGCCGACACAGUCAUCGUCCUCUUCUUCCUCAAAGGAUCAGUAAAUGGGCUCAACAAUGUCUGCGCCGGGCACUUAUGUCUGCACCCUUUACCUUCCACUUCUUUUUUUUCAACACUCAAACUACCUUCUUCAACACCAGCCAUAGUAACUGUGGGUAGACUUGGAGGAUUGAUCGAACCUCCCGAUUGCAUACUCUUAGUGAUUUUCCAAUCUUCUAACAGCUUCAUGACUCUUUGGCAGAUUUCGUCAUACCCGGCCACAUCUUCCGGGGUAGGCAGCUUCUCGGAUUCUGCCUGCUUAGCUACUUCAUGCACUUCUAAGUGAGGAACUGAAGCGGCCAUUUUUGCCUCUUCAACUACCAUGGCUGCGAAAGGUUCGGCUCCAUCACCGGGGACUUGUGUUUCCAUUACUGCCGGUUCUGUAGGCGGACUAGCAUUGGCAUGUAAUGGCGACAAGUCAUUGUUGCCUCCUUCAUUCAUAUGAGGACUAUCGAGGUCCUCAUGUCCUUCCCCAGCUUCAUUCACCCCACCAUUUUGUUUUUUCAGCUGCUCUAUCUCCAACUUAAAAUAAUGCUCCAUUGAAGCCACGGUGUUGCACAAAUCCUCCACACACUUUUUAUUUUUUUCGAACUCUUUUUCAGCUUUCAUUGACUCCUUCCGUACCUUGUCUUCCAACUGAUGCACUCUAUCGCGAAGCGCUCGAUUUGAUAGGGCAACUUUGGCCAAUUCAUCCUUUGUCCUUUCAAAGUCACGCUUCAAAGUGCGUAACUCUCUGGACGCGACUGUACCCUGCAUUAAGUUAUAAUGCAUGUGUUACUAUGCAGGCCAAAAAAUAUUGCAACAAUACAGCAGUUAUUUUCCUAUUGUAUUAUGACGUAUAUCUUCGAAAAUAUGUAAUGCUUGCCUUAGAAGACGACGGAAGGCUUGCAGUUUCGUCAAUGUCCUUAUCUUCUUCUUCUACAGAGGCAGAAGUGCCGGUUUUUUUUUUAGCGUCAUCGCCCAACAAGUCAACAAGUUCUUCAGUGUCGUCAGCACUGUCACCCCAAGUCCAAUACGGCUGCUGCUUGUCCAUUACAGAUGGCCGGAGAAGCUGCACAUCAACCUGUAAUUUACACAUACAAUAUACAUAUCAGUAAAGUAAUUAUAUUAUAUUUUCAUAUCCCUAACAUUAUCAUUACAAACUGAACUAACCUCACGGUUCUCGAAUACUUGGCUCAUUAGCUCAUAAAAACGCGGCGAACUAUUGCUCCUCCAAUGUAGUAAAUGAGGGAUGUACGCAUUAUCUUCGUGCACCACCAAAUGUAGUGCAGCCAACGCUGGAAAGACCUCAUACGCCCAAAUCUGGUUUGAGGAAUAAAAGGUCAGUCAUUGUAAACAAAUGCAAUUUAACUUCAACAUCAAUGGACAUUUGCUCACCUGAAGUGCAUAGGCAAAACCUUUGAGGUGGUACUCUCUUGGUCUACCAGUUGCCGUUGUUGUUGGUUUCUUUCCAGAAUUUUUUUUUUUUUUUGCAGUUUUUGUGGGCAGUUUCACUCGCUGGUAAUCUGCAGAAAGUGCCCUCAGCAGUGACGCAUUUGUCUUCGCAUAACACACAGCACCCCAUGGAUACUUCCCAAACUCUUCAAGGUCUUCCGCCAACUUCAAAUAUCGCAUGUCAAUGUGGACAUGUUUUUCACUGCCCAACAGCACAAACACAGCAAAGUAUACGAAUCCGAGCUUCAAUACAUCGUCCUCAUCAUCGCAUUUGAGGAAGGCCUUUUCUAAUUCCAACAGGUUCACAGUUUUAUCGUUGGCAAAGUACUUCCGUUUCAAUGAGCAGUUCUCAUUAGUGGGAAUCGGAAUUAAGGGAAGGUUUCCAAACCUUAGCCCUGUCACGAUGCAAAAUUGCUGCACCGUGAAUUGGAUGACCUUAUUGCCAACAAUGAAUUUGAUCCCGUUCAGUUGGGAAACUGUCUUGGGAUCAGCUUUCCUGAGCAGCAAGCAGUGGACAAUUGGAGAAGUCCAUUUGAGGUCCUCAAUCCGUAGGAGAUGACCAAAACAACUCUGUUCAAACAUUUGCAGCUGCUGUUCAGUGAAUUUCUCCUUGAUCGUAGUGAUUGCGGUCUUCGUAUGGGAUAGCGACAAUGCUUUCCCUUGGAACUUUUGUUCCUCUGCAAUCAUCAACUUCACUUGACCAACCAUAUUUCCCUGCAUGCCAAUAUUAUAAACAAACUUUCAGUCGGUUGCAAUCUAGACAAUAACAAGCAAUAAACAAUCACCACUUAUCAACAGCCUAUUAUAGGAUAUGAAGUGAAAAAAAAAACAACAAAUACAUAUCAUAAACAAAACCCCAGCUAUUUACAACUGACCUCCUCAUUUAAUGGCUCAAAGCCAAGUUUCAAGACACCCAGUACUCUACCACUCCUGCAUAACCCUAAUAUCUAAACACACAUCUCAACACACCAUAUAAUCACACCAUCUAAUCAUGAGACAGCUUCAGCUAGAAUGGGAUUGUGCGGUAGCACAAGCCUAAUUGAGAACAAUUCAACACUAACGAUACAAAUCUAUCUGACUAGAAAGAGUUUUAAAAAACAACAAGACAUCGGGAAACAAUUGAUUCACUUCAAGGUAUAAUGUAGUGGAACAUCCUAUGAAUUAGUGGCAACCGCAAUACUGACUCUACUAUGGCCCUCCUUUCAAAUGUAAGAAAAUGAAAUAAAUUGACACCAUUCCUUCAGUUUUUUCUUAACAAAAUAUCAAAGAUAAAUUCAUAAAUAAAACAUCAAAACUGUAUAAAAUGUUUGUAAGACAUGUACAAUUACAAAAUUAUAAGUUCUCCUCAGAAACAGAGUUCUCUAAGUAUCCAUACACAAACAAGAAAAGCAAAAGCUUAAACAGUUAGCUUAUAGCAAAAUCAUUGUCCCCAUUUCUCUAAACCACACCUGCUGGUGGUAGGUUCCCAUCUUCACUCAUUUCCCGCUUUCUUUUAAGCACACAAUGAUGAAGCACAAAACAGCAAACUUUUAAAGAACUCAUAUUACACCACAUAUGGUUCUAAACAAAACUCAUCCAUAUCCAAUAUGCAAGCCCUAAACUUAGUAAACAGAGUUAUAAAAAAAUAUGUCAAAUUAACAAGCAUUAUUCUCAAACAAAAAGUAUGAUAUGGUUGGGAGUUUACAAGUUCAAAAUGAUAUACACAGGUUAAUUGUCUUGCACUUUUGAUAUCAUCUUCAACAAACAAAAUAGAUACCAAUUAGACUUGUAAGAAGGUUAAAUGCAAUGGUCAUAGAGACUCAUACUAAGCCACCAAAUACUAAUCAAUAACUGCUACAAAAACCAUAAUAAAAUCAUAAUAAAACUAAAAAUACAAUAGCACUAAAAUGCCAACACAACAUCACUACAUUAGCAAUACACUAGCAAAAAAACACAAUACGACAGCAAUAGCAACAGCAACACAAUAGCAGUGCAAGCAUCAGUCCACAAAGAACAAACCCAUUCACUGUUUGAAACAAGGAAUCAUCAUACUAAGAUCAUUUCAGAUAAACCCCAAAACCAAUUUCGUUGAAACCCCUAAACCAAUUUCAGAGAAACCCCUAAACCUUCAACCAAUUUCGAACAAACCCCUAAACUAAUUUCAGCGAAAUCCCUAAACCUUCAACCAAUUUCGAACAAACCCCUCAACCAAUUUCAGAGAAAUGCAUAAACCCUAAACCAACUUCGGAGAAACCCUUAAAGUGUAAGAAAAUGCCGAUGAACAGUACCUGUCGCUGGGAGAGGAAGAGAGAAGAGAGAGUCCGAGCUGAGGGACGAGAGAUUGCGAGCUGAACGACCAGAGAUUCAGAGCAAAGCCACGAGAGAGUGAAGAGAAACAGAGCCGAGAGAAGAGAGAGAUCCGAGAGAAGAGAGAGAGCCGAGAGAAGAGAGAGAGCAAAACAGAGAGAAUAAAAUUUCAGCAAAAGUGAUAUGUGUGCAAUAAGGGCACAAUAAAAAUAUAUUUAUAGGUUAUAGUUCCAAAUUUUUUAAAAAAGGGUGGUAUUUUCAGUUACAAUUAUAAAAAUGGUGGCAUUUAGGGCUAUUUCCCAAGAUAUUAUAACCCAUAAUUAAAACAACAAUAUAACUUCAUAAUCUCAAUAAUCAAAAUAAUCAAAUUUAUAUAUAUGCAAGACAAUCCACUCUUUGAAAAUAAUGAUCAUUUAAAACAAAGUCCACUCACGAAAAGUCCAAAGUUGCUUGACCCUUCGAGGGUCCCACCUGUUGAGUUCGUGGAGCCUGAGUACCUAUUUUAUCGGGAUUCAACUCCUAAGUUUUCGGGAUUCAAAGUGUGUGUGCACGACUACCGGGGAGUUUCUAAAGCCAAUAUAACUCUUUUCAAAAGGUGGAACGACCUCGGAAGACUCACGGUCAACAGGGUGGCCAAACUUCUCAAAUUGGUCAACCCAGCGGGGCCACGACGUUUGAUUUUCUAUCCGAAAGUUCCUACUCAAUCCUAAAGGUACAAAGAACAACAUAUUUGAAAUUGGGACCGAUCAAACGGUCCGAACCUAUCAAACCCGGAUAUCGCAUAAUAGGUGCAAUAUUCUUUCGAUAGUCAAAUGAAAACCAAUUCAAAAUCCAAGCAUACCGUCGUGCUCAGAUUCAGACUAACUAGCCACAUAGUGGUCCACGCGCCGCCACUCUCCGUCGGCAAGGUAUGGUGUCUUGAGAAUUUUCCCAUGAAAACACCUUACAAUACCUAUGCCAACAGAUUCAGACUAACUAGGGGAUCAACUUCUACGCUGAAACCGUAAGCUAAAAUGGGUAUAUUGAACGAUUUGUAAAACCUUGAAAUCAAUCCAAGAUACAUAUACUAACAGCUAGAGCACGUGAAUGGGAUGAAGAACCAUACCUUGGUCAACAGAAACAGCAGCCGGAAUCGCCGAAAAUUGCACGAACACCACCGGCGACCAAACUAGGGUUUCGCUCGGUUCUAGUCCAAAAUCGCGACCAAACUUGGAGUUUCGUAGGUGUAAAUGGGUAUGCACGUGUAGAUGACGAAGAGACGAAUGUUUUGUGGGUCGUGACGUCGCCAAUCUUGAUCGGACGGAGGAGAAAACGCCGACCAAACAAGCCAGUCUAUUUCGGGAAUGAGAAGAGGGUUGCGCGAGCAAGGAGAGGGUUGCACGAGCUAGGAGAGAGAGAUCUGAUAGCUCAUUUUAAAACCCAACUUUGAAAAAAUUAUGAUUGUGCCACUGCACUUCCAUAGACCACAAAUUCUUCGUUAAAUCUCUGAUUUGGGCCUACUACGUGUCUUCGAACUCGUGAGAGCUAGCUCUACGCAAUGGUGCCACUCAUUUUCCCAAAAUCCUUCAUAAUCGAAAAGUGACUAAAGUGACCCUACCCCUAAGGGAAAAAUUGUAAAUUCAAAAAUAAAAAUAAAUUUAAUAAAAUGAUUAAAUUGGGUCGAGAUGUUACAAUAUUGUUGUUGUUGUUUUUCUUUAAUUAAUGUAGCCCCCUGGUUCCUCCUCUCUUUUUUUUAAUUAAUUUUUUUUUUGUGUAAAUUUUUUAUUUUAUUUUAUAAUUUUAGCGACACUAAGAAAGAUACCAACUCACCACACAACUUAAAAACAUAGACUAACUUAUAAGAAAAUAACUAUAAAAACAAAAAACAAAAAAAAUCACAAAUUUUAAUUUUAAAUAUAUAUUUUCUUACAAGCAAAAACAUUUUUAAAAAACAAACUUAAAUUUUUAUUUAAGUUAAACUUUAUAUAUAUAAAUUUAUUUUAUGGACACAUAAAUAUACAAGCAACUCAAGGAUGACUAGUUAAGGGCCUCUGAAAACACAGCCAAUGGUUCCGGGAAGGUUGGAGAGGUCAAAAUUGUCUUGCUUAAAACCCAAACCUUCUUAGACACCAAAGGUGUCGCCGAAGAACUCCUAGACACUAUAUUGACAGAGGUAGCUCGUUCGGUUUACCAAAAAUCGGCUCAUAUGACACAUUAAAUAUUUAUAUUUAUAUUAAUUUUAAUUUUAAUUUUAAAGAAACAAAAACUUAAAAUUACUAAAAUAAUAAUAACAAAACAUGCAAAGAGAAAAUAAAAGAAAAGAAAAUAAGAAUUAUUGUAUCACUCGUGUAUCACCAUGUAAUCACUGUGGUAUCACCCGUUUAUCACGUUUUAGAGAUGAAUUUAUGAACUUUCUAUGUUUUCCAGUUUCGACCUCUGUCCCGUUUUGGACCAAUAACUUUCAAACCGUUAGUCCAGAUUUUAUGUUCAUUAUAUGGUUGGAAUCAACAUAACAAAAUGAAAUACUCAACCUGGACUGAAUGGCAAAAUUAGUUAUAGAAGUGUACAUAAUUCAUUAAAACGAACACUCAAAGUUUCGACACAAUAAAAAAAAUUCCCACCAAGAACUUAAAUGAAACAUUGUCCUUAAUGUUGAAAAGAGUAAAAUUAUGCAAUGUAUCAUAAGGCCAAGGGAAGAAACAAAACAAAAUAAAAUUAAAACAAAAACUUAAAUUACUAAAAACUAAACAAGCAAAGAGGAAUGAUUGGAAUACUCCCCUUCGAAGCGAUUAGGGCGAGCAUGGAAGCAUUUGGAGGUCACGAUUUCUCCCAAUACUCAGCACUUCCCUUCUUUGUUUUGUUACUAUUCCAGUUAUAUCUUUCUUAGAUUGUAGAUUAAUAAUUGUUUUUGAGGUGGUUUUGGUAGUGUCUUAUUCUUGGUGGUAUAUUUUGUUACGGAAUAAUAAUGGCAUCGUAGUUUCUAUUUUUUAAUUGAGUUUUUAUUUUUAUUUUUUAUGUAACAAUUAUAGUUAUAUUUUUGUUAGAUCGUAGAAUCAUUGUUUUUUAAGUAGUUCUAAUAGUGUCUAUUUUUUUGGUAUUAAAGUUCUGGUGGUGUCUUAGCGUUGCAAAUAUGUUUAGUAUGAAAUAUAAAUUGCUUCGUCAUUUCUGUUUUUAACUGUGGGUAGGGUUUUGCCAUUCAAAGCUUAGGGAUUCUAAAUCUUGGAGACUAAACAGUUAGCAACACAUGAAAUUUAAACAUUAAAGAACAACUAAUUAUAUAAUCUGAAGGAGGGUAGAUUCGGUGACUGCAAUGCAACUAAUUAUACAACUAAUUAUAUAAUUAAAGAACAACUAAUUAUCUAAUCUUAAAGAACAACUAAUUAUGUAAACAGUUAGCAACAUAUGAAAUUUAAACAUCUUUUAAAUUUAAACAUAAGCAUUUCCAUUGCAUUUGUUCAAUGUAUCUCUUCCAUCUUUUAAUUUGGCUGAAAGACACAACACUUAAUUAGACAAUGAAAAGCACGUGGUGGAGCAGUUUCAAUAAAUGAGGGUGCGUUCCAUCAACAAUGAUGCGCUGAACCUCCAUACUUGAAGCUUAGUGAGAAAAUAUAUUAGAAACUACAAAGGUUUGGAGUGUUGGGCAGGGCCUUGCAAAAGAUGUCGGUCCACGUGAGAGUGAGGGAGUCAGUGGUGGUGAAGCCAGAGGAGGAAACGCCAAAACAGGCGCUGUGGAUAUCGCACUUGGAUAUCGUGAUUUCGGCAACUCACCUUGGAAGUGUUUACUUCUACAGGAGGCCAAACGUUCAAAACGGCGCACAUCAUCUUCAAAACAACUGUGUCUUGGAUUCGGAGGUGCUCAAGUGCUCCCUUGCCAAGGCCCUCGUGCCCUUCUACCCCUUGGCCGGCCGCCUGAAGCUGAACGAUGAGGGACGUAUCGAGAUCGAUUGCAAUGGAGAGGGAGUGCUGUUUGUUGUGGCGGAGACUGACUCGGUCCUUGAUGAGUUCGGGGACUUUGCGCCGACUCUUGAGUUCCGGAAGCUCGUUCCUGCUGUUGAUUAUUCCGCUGGGAUAUCCUCUUAUCCCCUCUUGGUCGUACAGGUAUUCAGAGAAAGAGAGGAGACAUUUUUUCACUCCCUUUCUUUUAUUUCUCUUGCUCAUAAUAUCAUCCGGGACAAUUCUUGAACCUGAUAUGACUUAAACUUACAAAGUAUGGUUCUGGUUUUACUCUGUUUAUGCAUCAGGUCACAUACUUCAAAUGUGGUGGAUUGUCACUUGGUGUUGGCCUGGAACAUCGUGUAGCAGAUGGCUUUUCUGGUCUCCACUUUGUAAAUACAUGGUCUGAUAUCGCUCGAGGUCUUGACCUUACAAUUCCACCAUUCAUCGACAGGACAUUACUUCGUGCCCGAGACCCACCACAGCCUGCAUUCGAUCACAUUGAAUACCAACCUGAUCCACCCAUUAAAACCGGUACAAAAGCUGUAGGUGAUGAGAGCGCAACGGUAUCCAUUUUUAGAUUGACACGGGAGCAGCUCAACAUCUUGAAAGCCAAGUCUAAGGAAGAUGGGAACACAAUCAACUAUACCACAUAUGAGAUGUUGGCAGGUCAUAUUUGGAGAUGCGCAUCCGUGGCACGUGAACUUCCUGAUGAUCAGGAGACCAAACUACAUAUUGCAGUUGAUGGAAGGUCCAGACUGCAACCCCCCCUCCCUCCUGGUUUCUUCGGCAACGUGGUUUUUUCAGGCGCACCAAUUGCUGCAGCAGGGGAUAUCAAAUCAAAACCAACAUGGUAUGCUGCAAGCCGUAUUCAUGAUGCUGUUGUGCGUAUGGACAACAAUUAUCUUAGAUCAGCGCUGGACUAUCUUGAACUUCAGCCUGACCUGUUACCCCAUGUUCGCGGAGCUCAUACUUUUAGGUGCCCGAGACUUGCAAUAACUAAUUGGUCUAGGCUGCCGAUCUAUGAUGCUGAUUUCGGUUGGGGUCGACCUACUUUCAUGGGGCCUGGUGGAAUUGGAUAUGAGGGGUUGGCUUUUGUGUUACCAAGUGCAACAAAUGAUGGAAGUUUAUCAGUGGUCAUUUCUCUGCAAUCUCAACGUAUGAAAUCAUUCUCCAAGUUGUUGUAUGAGAUAUAAGGAAAUGAAAUGCGUCGAAUGGGAGCAAUACGUUGAACAUACUUUGGGCUUCUGUGUGUGUCCUCCGAGUUCUGGGACUUUUCAUUGACUGUGGCCUAGCUGAUCGGAAAGCAGCUGUUUUUGAAAAGUUCAAGUGGUCUUUUGGUUAAUCUAUAUUAGAGUAUCUGUUUUAGAAACACCCUAGUACUGAAUAAGAUUGUCGGAGUAUCUGUAAGCUUUGUUUAUUGCUGUGGAGGACUUCUUUUUCGGAGUAUCUGUAGUUUACUGUGAUUCUUAAUAAGAUUUUCUUUCUCCAUGAAACAAAAAGAUACUGAAUCACUUUGGUUGCAUAAAGGUUAGUGCCUUUGGUAAACCUGCACUUCGGUUAUACUUUCAGAAAUUUUGGAUUAAUGCAAGAGCAUUUGUAGCGUUUUUAUUUCUCACUGUGAAAAAAGGAAGAGUAAAUAAUCAAGAGGUUCUUGUUCUGGAGACUUCAGUGUCAAGUCUGCCUAUUCGCUGAAUUAUGUAUGCUUGUAUAUUAAAUUUAUGUCCUAAAAUUUUAGGAAUGGAAGAAUAUUCUGCAAGACUAGAGAAUAAUCAACAUGAUGCAGGUAAAAUGAAUUUUAAUGGGAUUGAAAAGGAAAAUAAUGGGGAUGAAACUGAAAUAAUGACACUGUAAUGAGUGUUGAAGAAAAAGUACAAGACCAUCGAGUUGGAAUGAUUUUUGACAUUUUUGAUGAGGUGAUCGCAUAUUACAAACAAUAUGGGAGGCAAUCAGGUUUCCAGUGAUAAGGAGAUCAUCAAGAAACGGAGAUGAUGGAAAUUUGAAAUAUGUUAUUAUUUCUUGUGCCCGAGAAGGCAAUUCAAAAAGUAAGUCAAGUAAUUUUCUUAAACCUCGUCCAAGUAUAUAGAAUAAUUGCAAGGGUCAACGUAGGGCAGGUUUAUUGCACGUCUCUGCACCACCGUUCUUUUUGCGAUUUCUUUAUGUUUUGAAUAAAUUGCAGAGAAUCUUUGGGUAUUUCCAUACUCGGCUCCUAACCGGCCCAUUCCCAUACCUAAUUAUUUUCAUUUGUAAAACUUAAGAUACUAUAUCUCUAGUAAUUCCAACACAAGACAAGCCAAUUCAAAUGAUAAUUUCAUGGAGUGAAUCUCUUUAAAAUAAGGGCGAAGUAUUACUUUUUAGGAAUAGUAAAUCAAAUAAAUAAGCAUAAGUUAUUGGUUUCAAUCAUAUUAUUCAAUUUUAGACUUGUAUAUAAUCGCUUUGAUUCUCCAUAGGAACAUCUACGGAAUUUUUUGAUGACACAUGUCCCCUUAACACCGUAACAAUUGUCCACAACUCCAUCUUUAGGUCCAACACAAAGUUUGGUAGGCCAUGUGAACCUCCCAGCUUCAUAUGGUAUUUUAUCUCAAAAGAUACAUGAUUGAGUUAAGCGCAACUUGUCUGGUACAGAGCUGAUAUUAUCAUAAAGGAGAGGUCCCAUCUAAUAUUUGAUAUUAUCACAAAGGAGAGGUCCCAUCUAAUGUUCGAUAUUAUCAUAAAGGAGAGGUCCCCUCUAAUGUUUGGUUUGUUGUUCCAGGUUGUGUCAGUUAUUAAAAUUUGGAGACCCAUCGACCAAAAACAGUUUCAAACCACGUCCUAAAAGUGGAGCAGUUUGUGUGAUCUGAAAUUAAUCCUGGUAAAAUUUGGAGACCCAUCGACCAAAAACAGUUUCAAACCACGUCCUAAAAGUGGAGCAGUUUGUGUGAUCUGAAAUUAAUCCUGGGUGAAGACAUAGUGGAACAGUUUCAAACCACGAGCUAUUUUGUUUGAAGACAUCGUGGAACAGUUUGGGUCAGUGGCGGAGUCAGGAAUUUAUGUGUUGUGAGGCCAACAUAUAAACUGAAAGGACCCGCCCCGAAUUUCUCAAAACCCGAGGCGAACCCUUUGGAAUUCUUGACAUCACCCCGAUGUCAUGCCCGCUUACCAAAGACCGAGACUUCCUGCCGAAAUUUCGGCAGAGUCUCCCCUAUAAAUUGGACAUUUCCCAAAAUUACAACCUGCAUAAAAACGCAUUUAAUAUUCACAACUGGCAGCAUGCACAAUAUAAUUUCAUGCAAUUCACACAAACGGCCUUCGACCUUCCAAUAAUUCUCAACUACUACCAAACCCGCUAACCAAACAAUUCAUGCCUUAAACAAGGCAAACAAUUUAAAUAUAAAUUAUGACUAACAUUUAGUCUACGGCUGCACCUAAUAACCUUAGGCUGCCUACGUACCCUCCUUGAGGGAUCAAGCCACACGUAGUUCUUCCAUAAAACACAAUUCCACACAUAAGCGAUACCUUAUUUCAUUUCCCUGUAUUUCUCAUAAUCUCCCUAUACGCCGAUACAACCAACGCCACGUAUGGGGCCUGUCCGCACGCCGGAUAACCUACGCCACGUGGGACCUAACUUUCACUUGGUGGUACUUGUAGUGCAACCAAAAUCCGGGGAGGUACCUAAGGUAGUGCGUAUAGCACUCCAAACUGACAUUCUAGACUCUUUUGUACUCUUGUACAAACAUAUAUAAUUAUAUAUAAUAAUUCUAAUAUUGUGUAACCCUCCACAAUAGUCUAGCACCCGAUAAUCCCCCCUGGAAGGGUGAGAUUACUCUGGGAGACUCACGGUCAACCAAGGGUCAAACUACCCUAACCCUGGUCAAACAGACCUGCGGAGCCUACGACCUCCAAUUUCCGAUCCGAAAGUCCCUAUGGGUUUUACAAGGUAUAAGACACUCGUCCUACAAGUUUGGUUUAGAUAGGACGGUCGGAUCGGUCACGAUCGCACGAUCUGACGGUUAAUAUAAAAUAUAAACUUUAAAUUAUUAUUCGGAACAUCCGGGGCUCCGAUUCACAGUCCGUGAAUUCCUAUACGAUCCUAGAAUUACCUAGAUUAACAUAUAUUAAAUUUGAGACCAUUCAACGGUCCCAACCUAUCGAACCCGAAUAACGCACAAUAUACGAUCGUCCGUUCGAUAGUCAAACGACGUCCGAAUUGAGAUCCGCGAAAUUCUACGCACUCGUGACAACCUAAGGAUCUCAUCGAGACACAGUGCCACUUUUUCUACAGUGCCCACACGCCGCCGCACGCUCCGGCAGCACGUGGGUGCCCAAAGCGAUAAAGCUUCACAGGAAAAUCUCAACACCACGGCUCCAAACUCCUACCCUGGGUAUAACACCCUAUUUGGAGCCACUUUUGUUCUUGGACCUACCCCAAAAACUGACCGGAAGUGGCCGGAAUCGCGAUCCUAAAACCGGCCGAAUUUCAAUUCGAAAAUCGAAUUGGCUAUGCUAAGAAUCGAUCCAAUCCUACCCAACAGGCAGCUAGAGCAUGCAGAAGGGAUGAAUUUCCAUACCUUGAUUGCCAGAAUCGGUGGCCGGAGGAGGGAGAUCGACGGCGGCAAAGAUCGGACGACGCCGGCCGCUUCUUCUCCAUUUUCCGGCGAAACCACGGUGGCUGGAGGCGGGAGUCAGCUGGGGCUGGAAGAGGACAAUGCCCCGGUCAUUUUGGUACCGGCCUCGUCCACAGUCGUGGCCGGUGGCCGGAGUUACGAGGAGAGAGAGAGAGAGAGAGGGAGAAAAUCUGAUUUUUAUAAAAAAAUCUCAUUUCGAAAUAAUUACGAUUAUGCAACUGGGUUUCUUUUGACCAUAUCUCUCUCGUUACAACCCCGAUUCGAGCCCACUACGUGUCUAUGAACUCGUCUCAGUACGACCUAUCCAAAAAUACUAGUCACUGCCCCAAACUUUCUCCGAUUAAGAAUAUGACCAAAAUGCCCUUAUCUCAAGGGUAAAUUUGUAAUUUCCCUUAAAUAAUUAAAUAAUUUAAAUAAGGGUUAAAUUUGGAGUCAGAGUUUUACAUAAACCAAACAAGACAUUAACAAAUUUCAAUUUUUCAACCUUAACAAUGUUUGGAAAAAUUAAAGGCAAAAAAUAAUUGUUUAUUCAAUUAGGUAUCAAAAUAACACUCGUCGUUCUUUCAUAUCUCUAAAAUCAUCUAUGAUUGAGUCAAUGCUAAACUUUUCUGCAAUUUUCCUUUUGAUGCACAUAAUCAAAGAGUCUGUGAGAAAUUCGUCUUCCAUCUUGUUACGAAGCCUAGUUUUUACUAUACACAUAGCAGAAAAUGAUCGCUCUGCAGUUGCUGUGGAAACAGGAAGAGUAAGCACAAGCACAACCACUCUAUAAACAAGUGGAUAUGUCGUUGAUCUUCUAGUCAUUACCAUCCAUUGAGAUAGAUCAUAUUGUUGACAAGUUUUUGAACUUUGGAAUUCUAACGACGUCACUCUCAAAAUGUUGAAGUUGUCUUCUCAAACCUAUCUUCUCAUGAUCUUCAAAGUUUUGCGGAUAGAACUUAUCUACUAAUUGAAAAAUAUCAUCAAUACUAAAAGAUUUAUUCACUUCACGAGGAUCCAAAGCCGACCCCAAAAUAAGCGGCUCUAUUGUUUGAUCACUAAAUCUGCUAUUUAAUUCUUGAAGUUGAGAAUCUAUUGCAGCAUAAAAAAAUAUCUAUCAUGUAAUCAUGCUUAACCGUAAAAUCAUCUUCUUGAUGGCUUGCUCGACCUCGUCUUGCAACAUAGCGAGCAUUCAUAUCUAGGAUAUCUAUGAUCUGUGCUUCACAAAAAGAAUUCACCUUGGUAAGCAAAGAAUCCCAUCUAUCAUCUCUUAAUUCUUGGAUGAGUGCUUUAGUGGAAGAAGCAAGAUUCAUGGCAUUUAUGAUGUCUUGGGAUUGACAUUGCAAAGCUUGACAAAGAUCAUUAGUGAUCUCCAUAAGUUCUUUCAUAAGAUGUAAGAUAAAGACAAAUUCAUAUGAAGUCAUUGCCUCAUAAGCCUCAUCAGCAUCUCCUCGUUGAGCAUAAGUAGUUCCGUUAUCAAUUAUAUUAAUUAGAACUGUGCAUGUUGCACUAAACAUAUUUACCAAGCUAGUAAUUGAUUUCAAAUGUGAGAACCCCAACAAGUAUCACCAGCACGUUGUAAGGUGCCAAUUUGGUUAAUUCCUUUCCCAGUCUUGAGCUCAUCAAUUGCAAUCAUGUGCUCAAUUUCAGCAGCUUGAGCAUUUUUUAGUUCAUCAUUAUGCUUGCAUGAAGCACCAACAAUAUUGACAAUAGAUGUAACACCCCGACUCCAAAUUUAAUUCCUAUUUUAAAUUAUUUAAGUGAAUUUACGAAUUUACCCUUAGGGUAGGGGUAAAUUGGUCAUUUUCUUACCCGGAAAGUGUUUGGGGCAGUGACUGGUAUUUUUGGAUAGGUGGUACUGAGAUGAAUUCGUAGACACGCGGUAGGCUUGAAUCGGAGUUGUAACGAAAAAGUUACGAGCAAAACAUCGACAAUGGCAAAAUCGUAAAUAUUUCAAAAUCUGGUUUUAAAAUAUCUGACUUCUCUCUCUCUCUCUCUCUCUCUCUCUCUCUCUCUCUCUCUCUCUCUCUCUCUCCCGCGGCUGAACCCCUCUCCCCCGUUUUGAUUUUUCGCCAGAAUUUCAGAUGGCGAGAACUUCGCCGUCCGACCUCCAUUUCAGGCGCCGUUUCUUGCAAAAGCUUCCUCUCUUCCUCCUCUACCCAGCCCACCCCUUUUCUCCGAUCGAAAACCCGGCGAACGGCGGUGGCAACGACGGGAAAAACAGCCGAAACUGCCGACAUCACAGGCGACGUUUCCGGCCGUCGCGAGCUGCACCGUCACUUGGAACAGAUAGCUCUCCUCCCCUUCUAGCUAUUUCCUAGGUUGUGCGAUGACAAUGUCGACGGUGGUCACCGGAUCGAAGCCCUGAAGUUCCGGGUUAAACCGUGAGUUUCCGACGCCGAUUCCGGCCAAUUGCCGUCCGAAUUGGACUUGGGUGUAGUUGAAUAAAGUGUUCCACUCGUCGAGUAGAACCUGUAGCCGGAAGGUGGCUUGUAGUUUGGAGAUUUUCCGGCGAAGCUUUAUCGCUUUGGACACCCGCGCGCUGCUGGCGCAUGUGGCGGCGCGUGGGCACUGUAGCAAAGGGACAUAUUUGUCCCAAUACGAUCUCCUGGUUGUCACGAGCACGUAGAAUUUCGCGGAUCUCAAUUCGGACAUCGUUUGACUAUCAAACGGAUUUUCGCAUAUUGUGCGUUAUCCGGGUUUGAUAGGUUCCAACCGUUAUAUCCUUUCCGAAUUAAAAUAUGUUGUUCUAGGUAUUCCUAGGAUCAUAUAGGAAUUCACGGAUCAUGAAUCAGAACCCCGGAUGUUCCGGUUCAAUAACUUAAAGUUUGCGUUUUUUUAAUAACCGUCCGAUCGUGCGAUUGUAAGCGAUCUAACCGUCCGUUUCGGACUAAACUUGCGAGACGGGUAUCUUAGACUUUGUGAAACCUUUAGGGACUUUCGGAUUGUAAAACGGAGGUCGUGGGUCCCGUGGGCCCGGUUGACCCAAAUUGGGAAGUUUGAUCGCCGGUUGACCGAGUGUCUCCCGAAGUUGUUCCAUCGUCCAAAUCGGGUAGUAGGACCUUAGAAAGUCUCAUUCCUAGUACACUUACUAGAAACUUGGGAAAUUAGGAUACUUAAUUUAAAGUACUCGUUCUAAACGUUUCGUAUUAAUCUCGUAUACGUAUUCUGAAUUAGGUACUCCGACUACGCAUACACAGGAGGCGGGACCCUCUCAGGGUCAAGCAGCGUGGGACUACUUGUGAGUGGACUUUGUUUUCAAAGCUUAUGCAUGGUUUUAUUGAUGAAAGAUUUAUGCAUAACGUUUUAAAUAAUUUAACGAAUAUAUUAUAUUCAUGAGUUGAAUUUGAUGUUUGUAUAGUGUUUUGGCAUAGUUGGGUAUUGAAAGUAUAUUUUAUAUAUGGAUUUUGGGAAAUAUUAUGCAUGAUGUUUUAAAUGGUAUUUUGAAUAUAUUAUUUAUGAAAUUGUUGAAAGUGAUAUUUUUAUGAGGCAUUGAAAAUAUAUUUUGGGUUUUGAUAUAUUGGAGUAUCUUGAAUACGAAUAUUUGGAUUUUGAGAAUUUCUAUAUAUAUAUUUGGCUAUGUGUGAGGUACUUGGGUUGUUGAGAUGAGAUUGUGGAAAGUGGUGAGUAUAGAAUGUCAGUUUGGUGUGCUGUAAGCACUACCCUAUGUACCUCCCUGGAUGUGGAACUUGGAUACAGAGACUUGAGAUACUUGGAAUUGUCGGAACCCGGGGCAUCCUUGACGGGAUGUUGCUGUAGACCCUUAAUUGGGUAGUCUGCGCGCGUAGGACUGAUCACAGACGUAUGGGUUUUGAGGUUAUCGACGGUACGUUCUGGCUGAGAGUUGGUCCCCCAGUUGGACGGCUCGUUCCCUAGUCACAUGGUGGAUUGAGGACUCAUCACGAGGACUCUGCCAGGGUGACUAGUCAAACAAUCCCCCGGUUGGAUUGUUUCCCCGGUACAACUAGGUGAUGGUUAUAUUUAUACUAUAUAUAUAUAUAUAUAUAUCUCUUAUAUUAUAUAUUUAUAUCUAUUCAUUCAUUCUUGUUUCUCGGUGUGGAUACUUCCUUCCCGGUCGUGCCAAUGGGUACGCUUUCGAGAGUUUACUUGUGUGAUUUAUAAGUUUUGGAUGGUGGGCUUUGUAAAGCGUUCGUUUUGGAUUUCGGACUUGGCAUCUGGUAUCGAUUUGUUUUGAUAUAUUAUAUAUAUACAUAUAUACGUGAGUAUGACGGUUUUGAGAUGCAUGGGAUUUCUUGCAUGGUUUUCUAGACGGUGGGGUUAUAUUACGUUGGUUUACAUUGAACUGAAUUUAUUUUUGUCCACUCACAAUUUUCUGUUUUGCGCCCCCCAGCCAGUAGUUGACUGAGCUCCGCAACAGAGCCGGAUCGUGAGCUUCCGAGCCUUGAGCCUUUGUAGGACUCUUUCUUCCUGUUAUUUCCUUUGCACUUUGUUUUGUUGAAAUUGAAGUUCUUAGACAUGCUCUGUUAUCGCCCCUGUUAGGGUUUGAAUUGUGAGGCCGGAGGCCAUUUUUGUUGUAAACUGUUUAUUCGCUUCAAAGCAUGCUGCUGGUUGGGAUUAUUCUGUAUUUUUAUGCAGGUUGAAUUUUGUUAGUUUGUUCAAUUCAUAAGGGAGACUCUGCCAAAAUUUUGGUAGAGAGUCUCGGUUUCAAGUAAGUGGGCCCGGCAUCGGGAUGAUGUCGGAACAAAGACGGGGUCCGCUCCGGUUUCCGGGGAAAUUCCGGGGCGGGUUCUGUCAAUAGAAGUCAAUUUAGUGAAAAAGUGGUGAACAUGAAUAACUUCUCUUGAUGAUGCAAUUAAUGCCAAUUGUAAUCGAUGUGCUAAACAAUGAACAUAGUAAGCAUAUGAGCAAUCAUUCAAAAUCAAAGCUUGUAACCCAUUCCAUUCACCUCGCAUGUUACUUGCACCAUCGUAUCCUUGUCCUCUAAUAUUUUGAAAAUUUAGUGAAUUAUGAGACAAUAUAGAGUAGAUACCUUUUUUCAAAGUUAAUGCCUUAGUGUCUGACACAUGAACAAGCCCAAAAAAAGGCUCCUGAAUAAGACCUUCUUUGUCAACAAAUCACUACACUAUAGCCAUUUGCUCUCUCUUUGGAUUCAUCACGCGCUUCAUCAACAAUUAUACAAAACUUUGAUUCCCUAAUUUCUUCACAGAUUGCUUUCUUCACUUUAGUUAAAAAAACAUGUAAAAUUUCUUUUUGGAUCUGUGGUGAUGUGUAAGGGGCAUUUUUGGGAGCUUUAUCUAAGAUAACUCCAACAACUUUUUCAUUAUAUGCAGGCAAUAUUUCUAACAUUUGAAGAAAAUUUCCACGAUUGAUUGAAUUCUUUUUUCAUCAUGGCCUCUAAAAGCACAUCCUUGGAAUGCAAGCCACGUGACUGCUUCAAUUGUUGCCUUAAGUCAUAGUCGAUUGUCUGCAAUUUGUUGGGAAGAAUAAUUCUCAACGACUUUCUGUAUAUGCUGGGAUUGAUUCAUCAAAUUCAAACAUGAUAUUUCAACAAUCUUAUGAAGGGAGUUAGGAUCUUUCCCCUUGUGAUUUAGAAAAGAACAAUUUUUUCCGGCUCUAACUUUCUUUCAACUUUGAAAUCCCUCAAGAGUGAAAGCAUUUUUCCCAUAAUGUCCAAAUGGUUUAUUAAAAAGAUAGCAUGGUAGACAAAAAGCUACAUCUUUCACAGGUGAAUAUUCUAACCACGAAGGAAAUAGUUUGAACCAUGAACUUUGAAAGCUACGCUGAUGAGUUACUGGUUGGAUACUUGGAAAGUAUAGGUUGGUAUGGACUAACGUUAAUGUAAGCUCGUCGAAUUUCGUCACGUUGAUUAACAGGAUAAUUCCAUAUUUGUGGACAUAGCCCUGGUCGAGCUCUAAAGUACUAAUAUCAACUUCAUUGUCAGUAGUCUCAAUUCUUGGAGAUCCAGAAUGAUUUUCAUAUGCUACUGUCUCAAUAUUAGAAUCAGGUACAGAUGAGGUAACUUCAAUAUGUUUUCUUUUGAAAAAUCCAUCAAUUUUAGGUUGUUUCUUCAUCUACAAUCCAAUUGCAAAUUUUAUUAAGCACAUGAUAAAUUAUACCACCAAAAAAAAAAAAAAAAUCAUAUUCUAUGCAUAGAACAUAUAAGAUACGAAACAUAUAAUUAUAACAAUGAAAACUUCAAUUUUCACUCAUAUCGCAAGACAAAGCUUGUCAUUUGGGUUCUGGGUUUUAUGUUGCUGAUGAUGAUUCAAUGCAUACGACGACUUCCACGACCUUGUUUGUUGAGUCGGUGAGGGGUGUUGUAAAACUAAAAGCUGAGUUUGCUGCAGAAUGAGUAAAAGGAAUGUGAUACUGAUUCAUUGACUUGAAGUCUAAUUAAAUACAAAUGCAAAUAACAGAAAGCUAGAAAAUAAAGCAACCUCUAAUCCCACGACUAACAACUCCUAAUAAUCUGGGAUUCUCCUAAGGAAUAGGUAAAAGCAACAGACUUCCUAACAAAUAGGAAUUUAUUGAAAAACAAACGACUAAAUAUCUUAACACCCUCCUUUAAACUGAAUGCCAUCUAUGCAAUCAGUUUAAAAAGGAACUUGAACAAACUCCAAGUAAUCCACGCAACUUCUCAAAUGCUUCCAGCUUUAGAGGUUUGGUUAGGAUAUCUGCAACUUGGUCUUCACUUCGACAAUAAACCAAAUCAAUGGUUUUUUUAGUUACAAGAUCAUGAAGAAAAUGAUACCUCACAUCUAUAUGCUUGCUUCUUCCAUGUAAAACUGGGUUCCUGGAGAGUUUAAUAGUUGAACUAUUAUCACAAUGAAUCACAGUAGGCCCAUGUUGAUGAAACUGUAGCUCUUCAAGAAUCCUUCUCAACCAAAUUGCUUGACAUGCAGAGGUUGCUGCAGAUACGAACUCUGCUUCAGUUGUUGACAAAGUUACAACCUGUUGCUUCUUUGAUGCCCAUGAUAUGGCACCUGAACCCAUCAUAAACACAUGCCCUGUUGUACUCAGCCUAUCAUCCAAAUUACCAGCAUAAUCACUGUCAGUGAAACCAAUCAAAAUAGGUCCUCCAUUUUUCUUGUAGAAAAUACCAAAAUCUGUUGUUUCUUUCAAGUAACAAAACACUCUUUUAGCAGCUCUGAGAUGCAGCUUCAUUGGUCUUUCCAUAUACCUGCUAAUUAGACACACUGCAUACAUAAUAUCAGGCCGAGUGGUUGUCAAGUACAUUAAACUUCCAACAAUUUGUUUGAAGUAAGUACUAUCAACCCUCUCUCCAUCAAGAUCACUUGAGAGCUUCAAUCCCGGUUUAGUUGGAGUCCCAACUGGAUUACAAUUCUCCAUGUGAAACCUCUCCAAAACCUCUUGAGCAUAUUUCUUUUGCCCAAUAAAAAAUCCAAUAGCUGUUUGUACUACUUCUAUACCAAGAUAAUAUUUCAUCUUCCCCAAAUCAGUCAUGUCAAAAUCAGCCAUCAUAGAAUUCUUAAAAUCAACAAACAUAGCCUCAUCAUUGCCCGUAAAAAUAAGAUCAUCAACAUAUAGGCAAACUAUCAGGAUUUUACCUUCUGCUCCAGACUUGAUGAAUAGAGUGUGCUCAUAUGGACACUUGUUGAAACCUGCCUUUUCAAAGUAUGCUUCUAUUCAAUUGUACCAGGCAUGAGGUGCUUAUUUCAGGCCAUAUAAAGCCUUAUUUAAUUUGUAAACCUUAUGUUCAUUACCUUUUAUCACAUAACCAAGAGCCAGCUCAAUGUAGACUUGCUCAAGUAGUUAACCACUAAGGAAGGCCGAUUUCACAUAAAGCUGGAAGAUAGGCCAUGAGUUUUGUGCUGCUAAUGAGACUACCAACCGAAUUGUAUCCUGUCUUGCAACAGGAGCAAAAACCUCUUGAUAAUAAACUCCAUGCUCUUGAUUAUAGCCUUUCACAACCAGCCUUGCUUUGAACUUGUCAAUUUCUCCUUUUUCAUUCAGCUUCGUCUUAUAAACCCACUUUACACCAAUGGUUUUUUGCCCUUCAGGAAGAUUGGUUAGCUCCCAAGUCUCAUUUUUCUCUAUAGCUUGAAUCUCUGCAUCCAUGGCUUUUUUUCACUUUUCUUCUUUCACUGCUUCUGCAAACAAUAUAGGAUCAGAGCCUGCAAAUAAAGCGAAAUGAGGCGUAGUAUCCUCAUCAGAUAAUUCAUCUCCACUCACAUAAUCUAUCAUCCAAGAUGGUCUUUUUCUUUGUCGUUGUGGUUCUAAGCUAGUUGCCUGAACUUCAUUUGGAAUUGAAACUCUUGCUGAAGAACUUGGUGAAACUUCUCCAAGGGACUGACCAGGAAGUUGCAAUUGUGAUUCAGACCCCUGACUUUCAAGAAGAGGUUGUAGUGGUUGUAUAAUUUCCCCGCCAGCUUCCUCAUGAUCAAUUAAAAUUUGCUGUUGUUCAGUGCUACUCCAAUCCCAUGUGUUUUCUUCAUCAAACAGAACAUCUCGACUUAUUAUUAUUUUCUUGGUAACGGGAUUAUAUAACAUGUACGUUUUGGAUUCUUCACUAACCCCAAUAAAGACACACUUCACACUUUUAUCAUCAAGCUUUGUUCUCUUUUCAUCUGGGACAUGCGCAUAUGCUAUACACCCGAAAAUUCUGAAGUGAUCAACUGAUGGCCUGACUUCACUCCAAGCUUCUUGUGGUGUUAUGUUUUUUUACAGCAAGGGUAGCGCUUUGGUUGAGUACAUGAACACUCCAAUUGACUGCUUCUGGCUAGAAAGUCUUCGGAAUACAUUUUUUUACCAACAUGCUUCGCACCAUGUUCAUAAUCAUCUGAUUCCUUCUUUCUGCCAUGCCGUUUUGCCUUGGUGUGUAUGCAGCAGUAAGUUGCCUCCGUAUUCCAUGCAAUUCACAAAAACUUGCAAAGUUAUGUGAGUUAAAUUCACCACCACGAUCUGUGCGAAGGAUCUGAAUGUACUUGCCAGAUUCUUUUUCAACUCGAGCCUUAAAGCUUUUAAAAACAACAAAAGCUUCAGAUUUCUCUUGCAAGAAAUAAAUCCAUGUUUUUCGACUAUAAUCAUCAAUGAAGGUGAUGAAAUACCUUUUGUUUCCAUUCGAUGUUGGAUUGAUUGGACCACAGAUGUCUGAAUGAACCAACUGUAGGAUUUGCUCAGCUCUCCAUGCUUUUCCUUGUGGGAAAGAAUCACGAUGUUGUUUACCAACAAUGCAAUCUUCACACAUUUCUGUGGGACAAUUAAUCUUAGGCAAUCCUUCCACCAUGUUCUUCUCAUGUAGGGUUUUCAAGCCUUUGAAGCUCAAAUGACCAUAACGAAGAUGCCACAGCCAUGUUGGAUCUUGCACUCUUGUUGAGAGACACUUUUGGGCAUCAUACUGAAUGUGCAGAGGGAACAUACGAUUUGCUGUCAUUUUUGCUUCUGCUAUGAGGCCCUUCUCUGGAUGAUGAAUUUGACACCGUCUUUGUUGGAUGAUGAUGAUAUAACCCCUCUCUUGCAGUUGGCCCAUACUGAUGAGAUUGCUUUUCAAAUCUGGGAUAUAAAACACACUAGAAAUUGUCUGCACAUUGUCCUUUUUCAUAUGGAAUUUGAUAUCCCCUUUUCCCAUGACAGAAAUGCAAGAGUUGUUCCCAAGCUUCACAGUUUCUCUGAAUGUUUCAUCCAAAUCAUAAAAUAAAGACUUGUUUCCACACAUGUGAUUGCUGCAACCUGAAUCUAAAUACCAAGUAUCACGUGAUGAAAUCUCCUUCUUGUCGAUGUAAACCAUCAAGAGUAUUUCUCCUUCAGUCUCAGCGAAAUUUACCUUGGUUUCCUUCUCAUUGUCAGGGCAUUCAUACUGAUAGUGUCCAAGCUUGUGACAGUGAUAACAUCCCACACUCGCCUUGUCAAAUUGUGCUCCUUGAUUGUAAGAAAGUUGGCGUCCUCUACCUCUGCUGCUUCCUCGAAAUCCUCCACAUCCUCUACCUCUUCCUGAAGAAGUAGUUCCUUCAUAAGUACUGACCUUCAAGGCUUGCUCCUCCACAACAUAGCUGGUCAUCCUCUGCUCAUGAACUAACAGUGAGCUUUGCAACACAUCAAUCGAAAGACUAUCAAUGUCAUCGAUUCUUCAAUGGAACACACCACAUAGUCAAAUUUGCGUGUCAUUGAGCGAAGGAUUUUCUCAAUGACUGCAACAUCUUUCAAAUUUUCUCCAUGGAUGCGCAUCUCAAUGUUCUUGCAAAGUAGUCAUUUACUGACUCUCCUUCCUUCAUGUGAAGAAUUUCAAACUCUUUGCAAAGAGCUUGGAGUUGUGCACGUUUCACCCAUGCAUGCAGUGCCUUGGUACUUCGUCUUCAUUGAAUCCCAGAUGUAUUUAGCAGUGUCCUUCUUCAGGAUGGUUUCCAAAAUGGCACGAUCUAUCGCUUGAAACAAAUAAUUCUUUGUCUUCAAAUCCUUCAAUCUCUGAUCCUCCAACGUCUUUCUCUGCGCUUCUGUCAAAACAGUCUCACUAGUGUGCACAUCGAUGCCGGUUUCCACAAGAGUCCAGUACUCCUUGGAUCGCAGAAAAUUUUCCAUCAACAUACUCCAAUGAUCAUCUUGACCAUCAAAGCGUGGAAUCGCAGGUUGCACAAAGCUGUUUUCAGAAGCCAUUGAAUAUCUUGCUGCGGCAAGAAUGAAAGCUGCUGCUUUUCCAAAUCAGAUCCUAGUGGGGGGCUCUGAUACCAAUUGUUGUAAAACUAAAAGCUAAGUUUGCUACAGAAUGAGUAAAAGGAAUGUGAUACUGAUUCAUUGACUUGAAGUCUAAUUAAAUACAAAUGCAAAUAACAGAAAGCUAGAAAAUAAAGCAACCUCUAAUCCCACGACUAACUACUCCUAAUAAUCUGGGAUUCUCCUAAGGAAUAGGUAAAAGCAACAGACUUCCUAACAAAUAGAAAUUUAUUGAAAACAAACGACUAAAUAUCUUAACAAGGGGUGUUUCCGAUUCCGCUUCCAAGAAAGGUGAUGCCUCUAUGAUUUGUGAUUCGAUUUCUGGCUCUCUUGUCUCUAAUGCUGCUUUAGUGAAAGGUGAAAUUGACAUAGCCAUUGUUGAGUCAAAGAAUGUUGUCUCGGUGUUUCAGAGUAUCAACCCGCCUCAAUUCCAUGCCUUUCCAUCUCUGGUAGGUGAACAAGUUGAAGAUUCGCUGGUAAGUGCAGUGGGUCUUGCUAUGACUCCACAGUCUGCUAUUGGCGUGAGUCGUAUUUCGGCUUUGCACAAGACUCAAUUUUGGGUGGGCUUUGAACCCAUUACUGCACAAACUCUAGUAUCAUCCUAUCAGAGUUCUUCCAAGAUCGCAGAAAUCAAGAUUCCUGCUCAAUAUUGGGUCCUAGAGUCGAGCGCCAUCUCUGCACUCUAACUGUUUUGGUCUACAACUACCAGAAUAAUAGUCUUGCACAAAAUCUUAUUGGUACUUACAUAGCUUUGUUCUUGAAUUGAAAUUCCUUGCUGGUGUUUACGAGUGAGUGAGUUAAUGUGUGUUCAUGUGAAAUUUGCGAAUGUGUUAUCUAAUAUGCUUGGGUACGACAAAGGUGAAAUUCUCAUGCAAAUAGUUUUCAGGAAUAAACAUAAGUAUAUAGUUCUGUAUUCUUUCCUUAUAUAUUAUGAGUUGUGCGAUUUCGCUUAUCUUAGAAUUGAUUCAGUCCUUUUCAUGAAUGAGCUCUUAGUAUUAAUUAUUAUGUUCCAUGUUUGAAUAAUGCUCUCUCUUCUUUCUCCAUUUAAAUCUUCCUUUGGAUGUCUGUCUUUGUUGAUGUAUCUUAAUCCAAGCAUUUACUGUCUUGUAAUUAUAUCUAUAUUUCUGGUUUAGAGGUUAUUUGGCACCAAAGUACGCAAUACUGAGGGCAAUUGACAAGGAAAGCAGAUAUUUAUACCUUUGGGGUGCUCCUUGUGAAAAUAGUCAGUGGAAGAUGUAAUACAAAUACACGACUACCAAUUGACGAACAGUAUCUGCUUGAAAGGGAAUUAAUUUCAGAUUUAUCUGUCCUUACAAGCUUUUUCUUUCAAUUUGUUUAAAUGAAAAACAUUAGAUGGCAAUUGCAUGUGUCAUGUGAUUUUGGUAGAUGCAGUUUUGCUUUCAUAUUUCCUGAUCACAGUAAUUUGGGUACUGCUAAACUCCUGUUGGUAUUUAAAAGAAAAAAAAAUUGGUCUUUGAUAUGCUGCACAUAAACUGAUAAGGCUUCUGAAGUUUGCAACCUUGUUUCCCAUCAAUUCGUUUGUUGCUGGACAAUUUUGUACAGAUGUUGUUUUUACAAAUUUUUGUGUGUGUGUGAGUUGUGUGUUCUAACAGCUUCCUUCAUAGCCAUGUUGGCUUGUAUUACCAAAGAGCAGGUGCAAGGCAUGGUGAUGAGGGAAAAGGCUGAAUUUUUAUUGAAAUGCUUGUAGUAACUAGUUGUUUGAGUCAUUGAUUCAUUUAUGUCAUAAUUCCUAUUUUAUUUGAGUAUAUAAAAAAACAUGUAAGAAGAUAUUACAAUUAAUCUAAAGCUAUUAAAUUGUAAUAUUGCAAGUUAAAAUGCAGUUGAAUUCAAUAAAUGUAAAAAUAGUUCAACAACCAUUUUGAAUGCUCUGAAACACAAGAAAUAAUACAAAGGGGCUAUCUUUAUCAGACAAAGAAAAGCACGUGGUAAAGCAGUUUCAAUAAAUGAGGGGCUCUUCUGUUUCUAUUCUGUCACAGAUUUUUUCAUCUUCUUCUUCCUCCCUCUCUUAUUCAUCUAUUUCUUAUUGUAUGGUAGUCCAAAAAGAACAAAAUCAUACCAGCCAUUUUUACAAAGGGAAUAAAUAAGCUGGAGCUGUGGAGGUGGAGGGGCAAGCUGCGAAGUCGUCGAACCCAGAUCCCGUAGGCUCCGUCUCAGUAUUCUCGCAACCUCCAUCUCAGUACCUUCGCAGCCACAAGUUAAUCACCAAAACCGAGAAAACCAAACCGUUUGACCGGUUAACCGGAGUUGGUGGUUCGGCUCCGGUGCCAGAAAUCUCUCCACCGAAAGCUACGGUUCGGCGUACGGUUUUGGGUAAAACCCAAACCAAACCAAACCGUGCUCAGCCCUAGGCAGGGAGUUGCAAAAGAUGGCGGUCAACGUGAGAGUGAGGGAGUCAAUGGUAGUGAAGCCAGAGGAGGAAACGCCAAAACGGGCACUGUGGAUAUCGGACUUGGAUGUCGUGAUUUCGAGAACUCACGUUGGAAGUGUCUACUUCUACAGGAGGCCAAAUGUCAAAACGGCGCGCAUCAUCUUCAAAACAACUGUGUUUUGGAUUCGGAGGUGUUCAAGUGCUCCCUUGCCAAGGCCCUCGUGCCCUUCUACCCCGUGGCCGGCCGCCUUAAGCUGAAUGAUGAGGGACGUAUCGAGAUCGAUUGCAAUGCAGAGGGAGUGCUGUUUCUUGUGGCGGAGACUGACUCGGUCCUCGAUGAUUUCGGGGACUUUGCGCCGACUCUUGAGUUCCGGAAGCUCAUUCCUGCCGUUGAUUAUUCCGCUGGGAUAUCCUCUUAUCCCCUCUUGGUCUUACAGGUAUUCAGAGAAAGAGAGGAGACAAUUUUUCACUCCCUAAUUUCUGUCGCACGAGAGUUGAAAUAUUUUUACCAUUUUCGUUUUGAAUGUACAUUAUUAGAAAAAAAAAAAAUAGGUACAUUAUUUUGUGAGAAAAAAUAGGCUCAUUUAAAAAAAUUUGUUUUCAUAAAACAAACAAUAAAAAGAUAAUCAAAUUAUUUUUCAUAAAACAAGUAAUAAAGAAAUAAAAUAGGUACAAUAUUUGGAGAAAAAAUAGGUUCAUUAAAAAAAUGUUUUUAAAAAAAAACAAUAAAUAGAUUAUCAAAUUAUUUUUCCACAUAAUUAGAAUGUACACUAUUAUUCAUAAAACUAUAAUAAUAAUAAAAAGAAUACUUGUCGUAUAAUUCAUAAAAAGAAAACAACAUUAAUUCCUAAAUUUAAUAUUGAAUUUAAAUUAUUAAUACUUUAAAUAGAUUACUAGUCGUAAUUCAUAGGAAGAAAACACCAUUAAUUCAAAAAUAGAUUACUAAUACUUUAAUGUGGAAUUUAAUAUUUAAUUUCAAAUAAGUUUCUAAAUUAGUUCCUACAUCCAUUACAACUAUUUAGAGGUAUUUCCAAAUUCAACGGGUGUCAUUAGUUAUACCCCCCAUAACACAUUAACUUAUAAAUAGAGGUAGUUUUGGAAUCCGAAAAAUAUAAUAAAUAAGAUUUUAAGCUAUAUUAGGUAACUUGCUUAGUUGGAUCCUAGUCAUUGGGUAUUAUUUGAAAAAAUUAGGUAUUUUAAAUAGAAAACUAAAGGAAAUGGUUGUAGGUGAUUUUAAAUGAAUUUUAUGGGUCUAAGCUCAAUUUACUAAUCGUAUAUCUAUUUUGAAGUUUCUAAUUGUCACCUACACUAGUAAAAAACAAACCCUUGCGCGACCAAAUUUUGCGCGACGAAAAACUAUUCUUCGCUCAAAGUCACUUUGCACGACGAAACUCAAAACUUCGUCGCUCAAAGUCUUCCACGACCAAAUUUUGCGCGACGAAAAACAAGUCGUCGCGCAAAGUCACUUCGCUCCACAAACUUUUGCGCGACGACAAUACAUCGUCGCUCAAAGUAUUGCGCGACCAAAUUUUGCGCGACGAAAAAAAAUUCGUCGAGCAAAGUAACUUUGCGUGACAAACUUUUGCGCGACAACAAUACAUCGUCGCUUGAAGUGACUUUGCGCGACGAAACAAUAAACUUCGUCGCGCAAAGUCCUUAUAAAAAUAAAAUAUAUAUUUUUUUAAAUCUUUGCAUGACGUAAUCCAAACAUUUCGUCGCCUAAACCAAUUUAUUUUUGUUUUUUAUUUUGUAUGCAUAACACUUAAGAAAUUAAACAGUAUAUAUAUUUAUUAAGUAGCUUUAAAUUUAUUAUUUUAGAUCGGAUCGGAUUUUUGUUAGAAAAAUAUAUUAUUGUUGUUCAGAUUGGGUUUUUGUUAGAAAAUAUAUAUUUUAAAUUGACAAUCGAAUUAGUUCAUUGUAUUCAUAUAGGGUCAAGGAGUGUAGCUGUAAAAAAUCAUCAAAAUCGGAGUUAAAAUAACCGUUAAAUCGUGAUUUUUCAUUAUAACCGUCGAAAAGUUUUGUCUCAUUACUUGAUCUCUGAAUGUUUAUUUUUUUCGAUUUUUGGCGUAUAUGAUCUCGAAGUAUAAACAAACAAGUUUGACGGUUGGAUCGUUGAAACUAGUUUUGGUGAAUGCAUAUGCCAUCAAAACAAUAUAUUCACUAACAAUUAAGAGUUUAUUUAUAUGUUCGUUAAAUAUAACAUAAGAUUUUGUGGUAUCCACUAGUGUAAAUAUUUUAUAUUGAAGAUCAAAUUCAGUCAUUGUAUUCAUAUAGGGUCAAGGAGUGUAGCUGUAAAAAAUCAUCAAAAUCGGAGUUAAAAUAACCAUUAAAUCAUAUGAUUUUUCAUUUAUAACCGUAAAAAAGUUUUGUCCCUUUACUUGAUCUCUGAAUGUUUAUUUUUUCCGAUUUUUGGCAUAUGUGAUCUCAAAGUAUAAACAAACAAAUUUGACGGUUGGAUCGUUGAAACUAGUUUCGUAGAAUGUGUAUGCCAUCAAAAUAAUAUAUUCACUAACAAUUAAGAGUUUUUUUUAUACUUUCGUUAAAUAUAACAUAAGAUUUUGUGGUAUCCACUAGUGUAAAUAUUUUAAAUUGAAGAUCAAAUUCAGUCAUUGUAUUCAUAUAUGGUCAAGGAAUGUAGCUGUAAAAAAAACCAUCAAAAUCGGAGUUAAAAUAACCGUUAAAUCGUAAUUUUUCAUUUAUAACCAUCGAAAAGUUUUGUCCCGUUACUAGAUCUCUGAAUGUUUGUUUUUUACGAUUUUUGGGGUAUACGAUCUUGAAGUAUAUACAAACAAGUCUGAUGGUUGGAUCGUUGAAUGGUGUGUGUAUAUAUAUUUAUUUAUUAAGUAGCUUUAAAUUUAUUUAUUUUGUACGUAUAACACUUAAGAAAUUGAAUAGUAUAUAUAUUUAUUAAGCAGCUUUAACCUCACUUAUAUUUUAAAUUGUAAAAUAAAAUAUUUUUAUUUUUAUUAUUCAUAACAAUUAUUUUUAUAAAUAUUGUGCUACGAACCAAUUUUUCGUCUCUCAAAAGUUUGCGCGACCAACAGUUUGUCGCACAAAACUCCAAAAAUUUGGACGGGUAUCAAAAAUGGGACGCAGGAUUUUUUUUUUUUUUUUUUUUAAAUUUAGACUUUGCGCAACCAAUAUUUUUUGUCGCUCUAAACUUUGCGCGACCAAUAUAUAUUUUUCGUCUUGCAAAAAUUUGGGCGGGUACCAAAAAUCGGACGCGGGAAUUUUUUUAGACUUUGCGCGACCAAUAUGUAUUUUUCGUCGCGCAAAAAUUUAAAAAUUUUGGUGGGUACCAAAAAUGGGAUGCGGGGAUUUUUAUUUUUUUUAAAUAAUUUUUUUAGACUUUGCGCGACCAAUAUGUAUUUUUCGUCGCGCAAAAAUUUAAAAAUUUUGGCGGGUACCAAAAAUGGGACGCGGGGAUUAUUUUUUUUUUAAAAUAAUUUUUUUAGACUUUGCGCGACUAAUACUCCUAUAUUCGUCGCGCAAAAGUUUGCGCGACCAAUAUUCCAAUAUUUUUUGUCGCGCAAACCUUUGCGCGACCAACAAUAUUUUUCGUCGCGCAAAGUGAUACGGUUUUUAAAACCGAAAUAACUCCUCCACCAUUUUCUCAAUGUCUUUCUCUACUCUUACCUCUCCUUUCUCUUUCCCUCUCCCCAAAUCCCACCAUUUCUCUCACUCACUCCUCUCACUUAAUCUCUCAUCUCUCUCUUCACUAUCUCUCACUCUCUCUCACUCACUCUCUCAUCUCUCUCACUCACUCUCUCAUCUCUCUAUCACUAUCUUCUCUAAUUCUCUCACACUCACUUCUCCCUCUCAUUCUCACUCACUCUCAAUCUUGCCAAAAGGUAUAUUCUCUCCAAAUUUUAAAAUUUUUUCAUUAAUAUGUGUUUUUGGAGUUAAUUUUUAGUUUGUGUGGGUUUUGGGGUUGAGUAAAGGGGAGGGAUUGGAGUUUGGGUUGGAUUUGUGGUAUAACAAUUUUAGGGGAGAUUAUGCCUUUUUUUUUUUUUUUGGGUUAUUUGACCAUAUUUGUUUUUUUGUAGGGAAUCAUCGAGACUUUGACGGCUAAAGUUGAGGAUUAGGAAGCUAUCAAAACAUAUCCUCCGCCACUACCACCACAAUACGCUUGUAUUAGGAUUUUAUUAUUGUACUUUGUUAAUUUAUGUGUACAUUUUAAAUAUUAUAUAUAUAUUUAUUGGAUAAUUUGAUCACUAUUUUUCAUAUGUAAUUUUAUUUUGAAUAUGUCAAUUUAAAUUAAAGUAAUUAAAAAAAUCAUACAAUUAAAUUAAAUUUAAAAAGUAAAAACUUGAAAAAAUUAAUAUCAAUUUAAAUUAAAGUAAUUUUAAAAAGAAAUCAUACAAUUAAAUUAAAUUUAAAAAGUAAAAAUUUGAAUAAAUUAAUAUAAAUUAAUUAAUAUUAAAGAAAUAAUAAAACAAAAAGUCAAAAACCUUGACGACAAAAUAUUUCGUAGCGCAAAUUAUUAAAUUAGUUUAUUUUAAAUUAAAAAAAUUUAAAACAAAAAAUAUUUCGUCGCGCAAAUAUUUGCUCGACGUUAGUAUUCGUCGCGCAAAACUCAAAAAAUUUGGGCGGGUACCAAAAAAUGUACGCGGGAAUUUGUUAUUUUUUUAAAAAAAAUUUUAAGACUUUGCGCGACCAAUGUUUUUCGUCGAGCAAAACUUUGCGCGACCAAUGUAUUUCGUCAAGCACAACUUUGUGCUACCAAUAUUUUUCAUCGCGCAAAGUCACUUUGCGCGACCAAUAUUUUUUCAUCGCGCAAAGUCGCUUUGCGUGACCAAUGAAAAAACUUCGUCGCGCAAAGUCUUUCUUCACGAUCUUUGCGCGACGGAUUCUGCGCGACGAAAUUUCUGUCGCGCUGAAAUUUGUGCAACUACAAUGUAUUUUGCGCGACGAAAUUCUCUUCGUCGCGCAAAGUGUAAAAUGUAGUAGUGCUAUAUCCUGUUUUGAUACUUCUAAUUGUAGUUUUCCUUGUACUAGUAGAAUGUGGGUCGGAGUCCUCUUACACACCAUUUAUGUAUUUAACUGUUAACGAAAAAUUUAGGAAUACUACCUUACUUGGAUUGUUCUGUUUAGUUUCACAUGUUGCCACUUGGAUGAGAUUAUUCUUUCAAAUUAAGUUACGAUCUACGUGUUAUAUGUAUAUACAUAAUAUACCAUGUUCUUAAACUUGAAUUAAGCUUACAAAGUAUGCAUGCUUGUGGAUUUUACUCUGUAUAUGCCUCAGGUCACAUACUUCAAAUGUGGUGGAGUGUCACUCGGUGUUGGUCUGGAACAUCGUGUAGCAGAUGGAGUUUCUGGUCUCCACUUUGUAAAUACAUGGUCUGAUAUCGCUCGAGGGUGUGACAUUACAAUUCCACCAUUUAUAGAUAGGACAUUACUUCGUGCCCGAGACCCGCCCCAACCUGCAUUCCAUCACAUUGAAUACCAACCUGAUCCGCCCAUAAAAACCCCUCCGCGGAGCACAAACGCUAGUAGUGUUGAAAGUACAACUGUCUCCAUUUUUAGAUUGACGCUGGAGCAGCUCAACAUGUUGAAGGCCAAGUCUAAGGAAGAUGGGAACACAAUCGAAUUUAGCACAUUUGAGAUGUUGGCAGGUCAUGUUUGGCGUUGUGCAUCAAAUGCACGCCAACUUCCUGAUGAUCAAGAGACCAAACUACACGUUGCCCUUGACGGAAGGUCCAGACUGGAGCCGCCUCUCCAGCCUGGUUUCUUUGGCAAUGUGGUUUUUGCAGCUGCCCCAAUCGCUGCAGCAGGGAAUCUCAAAUCAAAACCUACAUGGUAUGCUGCAAGGUGUGUGCAUGAUGCUGUGGUGCGAAUGGAUAAUGAUUAUCUUAGAUCAGCACUUGACUAUCUGAAACUUGAGCCUGAUUUGUCGAGCCUUGUUCGAGGGGCUCAUACUUUUAGGUCCCCAAGACUUGGGAUAGCUAGUUGGGCUAGGCUGCCGAUCCAAUGAUGCUGACUUUGGUUGGGGUCGACCUAUUUUCAUGGGACCUGGUGGAAUUGGAUAUGAGGGG
rnacentral:lncRNA from 1 species